UUUUUUUUUUGGUUUCUGAUGCACAAUUCUCACUAUAAUGUUCACUUAUAGUAUGUCGACAUAAUUAGUGUAAAUAUAUACUAGAUAAAACUAUUUUACAAGACAAACACAAUGAUACCAUUUAUACAUGCUAAAUUUACAUAAUUGUGUAUAUAUUAGUGAUCAAAGUUAUGCGUUAAAGACCGUGCAAAGUCAAGAGCGCCUUAUAUUUGGGAAGGAGGGAGUACAAUAGAAGCUCGAUGUUGCACACAAUGCUUAUCAUCAUACAUCAUCCCAUAUAUUGUUUAUCAUUUCACAUUCAACUUGACAUAUAUCACAAAGAUACACUCUUCAUUAAAAAUAUAUAGGGCCUAAUACCAUUUUUUAGGUUGCCUUUGACCAUUGUUUAGAGCAAUAAUAUAUGACAUGCAUGUUACACAAAGCAUACUGUCAAAUUUAUAUGUGAAAGGGGCUUCGAAUGAUAUAAUUUUGUAACAUACCUCUCAUGUAUUAUUAAUGUUACUAAUGGUCAAAGACAAUCUCAAAAAAUGUACUAGACCAUAUAUAUCAGGAUGGAGGGAGUACCAUUUUUAAUAUUUAUAUAUUAUAUGUGAUUGUCGAUAUACUAAUGGAUUAACUUGAAAUAGAAUUGUAUGUCACAUUGGAAAACUUACAACAAAGGAUGUCAGCAAAACCAGAUUGGUCACGAAACCAUGUAUAACCAUGUAUGCACACCUCGCCAUAACCUCACGGGAAACAAAAACGUGGAUUUCUCAUCUUAUACCAGGGAGGGGCGCCUUAGGAAUGAUCACAUUCAAACACGUUUGUGAUAGCAUUGAACCCGCCGUCGGCGAGGGUGGGAAGGAGAAUAAGGGGCAACACAGAUGAAAUGACAUGUGUUGAAAUCAAGGAUUUUGCCCUAUUGGGUUCUUGAGUCAUGGUUAUUAGGUCAGGGGCAUGUGGUAUUUUUUUUCUCUCCUUGCAACACACAUGCUCUUUUUCUAGUUAUUAUUUAUGAAAACACAUGAUGGGAUCCUCGCAAAAAAAAAGACACAUGAUGGGAUGAUAUACAACAACACUAAUGGACCCAGCAGACAGCGUCGUCGUUCCCCUAUCAAGGAUGUCGGCGAUGAUGUGUCGUCCUGCAUGCUGGAGCUUGAUGUUGGUGAACCAAUGCCCCAGCAGCAAUGAAGGCAAGUGCUCGGUGAGGAAGAGGCCAGCCAGCAGGUCAAUGAUCUCGUCAGCCUCGCGGUGGUAUAUAUGUCCAUUCCUCUUGCCCCUCGAACACCACCAGGCUCGUGAUGUCGUUGCUCAGCACCGCCACCUUCUUGCUGACAUACACCGCAGCAGUGUCUGCCGAGGCCGCAACGGAGCGGACUCGACCGACCACAUCAGCAAUCGAGACCGCCAUGGUGGGGUCCUUGCCAAGCUUGAGGAGGGUCAGUGGCCCAUGCCUGCGGCACAACUCCGAGAUGGUGCUGAAGAUGUGCUGGAGGUUGCCGAUGAUGGGGAGAGUCCAUGGUCCAGGAGGUAGCUGCGGCUUUCUUGGGUUGUUGCUCCUGCCGCCGGCGAGCUUGAGAAGCCAAAGAUAUAAUAGGAUGGAUAGGACUAUGAAACAUAAUGUAGCCUCCAUGGCACACAUGCAGCUAGCUUAAUUAUGCUCAGUUCGUUGCUCAACCGAGUGAUACAUAAUAUAGUGAGCUAGCAUGCGUACAUAUAGGAGGCAAGGUAUAGACGGAACAUGCGUGGAACAUGGCCGAGAGACCUUUCAAUGGGUAGAAGCCAUAGCCGUCGGCCAUGAGUGUCAGCGCAUACGUACAGACAGAGAUCAUGUUGUGAUCAAGGCCUGAUUGUGAUACGGCAGUACAAUAUUAUAGGAACCUCGAAUACACAUGUCCCCACAAUCCCACCUUCCUAUGAGGGUAUAAUACGCGAGUCCGAAUCAAACAGUGUGCAUCUUAUUCUAUAUACCUUAGAUAGUGAUCCCACUAAUUUAUUUUUACAUGCAUACAUGUCAUAUUAAAAAAUGGGAUGAAAUAAAGCCCACCUCAAUAUGCAACCAUGCAUGCGAAAAACACCCAUCGCCACAUGCUAUGCAUGAGAAAAUAUUUAUAAUUCUACUUAUAUUGAACCAAUAUUUUGUAACUAUAUAUAAAUAUUAUAAGCCGUAUGUAUUUAUUAAUUCUGAUUCACAUGUUGUUAAUCAAAAUAUUUAUAUUUCACACUAUCAAAUCUCAUUGAAAUAUAUUGCAACCGAUUUCUGCAGCAAUGCGCGUGCUAUCACCUAGUAUUCAUUAACAUGGCAAGUCAAUUUCCUACAAUCACCUAUGAUUUUAGUUAUAGAUAAUAUAAUUCCUACUUACGCAAACAGAGGAAGUUAAGACCCAAUCCUAUAUGUGGUCUAUAGCAGGGGAAAAGCGAGUCGAUAGCCCAUUGACAAACAAAACAUGAAUCAUUUCACAACACUUGCUGUUGGUUCUGUUUAGUUUCUCGGUUUAUAUAAUUUUCUAGGUUUUUGUUUUUCCUAGGUUUCAUUUUUCAAUUUCUAGUUUCCUGCUUUUUUCCUAUUUCCUAAUUCCUUCGUCUCAUAUUAAUUGACGCUCAAAUGGAUGAAUCUAGACAUAUUUCACUGCUAGAUACAUCUGUUUGAGGGUCAACUAAUAUGGGAUGAAGGGAAUGUUUUACCCUUUUAAGUUUCUUUUGAAAUUCCAUUUUAUUUACAUAUUUAGUUUUAAAUAUAUAAAUAAUUGGCCGAAAUCAUGGACAUUAUUUAUAACAUGUGAACACUAUCGACCUAUGGCCAAACUUUCUUUACGUAAAUGGAAUUUUUGUAAAAUAAAUGACCAUUUAUUAAGGGAUGUGAUUUUUUUGAUAAUUAUACAACCAUAUUGAAAAAAAUACAUGAACAAUUUAUAAAUUAGAUGAACAUUUUUUAAAUGCAUGAACACUUUUAGUUACAAGUAUAUAUUUUUAUUUUUUAAAAUAUGUGAAUACUAUGUUGUAGAUUCAUGAUUUUUUUAAAAACCUCAAAUACUUUUGAAAAUGAAACGAAGUUUUCUUAUAAUAUGACAAAAAUUGUUCAUAAAAACUUUUUUGAUUUCUCAAUUAAAUACCGAAUGCUAAAAAUGUAAAUAUACAAUAUCUAUCUCUGUUUUUUUAUAUGCACAUGUUGUGGGCUCUAUUUUUGCACGAACGUCCAGGUUUUUUUAAGCCUUGGCUCUCUUUUUGUACAAACGUCCAGGUUUUUUAGCCUCAGAUGUGUCAAGCCAGGUGGUAUCGUAUCAACAUCGAUGUGCUAAUGGGCAUGUGAGCAGCACGGGUGCUAACGCCUUCAAUAAGUGAUGUAUAUUUUGCCCCCAGUUUGAAUAGUAUAAUUCUAUAUAUCAAUAUCUGAAUUUGUGAUUGGCAUGGCCGGUCCCCUGGUUAAAAUAGUAAAAUGUGGCCAAUCCUAUUUGACGUCCCCAAAUUGAGCCGGCUCGGUCUUUGCUAUUUCCUUUGAGUUGCUACUCCAGCUUUUUAUUUUUUGCUUUUGUGCUGAAGUUUUUUUUUCCUGUUUUUCCUGCGGUUUCUUUCAUUGUGAUUCUCAGUGUUUUUUGGUGGUUUCCUAUCUUGGUUUUUGUUCCAUUUGCUGUUUCAUUUAGCAUCACUGCUGCAAGUUUUUCUGAGUUUUCUAUUGUCAUUUUUCGUUUCCACUUUUUUGGUUAUCUAUAUCGUUUUCUUACCUUUUUUUGUUUUUUGUUUUCCUUUUCUUUUCAAAAUAAACGAUGAACAUUUUUUAAUCAUAAUGCACAUUUUAUUUUAACAUUGUAAAUAUUAAUUUAAUACAAAGUGACCACUUUUUAUUACAGGAUGAGAUUUUCUUACAUGGUGGUCGGUUUUUAAUUGCACCACGAACAUUUUUUAAAAUGGCGAAACAAUUUUUUAUACAUAGUGGACGAUUUUUAAUACAUGGUAAAGAUUUUUUAAAUACGUGAUGAACAUUAAUUGGAAACCACAACGAACAAUUUAUUAUGCUUAAAUAAUUCUAGAUAAACCAUGGCAAGAAAACAACAAAAAAAAUGACCAGCACACGAAUGUACCACCAUCUCUCACAAAAGAUAGUGAGGCUGACACUGGGAAGCCACAUCGACCUGAACUGGGCCCCCGGCCCAUCAUCGCUAAAGUGUGCACCGCCUCUCAUAUAUGACGUUAAUGAGUGUUAUAUAGGUGGUCUCAUAAAAAGUGGUCUAUUGGCUGCUUCAAGAUAAUAUACAAGCUUCUGAAGUUCAUAAUUUUAUCAAAGUGGACCCAGUACGAAGGCCCACAUGAAAGGCUUUAGGGUGAGCAUAGCCAAAACUUUUCAUUAGUAGAUCUUCAGCUUGCAUAUUUUUUUCUCAAAUGGCUGUUCUAGUAUAUAUUGACAAUAUGGAAUAACUACAUUCUAGAAUUUUAUAGGGAUGCCACAUGGUUUUAGUUUUUGCGUGGUCCUAGAUGCAUAUGAGCACAUCCUUAGUGUCAUUUUUAUUUGCAAAUCACCUUAGUGAAGUAUUUGAAUAAAAUAGGAUACUUGGUUCCACAACCGAAGGGCUUGAACUUGGUGGCUUCCCACAGGAAGAUACUGGACAAAUUCAUAUGAAAACUAGAGAACAUGGAAGGUAUAUUACAUUCGUAAAAUAAGAGCGUGAAAUGUUUUUUGAAAGUACUAAUACGUUUGUACUAGUGGCUAUCAAGUUGUUCUUGCCAAUACUCCCAAUGAUGUGGAAGGAAGCAAAUCCAUCUCGAUGGUCAAGCCACCACUGAUACCAGAAUAAUGCAACCAUUUGAGCAACAUGGAAGAUGCACAUAAUGUUGACAAUUGUUGAGGAGAUUCCUGAAUGUACAACUUCCGUCAAAGAUUCCAAAGUUUCUAUGUUGACGAGCCAACUUAACGUCUUCAUAAUUGCCAAGGGAGAUGGUGUUGUCACAACUACAAGGUGGUCGGGUGUGCACAACAGGGAUAGCAUAUGAUUGUUUGCAUAUUUAUGUAUGGUUGAUGUCAUUUGUGCGUGAAGAAGAAAAUAUAUAUGAGGAAGCAAGGAAGGAAGUCAAUGGUGAGGUGGCAUGGUAAAGCAAGUGAUAUGAGUGAGGCGGUGAUCGGCUGUUGCUCUCGGGUGCCGGCCAAAGGAGGUAGAAUGAGUGGAUGGGAUGCUAAGAAAAUAGUUUUAGUGAAUCAUCUUUAAUCUUUUCUAAUAUAUUUUUCUAGUAUGGAAAUGGAAUGUGUGCCAUUCCAUUAUUUUGGUCAAUGCAACAUAUUAUUACACAAAUAAUCUCGUUCAUAAGAAUAUAUAUAUAUAUAUAUAUAUAUAUAUAUAUAUAUAUAUAUUUCCGUGUACAUGAACAUUUCUAUAUAUGUCUACAUGUCCUUGAUGCAUCCACGUGGAAUAGCUAUCAGUUGUAGGUCAGAACUUCUACCUACAGUCAUCCCAAAUUUUUCAGACAUAUCCAAUGACUCUGGACUUGCCCCACCAGGAAGCACCCAAUCAAAGUGAUAGAGCAGGUUUGCCAAAGUGAUCUCUAAGGUUGACGCGCUGAAUAGCAUCCCAGGACAUUGCCUUCGUCCAGCACCAAAGGGGGUGAAUCCAAAGUGUGUCCCAUUGUAAUCUAAGUUGUUGUUCUCAAACCUCUCUGGCAAAAAGGCUUCAGGGUGUUUCCAGUACUUUGGAUCCCUAGAAACUGCAAAGACAUUAAUUAAUAUAGUGGCGCCUUUAAGCAUCUCAUAACCCAUAAUUUUACAAUCCAUUCUGGCCAUGCGUGGGAUUAGUGGAGCUGGUAGGUGCAACCUAAGAACCUCCUUAAUGACCAUUCGCAUGUAGUGGAGGUUUCCAAGGUCACUAUUUUUUAUGAUUGUUCAAUCUUGACCUAAUACUUUUCUUAUCUCUAGUUGAGCCUUAAACAUUGUUUCAGGAUGACGGACGAGCUCUGACAUAGCCCAUUCAAAAAUUGUUCCCGUGGUAUCUGUGGCACCAGAAAAUAUAUCCUGCAAAUGAAAAUUUAGGUACGUUAAAUUAGCUCAUACUUCUAUAUGCCACACUUAUAAUGAAACAAUUUGUGAAACAAAAUCUUUCAUUUUAAAAAAUUGUAUGUGUUACUUUGAAGUGAACCAAAGGAUUUUUUUUACAUACUUUGAAGCCUAAAUCCCCUUACAAAUGAUUUGAGAACAUUUCGAGGCACUCAAGGCAAGUAACUUCUCUAGGUAUGAUAUCAUGUGAGGCCAUAUGCCUCCCCUUGGGUUACACUUGACAGAGAAAGAGGUGAAAGAUCGCAAUUGCAAAAAUGAGACAUUCAAGUUUAUGAGGAAUAUGAUUUCUGAGUGGUUUGAUCAGGAUGUUUGUUUAUUCUUAUAGAAAACAUCACCACUUUAUAGUGGACAUAGGCAUCUCUAUAGUGGCAAAAGGAAUAACAAACUUAAUAAAGCAACAUAGGUUAUCUUCAUGAGCUUUCACAAAAUUCAUAGCAGCGCAUGAUUUCCUCGAUUGCUAAUGAUGUGAUAAAACUUACAAAAACCCAUUUCAUGCUAGGAAAAUAUUGUGGAAGGGCUUAUUACUCAUGGGUUGCAUCAAAAGACAAGGGAUUCUCAAAAUUGAUUUUGGCGAGACUAAUGACAAUGUAAAGUGAAUGUUCAUUCCACAACCAAUGUUUAUGGAAUCUUUCCCUUUAUGUGAUGUCACUUGAAGGUAAAAUGUGUGCAAGGUGGGUUCUUUGGUGUGAAAAUCAAUGAUGAUAAAGAACAUUACUUCCAAGAAUAAAAAGAUCUCCAUCAAGGGUUCUUUAUUUUCACUAGUGUCGCUCAACAUUAUGGCGGAUAUGUUGGUUGCAAUAUUAAAAGAAAGAAGGAUUAAGGUCAAAGCCAUGGUGUUCCACCCAGGGGGGUCAUGAUAGAAUAUAUGUACUCAUUAUGAGGUUCAUACCCUUAUAUUGCUACACCAUGAUAAUGGAUAGACAAAUAGCAUGGCGUUCGUGUUAUGAGUUUCUUUGAAAAUACUUAACAGUAAAGAUUAUAAUUUUCCACAAGGGUGAAAUCUAUAAAGCUAACGGAUAUAAUGUGUGGACAACAUCAAUGUCUAGGUCUUUGGUUUGUCAAGUAUGUUUUUUUCCUUAUAUUAUCUUGUAUUUGGAUCUGCUACACGUGUCUUCGCAAUAGUGAUUGGAAAGCAAAAGACCGGGUUGAAUUCAUUCAAACUAUCAUUCACGUGUUUAUGAGGUCAUUUGAAUCUUAUCGAAUGUUACCACAGUUUCUGGGGGGUCAUCAAAAUUUCCGGUAACUGGUGGGUUACCAGAAAUUCUGAGCAGAAAGAAAUAAUCUUGAAAUGUAUGACAUAGAUAAUGUUAACUAAAUGGUUAAUGAUUUAAGUUUGUCAGAACAAAAGUAAUCAAUAUUCCUAUCUCGUGUCAUAUGCAAAAUUUGUGCCGUUGUUUGCAUCAGCUACCAGUAAAAAAAAGUUUCUUUUGUUAAAAAUACUCACAAAUAAGACGGCGCAUAUGCUCUCUGUGGUUAGAGGGAAUGCCAAUGAAUCAUCGUUCUGUAGUCUGAGCAGCACGUCCAGCAGGUCCUCGUCGUGGGUGCUUGAGGCGCCAUGACCAGUAGCUCGCGCGGCCUUGCGCUCCUCGAUCACGUUGGCGAUGAUGCAUUGCAUGUGGCUGUAGCUCCUCUUCAUGCACCGCGCCAGAAGCUGAGCCACCGUGCCAACCGUGACGACGGGAAGAGAUCGACGAGGCAGAAGCCGCCUAGCAGGGUGAGCACCACAUCUAGCUCGCGGAUGUACUCGUCCUGCUGUGUGAACCUGCCGCCGAACACUGCCUGCGACACGACGUUGUUGAGCUCCAUCAUCUUCUCGCUGAUGUUGAUGCUGUCGCCGGACGCCGCAGCAGUGGCGAUGUCGGCCAGGAGGUUGCCAACCUCCUCUGGCCGGAUGCUCUCCAUGCGCCUGACCUGCAUGGAGCUGAGCAGCUCCACAAUGCAGACCUUGCGCAUCUGGCGCCAGUGGUCGCAGUAGGGGGCGAAGAUGAUGCCCCUGCCGCCACAGCCGGCGAUGUCCUGCGUCGGCGUGCCCGGCCUGGUUGCGAACGCGAGGUCGUUGGUCUUCAUCACCUGCGCCACCGCCUCGGCGCUGGAGAUCACCACGGCUUCGACCUCGCCUAGCUUGAGGUGCAUCAUUGGCCCGUAUCGGCGACACAGCUGCGUGAUUUUCCGGUGUGGGACGAGGCUAACGACGUGGUGGAGGCUGCCGAUUAUCGGGAGUGUCCAUGGCCCUGGCGGCAGCUGGUGCUUCUGUGGCUUGUUCUUGCCGCCGGCGCCGGCGAGCUUGAGAAGCCAAAGGGCAAGCGGCGUGCCUAGUGCAAUGAAACACAAGCUGAACCACCCCUCCAUGGCAGGCAGCUUUGCAAGUGCAGUGGUAGUGGUACUGAUAACUUACAUGUCUGGACUCUGCAGGUAUAUAUAAAUGUAUAAAAGCAUGCAUGUUCUUUGCAGGCGACAGAGGAGCUUUCUCUCUCUGGCUGCUAAGUGAGUAUACAGUAUGAAAGUUUAGGCCGUUUUCUCUUGUCUGGCUACGAAGAUUACAAAUUGGUCUCAGCGAUGGGGUUAGUACAAAAGGCAUUACACGAAUCAAACUCCACUUUCUACAUUUCAAAUCGAUUUAGUUCUAAUUUUAUUUUCCCAGUAAAAUUUCUCUAUAGAAAAAUAUAUUUAAUGAGCUAAUAUGUAGGAGUACAACACAACCAAAAUAUAUUUAAUGAUGUAUAUAAUGGAACUAAUUUGGGAUUGUAAAUUUUGACUUAUAACAAAGCUCUGUGACUUUAAAUAAUUUAUGGCGAAGAAAGAGAGAGCGGCGUUUGGAUCCUGGCCUUAGAUGAGCCCGGGUGUGAACAGUAAAUUGGUCAAAAAUAGUAAAAAAAUACAAAAAAAUCAUUUUUUCGUGAUGAAAGAUGCUUCAGUGCGAGAUGUCCGUGCCAAAUUUGGUGAAGUUUGGACAUUUUAGGAUCUGUUUGCAAAAAACAAUCAAGCAUUUGAGGAAGUUUGAUGUUCUGCACUGUUCGGAGGUCGUUUUGUGUUUUUUGACAUGGCUCAUCGAAUGUCCAAACUUCACCAAAUUUAGCACGGGCAUCAUGAACUCAAGCAUCUUGCACAAAAAAAAACAGAAGCUAUGUGGUGAAGCUUCUGACUAUUGGUCUGGUUUGGUUUGUGACUGCAUCUUCCUUCAAAAAGCAUAGAAGUUGUUUUUUCCGCCGGACGUAUCUUUUAAUACUAAAACAUACAUGCUCUUUUUCUGGCGGCUAUGUGGCGAAGCUUCCGGCAGAGAAGGUUUCUCUAUUCUGGCUGCUAGCUGCGUAUGAAAGUUUGGGCCGCUUUCUCUUCUCUGGCUGCUAACUGAGUAUGAAAGUUUGGGCUGCUAAGAUUGCAAAUUGGUCUCCCUAGGUUAGGCUGGUCACAGUGGGGAGGAACUUAGGAGUAACAUCACACACUUCAAUACAACUUUGCUUAUGUGGCACGUAUUUAGUGAAGAGAGAGGUGCUUGUGGUAACUAGCUAAGUUACCGGAACAUCACACACUUCAAUAAACAAUGAGUCUAUAACCUAAUAAAUACAUCGUUGCAUGACACUACAUAGAUGUUCCUACCCAUUAUGGUGGUAGUAACAUAGUCUAGGGAAAUGUGAAGUUACUAGCUUAUGUUCUUGCCCAUUGUGACCAGCCUUAGACUAGCCACAAUGGAGAGUAACAUACAGUAGUAACAUACACAUAUCCCUAGACUAUGUUACUACCUCAAUAGUGGAUAGUAACAUAAGUGUGGUAACAUGCAAAGCUUCAUUUAUUAGGUUAUAGACUCAUAUUGCAUUGGGACAUGUGAUGUUACAGUAACUAGCUAAGUUACUAGUACUACAUCUCUCCUCAUUAACUCACUGCCACAUAAGCAAAUUUGCUGAGUUGGACUCGAUGUUACUACCGAAGUUACUCCCACUGUGGCUAGUCUUAGUGCAAAAGUCAUUAGAAGCAUCGAACUCCACUUUCUCCAUUUCAAAGUAAUCGAAGUUCUUGUGUUUUCCCUUGUUAAAUUUCUCUGUAGAAAAGUUCAUGAGCUAAUCAAUGUUUUAAAUAGCGGGCUAUGGAAAAUAGUGACGGGCCUCCAAAUCAGCUAUAGCGGAGCUCUAGCCGGCUAUUUAAAACUAUGGAGCUAAUACAUACAACACGACCAAAGUACAUUUGAUGAUGAUGGUAAAUUAUGCCUGAUAGCAAACCUAUGAAUUUAUAUAAUUUAGAGCGAAGAAAGAGGUCUAGUAUUGUACACUAUUUUUGUCAUCAGCAAUCUAGCCGCGAAUAAUUUAAAUUUUGUCAUACUAUCUUUAAAUUUUGUCAUCAACAAUCUAGCCGCCACCAAUUUAGUUCUCUACACCAAUAAGUCUCUACUUGUAUAUAGUUGCAUACACUAGGCAGUUCAUGAGUCAGCAGGUCCAGAGUCUUAACAGAACUUGUAGGUGGUCACAUAAAUAUACCGGGUCUCACUCCAAGCUGCACUUGCUAACAGCUUGGAGCCUGCCAUGGAGGGCUGGUUAAGUUUGUGUUCCAUAGCUCUAUGCACGCUUGUGGCCCUCUGGUUUCGCAAGCUCUCCGGGGGCAAGAGAAAGCCACAGCUGCCUCCUGGGCCAUGGACUCUUCCCUUCAUCGGCAGCCUCCACCACGUCGCCAGCAUGCUCCCGCACCGCAAGAUGAUGGAGAUGUCUUGACGGCAUGGGCUGCUGAUGCACCUUAUGCUCGGCGAGGUCCCAACGGUGAUCGUCUCCAGCGCCGAGGCGGCGGCGCUGGUGAUGAAGACCAAUGACCUUGCCUUUGCUGGCCGGCCUCGCAGCGCGACGCUGGACAUCUUCGGCUGCGGCGAGAGAGGCAUCGUCUUCGCCCCCUACGGUGACCCAUGGCGCCAGAUGCGCAAGGUCUGCACCGUGAAGCUCCUCAGCUCCAAGCAGGUGAGGCGUAUGGACGGUAUCAGGCCAGACCAGGUGGGCAGCCUUCUCCAUUAUGUCGCGGACGCGGCAUCCACGGGUGUCGUCGUCAACGUCAGCGAGAAGGUGAUGGCGCUCAGCAACGACGUGGUGUAGCGGGCGGUGUUUGGCGGCAAGUUCCCGCAGCAGGAGGAGUACCUCCGGGAGCUAGAUGAGGCGUUCGUGCUGCUAGGUGGUUUCUGCCUCGUCGACCUCUUCCCAUCAUCGCGGCUGGUGCGGUGGCUGAGCAAGGGAGAGCACCACAUGAGGAGGAGCUAUGGCCACAUCCAACGUAUCAACGCUGAUGUCAUCGAGGGGCGUAAGGCGGCGCGAGCUGCCACACAGGACGGUGCCUCCAGCACUGACGAUGAUGACUUGCUGGACGUGCUACUCAGGCUGCAGGAGAAGGACGCGUUCACAUUCCCUAUGACCACGGAGAGUAUAGGUGCCGUCUUAUUUGUGAGUAAUUUUCUUUAUGCUUCUUAUUAAUCUACCGAUGUCAUAUCAUAUCUGCAAAGUUUUAAUGCAAAAAAGCUAGCUUCAUCAUUUCAUAAAUCUAUUAGUCUCAACUUGUUUCAUAGAUUUAUAAAUGUAAAUUAUUGUAUCUGAAAUUGAUUAUUUGUUGCGUACUACUAUAUAUGUAGAAACAAUAUAUAAACAUACAUACCACAACAAUAUUUUUCAGGACAUAUUUGCAGGUGCCACACAGACCACGGGAGUUGCCUUGGAGUGGGCAAUGGCUGAGCUCGUCCGUCAUCCCGAAGCCAUGGCCAAAGCACAGCUUGAGAUCCGAGAGGUGCUAGGUCAAGGCCGAGCUGUGAUUACUAAUAGUGACCUCGCUGAACUCCACUACAUGCGGAUGAUCAUUAAGGAGGUUCUUAGACUGCAUCCACCAGGUCCUUUGAUCCCCCAUAGGGUCAGGGAAGACUGUAAAGUUAUGGGUUUUGACAUGCUUGAAGGCACCAAUGUAUACAUUAACGCGUUUGCAGUUUCGAGGGAUCCAAAUUGUUGGGAAAGUCCUGAAGAGUUUAAGCCUGAAAGGUUUGAGAACAAUAACAUGGAUUACAAUGGGACAUACUUUGAAUUCACCCCCUUCGGUGCUGGUCGGAGGCAGUGCCCUGGGAUACUUUUCGGCACGUCAACUAUGGAGAUCGCCUUGGAAAAUCUUCUCUACCACUUCGACUGGGUGCUUCCUGGCAAGGCAAGCCCGGAAUUUUUGGACAUGACCGAGAAAUAUGGGAUCAUCGUAGGAAGAAAAUAUGACCUACAAUUGAUACCUAUUUCCCGUGGAGGUUUCCAUGCCACAUAGACAUAGAUGGUCGUGCAUUGCCACAUAGAUAUGUCUGUACUUUUGUUGAUCUAUACCAAUAUGUAUCAUUGCACCAAUAAGAAUAAAAGAACCUCGUUGAACUUGCAAUAUAUUAUGGUGGAUGACGCAAACUAUUGAUUGUACCAAAACAUGAAGUUUGCACUUUUUAAAUUGCCCCUGGUGACGAUGGGUUAGUUACUGUAUUGAUGCAUGUUGUAUGGACCAAAUUUCAAACUAGUUUCAUGGUCUGAUAUCCUCCGUGUAAAAUGCAAGGACUGACCUAUAAUUUCUUCUUAUUUUUUCUUUUGGGUCCUUUUGGAAGAUGUACUGCUAGGUUUAUCAAAUGAGAUCUGGUUCCUUUGGACCGACUUUGCUAACAGUAAUGGUCUCGGCCAAGCAUUCAUGGGUGCGUCUAACGUGCAAGCAGCACUAGGUUACUGACUUGGCAUGCUGUAGGCCAAAUGUAGCUUGAUGUUUUUCUAUUCUCUGAGCUUUUGCACUGUUCACAUCUGGUUUAGUCUACGGACCAACUUUUUCUCAUAAAAUAAACUGGUUUUUUUAUUAUGAAUCAAAAGGAAAUGUGAGCCCUAUUGAUAAGAUUUUACAGAAAAACAAUUAUCUCGGUCAUUCAUUUUCUGAACGGACUACGGUAAUCUCUUGCCACAUUUUUGGGGCUAGUGGUGUAUCCACUAUACUGAGACUCUAUUACUCCAUAGUCUAUAGACCAUAAGCAAUUACUCUCUCUUUUCAGUCUGCUCUCACUUUCAGUAUCACUAAUUUGUUGUAAAAAUCCGCUAUCCUUGAACUCUGUAAUCAUCUCUGCGGGCUGCAGUGGCAACUAAUAUACAGUGUCAUCUUCCUAACUCCCACCUCAUUAAGUAUGUCGCUUUUUUUUUAGAAAAGGAGGAUGACCCCCGGCCUUUGCAUCUGGGCGAUGCAUACGGCCACUUUAUUAGUUAUUCUCACAGGACCUUACAAAGUAAUAAAGCAGUAAGACUAAAGCCGCCGUCUAAGCAACAAACUAUCGCUACACCUAUCCAGUUGAUGACGGGGCACAGAUAGCCUGGGCCGAACAGACAUAGCAGCCAAACCUAACAUCUAAGACCUGAGGUCCCAUCCAGGACGCCUGCCGGGCAUGGGUCUCACCGGUCCGGCGUGCACUCAGAGGCCGCCGCCACCAACUGCCACCGCUCCAUCUUCAGAACUGUACUGAUGCAUCAACCUUGCUCGGUCCAGCUAUCGUCGACGCCACCAAGGCGCCCAACGGCACCUCCUCCCUGCACGCAAACAGCUGAGCACGUCGCAGUCGCCACUGAUACACCUCAGCACCAUGCUGCCAAUUACCACCAGCCGACACAGCUUGAAGUCUUUGGAAGAUCUGUCGUGCGUAGCACGUGCCGACCAGGCAUGACAAGGCGUAGCACCUGUCGGUCAGGCAUGACUUGACAUCUCCACCGAAGCUCCGUGCAAGACGAAGCCGCUCCACCUCCAGCCUCUCUGAACGGGAGCACCCCAGGAAGACACAGCGAAGAGUUGAGCACCACCAUCACCAUGAGAGCCAGACCUAGCCGACCGCCAUGGCGAAGUGACACCACUAAAGAGAGAACCGCCGCCAUCAGGAACGCCAAGAACGCGCUGCAACUGUCCCACCUCCCUGCGGACCCAAAGUGGCGCCUUCAAGAAGGUGACGGAGCCGGGCACCGCCGCCACCCAACCAAAGUUGUGGGUUUUCACCCGGGUGCAGGGGGAGGACGAGGGGGAGGGAGCUGGACCUCGAAGCCGCCUUCAAGAAGGAAACAACGCCUCGAGCACCGCCGGUGUCGUGGCCGCCGCAGCCGGCCAAGAAAUUACUCCGAUCCAGAGCUCCCAACCCCACAUCCACGCAGUCAGCCACCGGAUCUGGCCGGACUGAUGAGGAAGCAGCAGCAUGGGUGCACCGUCUUUAGAUCUGGCGAAGGAGAGCGGCAGGGGAUCCCUCCACGCGGCGCCCGCAUCCAUCGCCAACUCGCCUCCCGCACGGCUGAGUAGACGCGGCCCUCAACCCCGGUGAGCGCCGCCCGCUGCCGGGACGACACCGCCCUCACCAGCAGAGGCCGCCGCCUCAAACCCUAGGCCCGAACCUGAGCGGCGUCGCGACUGAGGGCCUCGCCGCCACCCUCAUCGGCGGCCACGCGGGGGACCCGGCGCCCGUCUCCGGCGGCGGCGAGGAAAGGAAUCGAGAAGGGGGGAGGCGGACGGGGAGGUUGGUCGCCCCCGAGUCGCUCUCGAGAGGGCGGCGGGAGGGACGGGACCUACGUAGUUGGCCGCCCUAAGUAUGUCGCUUAGUGACGCAUCUUAAGUCACAUGGCUUUCUUGUUACUCCCUCCUGUCCCUUUUAGUCCGCAUAUAAGUUUUGUCCGAAUCAAAAUAUCUCUACCUUGACUAAACUUAUAAAAAAAGUAUUAACAUUCACAAUGUCAAAUCAACAUUGUUAGAUUCAUUAUGAAAUGUAGUUUCAUAAUAUAUAUAUUUGGUAUUGUAGAUGUUGAUACUUUUUAAUAUAAAUUUGGCCAAACUUUGCAAAGUUUGACUUGAGACAAAUCUAAUAUGGGGAGUAAAAAGGACCUGAGGAAGUACUUAAUCGCAUAGGCCCAACACUUGUUAUCUCUCUCUCUCUCUCUCUCUCUCUCUCUCUCUCUCUCUCUCUCUCUCUCUCUCUCUCUCUCCUUUCUUGUUUAAUUGUCCACCAAGCUGAUAGUGCUGCUCAAUGCAUCAUGGGCAGACCACUAACAGACAGUAUGCUACCACUUAUCAUAUUUUAAUUCUAUCUUUCUUUGUUUAGAUCUAUGGUAAAAUGUGAUUGCUAGGUUGGGUUGGUGGACAUGGAACAAGAUAUCUAUGGCCCUAACUCAAAGAAGGCGCAUUCAAAUAUUUAUGUACUUCUUGUGUCAAAGCACACCUAUAUUUCUCAACAAAUUUAUUAAAUCUUUUACUUGCCACCGCAAAUGACUAUUUGAAUGGUGACUGCCGUGUCAAUCUUAAUACCAUACUAUUGAGUGGUGACUGCCGUGUGAUGUUUUCAUCCGUAUAUCUAAAUAAAACAUUAUAGUUGAAUGUGACUCCGCCGGCUGCUAACAAAGCAACAAACAUGAAUGCAUCCGCGCAAUUAUUGAACAGAUUGUCUUGAACUCGCGUGCAUCCCACCAACAUUUGUCCGGCUGCUAACAUGCGCCAUGCAUGCAUCUAAUGCGUGUCACACCCACAGAGUACGUGCAAGAUAUAUCUGAUUACUAUAGCUAUGCAUUGUCACGCCCAUGAUUGAUCUGUGCCUUUCUGGUAAUCUAGCCUUGCAAAGUUUUGGUUCGAGCGGCUGUUGUGAAACAACUAUGCAAUCUAGGCAGCAUUGCCUUUGGCCUAGUAUCAAUCCUACGAAGAUAACGCUAAAACUUGUUAAAAGAAAGCACUAUCGUACUCGAACUAUGACGUAAAACCUACAUAUUCCAUUAAACUAAUAAAUCAGGCAAAACAUUGAUUACUAACUGAACUACAAGACCUAAAAAAUAGCAAAAGAAAGCUACAUUUUAGUUAUGAAUGCUAGCUACCAGGAAUUUGUUGUUUUAAUUGAUUUUUAAUUUUGUCACAUACUCUAUCAGAUUUACAGGAAUACAUAUGAUGUUUUUGAUAUUGCGCCGACGUUAGAAGUCAAUUUGACGCCUAGUUUUGCCUCCUACGUAUAUGCAUAAUGUUCGGUCAUAGAUAAUUUUAUUUAGGGCUAGUUUGGUUACUAUCCUGGACACCACGCCUGAAGAAUAUUGCUGCCUGGGAAUUUGCUCUUUCGUGCCUGGUCAGGCAAGCUAGGCAGAGAUGCGUUUGGUUCGUACCUGGACUGGUGUACUCGUAUUAAGGAAUAAAUGUCCGCACAAAAACUAAAGACAGUCCUAUUGCUUGGCACAAGUCCCUAUACUAGUGUUAGAGGCUAGGCAGCUAUUAGCCGGUGCGCAGGCCCCGGAAGUCGGAAGCCUGGUAGGCUAAUGAAGAUGCCUGGUUAUCCAGGCCCGGGCAUUACGAUCUUUUCCAGGAACUAAACAAACUCCGCCCAGGAAGAUCACAUGCGUGCACCAGGCCAGGCUUGAAACAACGAGGACGCAAACCAAACUGAUCCUUAGAGCUUUCUAGUGGCACAACACAGAGUCUUUUCCUAUUCUUUUUCCUCACAUCCUCACCAUGGGUUCGAGUGUAGGCUGCCUGGUAGUUGUCCUUUAUUUCUCUUCUUUUUCCCCGCUUAGACCCGUGGCCAUCUGAAUAGGAGUUAGCUCACCCUCGCGAGGCCAAAUUUAGAUUCAUUGCGCAAUGUGAUUGCUAGCUUUGUUUGGCAGAGAUGGAGGAUUAUCCUGUCAACUUAAAGGAGGCCCUUACGAAUAAUUUAUGUUCCUCUUGUGUCUGAACGCAACUACAUUUCCAAAGGUAGCAACACAUUAAAUUACUCAUAUACAAUUAAUUAGGAUGGUACAAAGUGUGCGGGCACGCAGGGAGGUGAGACAUGUCUAUCUAAUCUAAUGGUUGACGUCCGACAGUCCGGUGACGUUUUCGACCAUAUAUAUUAUCCUCUAAUAAUACAUUGUAGUUGAAGGUGACUCCUAUCGGCUGCUAAAAAUGGAGUAUGAAUGCACGCAUGGAUCUUGAACUAGUGGGGCACAACAUAAAGAUGUCAUGGCCUGUAUACUAAAAAUGAUUCAACCGGCUGCUAACAUUCCUAGUGAAGAGCAGAUCUUAAAGUCGAUCUAGUGGACGUCGCACCGAAUUCCCAGUAUGCACAAGAUCAUAUACCAGAUUCCUCCUGCUGCUACUUGACGGUGAGAAACGUAAAUGCAUGCAUGCGUUGAGUGGUCACAGCUACGUAAAGAUAGGCCUGAUUGUCACACUCACGAUGGUAUGUGCCGUAUACUAUUCCAACUGGUGCGACUGCUAUGAAAAGUGGAUGCAAUCUAGACGAUGUUGUCUUUGACAAAGUAUCAAUCAUAUAUAUAAAGAUAACAAUAACACAUGUGGCAAGAGAAGCAGUGCACAAAGUACACCGCGUACAUGUCCUUUUCCUUGUAGCCUGUUUGUGAUCUCAUAAUUAAGCACCACACGUCCAAACGAAAAGAAACCCACCUACUCGGCCUAUGCUGAGAAACUGGCACAUUGCAUUAUGCUGAUAAACCAAACAAAAGAACGGUUACCAAACGAUAGAUGAAGUAAUUUUCACAAACACAACCACAACAGACAUGCAAAAUAGGAACCAGUACCAAAUUACCUGCACAACGGCUUCAUCUUAGAGAAAACUAAAACUUUUGAAUUCCUGCUCCAAUAGUUCUGUAGGAGACAAAAUCUGCUAAAUCGAGGGUGAAGAAAAGCCCCGUCAUGGUUACGCCAUGUCAAAGUUUCCCUCUUUCCAUCCCUUUCUCUGCACCCAAACCGGUCGAAUGGCUGAGCCAGACCAGCCUAAGUCUCACCGACCCGUCCCAUGGACUCGCAAUGGCUUAAGCUGCACCAGGUUGCACCUUCACCUGACUCGUGCACCAGCAAUGGUUGCCCUCAUAUAGAUACGCUUAGGGGCAAGUAUUUGAAGGAGGCGGCGACAACUAUGGAGAAAAUGAACAUAGAUAAAUCAUCUCCAAUACGUGAUUUAAAAUAUAGUAGAGGCGCAAGGAAAAUGCUCUUUAUGACAUUUUGACAUAAAAACGGUGCUCCAACAGCUGCCCAAUCUCUAUAUUUUUGUGGUCCUAAUUAGAGGCAGACCUAAAAUACACCCUCUUGUGCUGCAAAUAUACAACACCAUGCGCAAGUCUCGCGAAACAAAAACGCAGCUGCGUGCAGUCAAACCACCAUCCGGAACAUUCCCUUAGGUAAACAUGCAAAAAUGCCUCCCCUCCCACUCCGCUGCUGCUACCAAAUCAGUUCGUAUCCGGACGCUUCUGGCCAAAGACGCCACCACUGUACUGCCUCGAAGUCAUAUCCACCGCGCCCUCUGUCGCUCGGACUGCCGCACCACCGCAACUACUGAAUGGCAACGAGCCGUCGUACCGACCAAUACAAAUCGCCGGUCCUACCGCCUCACCUCCCGACUGCCGGAUCAACCGGCCCAGGCGGUAAAUCCUCAACUAUGCCUUAGUCUCGAGAGAAUCGGCCGCCACCGCUGCCGAGCCAACGAUGCUAUAAGAUCCAUGAGUGACUGCUAUAAGAUCCAUGAAACUUCAAUGCUAUGAAACAUCGCUGCAAUCUGCGGGCCGUUGUCUUUGACCAUGGAUAAAUGUUCCCGAAGGUACCUCAUGUGUGUGCUUGUCUUUUUAUUUAGCAAAAAAUGUUUCAUCUUCAUCUUCAGCAAAUAAAAACUCUUGAAUUCCCGCCCCAUCUGGAAUAGGGCACAAAGUUUAUUCAACACACCAUGAACGAAAAUCACUACCAUGGUUUACUAGACCACAUAAUCCUGAAAACCAAAUCAACAUAGAAGGACAAAUUAAGGAGAAGGAGAACUAGUAUUUCGCAAGGCGCUGGUGUUGUUGACAUAGUCAAGAAAAAAAGACCUCAAAGAAGAGCUAUAAUAUUUGCAUCUCCCAACCUCACGACAUAGUAGAGGCGAUGGAUCAUAGGUAAAAACAGUUAAGAUCUUGGACCGGGCAGCUAUGGUUAGGUAGGGGGAGUUGCCGUCAAGCUAUGAUACUUUAAUAACAUGGAAUAAUGAUGGUAAUGAAUGCAAGCCCUAAUUUAUUAGUGUUAGCUAUCUAGAGUUCUUUUGUACUCCCUGGGUCUCUAAUGGUGGAGCAGGCACAUGUGACUACCUAUCAUUCCUCUGCAGGAAGCGGCAGCAAGCACCACACACAGUUCAAUCAUGGAGUAGAAUAGCAACAUUUUCUAUGUACUCAUUUUUCAGUUUAUAAGGCCCCCAUGUACUGAUUAAUCAUCAAUUCGACCAACAUAAUGCUAGGAUUAUAUCACAAGAAAAAUAUUCCAUAGAAAACUUCUAAAGAUAUACCAUUUAUGAUAUACAUUUGGUGUUACUUUGAUUAAAUGAUUAAUUUAGGGAUACACUUGGGCCUUAUAAAUCGAAAGAGGGACUAUCUAGUAUAAUUCGCCUGGCUGCUAAUACGCAUCAUGCAUUCAUCUUAAACUCGAUGUAGUAUAAUCGAAAAAUGAUGUACAAUGGAUUAUUGGCUCUAUGCAUAAGAGACCUGCAUGCAUGAUGAGUGAUCACAACAAUUGGCAUAAGUGUUUUGCUGACUAUACCUUGUCACGCCAAUUGCAUGCGUUGAGCUAACUCUGUAAUGCUCCGGGUGCGGCUGCUAUGAGAUGCAAUCUAGCGGCUGCCAUGGUCUUUGACCAACGAUCCAUCCUAUGAAGAUAAAUAUAAUACAUGCGACAAGAAAUACAUUACUGAAAGUAAACAUUGAUUUAACUUUGGCAGGUCCAUUAUUUUUCUUUGUACAUUCUACACAAAUUAAAAUAGUUUUGAAUUAUUAUUUUUACAUGCUCUAUCAUGUUUAAAUUAGUUUGAUAUUUUGGAUUACAACACAAGUUUAAUGUAAAUUUGGCAACCAGUUUUUCUCUAUUAAGUAUAUGUACAACGAACAACUGCACCCAGAAAGGGCUGGAAUAUUCUGAUCUGAGGUACAUCUGAACAGCCAAAAAAUAAGAUACAUAUUCAAGUUUCAAAAUAAAUGAAUACAAAACAUUCAUGUAUAUAGAGGAUGGUUACAAGUAUGUGGAUGUAAAUUCUGAACAUAAACAUGAGAAUACUAUGUGACAUAUAAAAACCAGACAUAAUGGCUAAGGAACAAUGCAAGUCACAAGUAUAGCAAGCUAAAAUAGAUUUCUCCACGUUGAAAAUUGAUGCUUUUAUGCCCGUCAAUCGGGUGAGUCUAAAGGCACUACAUGAUAAUCAACUGGAAGGUAGGUAGAUUAGGUAGUGCAUGCAGUCACCUUUAUAGUUCGGCCGGCCGGCUGCUAACGAUGAGAAAUAUGCAUGGACCUGCCAUUGCGUGGACAUUAUUUAAAGGCCUCACGCACACAUUCUCCUUCCUACCCAAACAAAGCUAUCUAUAGCCCAAGCUACUAAAUCUUUGAAGCAAAGAAGCAACGGUUAAUUUCCAUGGCGUCCGGCAAUGCUGCUACUCCUGCGUUCAGCUACGAGCCCUCACUAUGGAUCGACUUCUUUGCUGGAUAUGAGCCACCGCCAUUACAGGUAUACAAUAAAAGCUAACAAUUUAUGGCACAAAAUGUCACCAUGCACAAAGGUAUUUAUUUCUAACUAUUGUAUGCAUAUUUGUACUAGUAUCUACUACUCCGGCCAACGUUAGGCCAGCCCAAGAGGUGCCAAAAUGUACACCAUGCACCCACUACUUGCAGGCCCAAGUAGGAACACAUUUCUAAUUACCAUCCAUGCUCCUCUAGAGAUCCAUGUCAACCGGUUGCUUAUCGUGUGUACAUCACUAGUCAACACUUCUUAUAGUAUCUGAAUAUGUGUAUAGACUUUAUAUUUCACAUAUCCAGCGGCACAGAUUUGUCAUAUUCAGAUGUCUACUUUGUAUAUCAUCAACACCAUUCAUAGUCAUAAGUAAAUCGUCUUGUGUAACUCCAUGCUUGAGCGGAAGCAACUUGAAACCACAUGCAUGCUUUUGAAAUUAAAUAUGCUGGCCAUGACCGACACCCUUAAAAGAUACAUGUGGGUAGCCUUUGGUUGGCAUAUGUUGGAAAGUUGGGCUCAGUGAAAGGGUAUAUGGUUAUUCUACACAGUCAUGUACUUUUGGUCCAUUUUCUUUCACUCGAGAUACGAGUUGUUCGAUUUGUUUUCAACUAUUUUUGGUUUUGGCGACCAUUUUUUUUACCUAGCUAACCCUGGUCCCUUUUGGUUAAUUAAAAAUGUUCAAUGCUUGCAUUGCAGAAAUCCAAGGAGUGGAUGACGCUUAGGGCAAAAAAACUGAAGGAAGACAUAUGUAUGUUGUUUAAAACCAGCAAUGACACAGUGGUAAAAAUGUCCUUAGUGGAUACACUACAACAUCUCGGAAUCGCUCACCUCUUUGAAGACCAAAUUAAUACCGCUAUGAGGCAAAUCCUGAAGAGUGAAUUUAGUAACUACAACCUCUAUGAAGUUGCCCUUCGGUUUCGCUUGCUGAGGGAACAUGGACACUGGGUAUCUCCAGGUAUAUAUAAUCCUAACAAUUUUUUCUUGUUAUACAUAGUUGGUUAUGAAAAAUUAUGAAAGAAAAAUCAUGACGUGCAAAUUUUUAACUGGCUAAGAAAUUGAGUUAUCAAUAUUAGAUUGGUAACCUUAUUUGUAAAAUAUUUCAUAAUAUGGAUGACAUGUCUACAACAAUAGAAGCUCCAUUGACAAUGUGGUCACGAGAACACCAACAUUUAUUUAUCGAUUUACAGAUGUUUUCAAUCGAUUCAAAAGUGAAGAUGGAAGCUUCAUCAAUGAUAUAACAAAUGAACCCAGGACACUAUUAUGUCUAUACAAUGCAUCUCAUCUUCUAAUUCAUGGUGAGCCAGCACUCGAAGAAGCCAUAACUUUUGCAAGGCGUUAUCUUGAGUCAUGUAGUGGUAGUUUAAAGACCCCACUAGCUCAACAAGUCCAACUGCCCUUCACAUACCAAUGCCAAGGACAAAUAAGAGGGUGGAAAUGCUACAUUAUAUCCUAGAGUACGAACAAGAGGAGCAUAACCCGAUCCUACUGGAGCUUGCCAAAUUGGAUUUCAACCUUCAGCAAAAUGUUCACUUGAAGGAGCUCAAAGCUAUUACCAGGUAUGUUAUAUAUCUUUCUCAUAUAAACAGAAGAGAUAACCCAGUAAUGAUUCAUGGGUGGUUGCCCUCGCAUACUACAUCUUCAAACAAACAAAAAACCAAAAGUCUAGUUACUACUACAUUUCUAGUACUUAACGUCAUUGAAAUUAAGAGCUUACGUGGUUGCCUUUUUUGAUCAAUAUGAGAAUGCAUAUUCACUAAUGGUUCAUGAUGCUUCAGUGUUUCAUUAGUUUCUGUGCAUUAUAGGAUAAUGACAUACAUGGUGUAGUGAUAGAGGAAUGCACAUGCUUUUAGUAAUAAUUGACCAUUGUUCUUUUAUCUCUUAAUGGGGCUAGCGAUGUUAUAUUCUAUGUGGACUAUAUAUUUACUAGUUCAGAUAACAUUGCUUAAUUAAUUCACAGGUGGUGGAAACAUUUUUCCGGAUAUAUCGAGCUAAGCUUUAUCCGCGAUCGUGUGGUGGAGGGUUAUACAUGGGCCUCUGUGUUGUACUAUGACACAAAAUUUGAGCUCACUCGAAGUAUGAUCACAAAGAUGAUUGUACUAAUUACCACAUUAGAUGACAUAUAUGACAACCAUGCCACCCUAGAGGACAGUUGGAAGCUACAUGAAGCAAUACAAAGGUGAGAUUGAUUUAGCUCUACAUUUUAUCUCUCAAAUUGUCAAUGCAUCUAAUGUAUAUUCCACUAAGAUAGCGAUUCCAUAUCAUAUCAAUAUGUCCUUAGAAUUACUCGCAACCACAGUCAAUAAAUAUGUGCGCAACGUGAUUUUUCCAUGAUGUUCAAAGUGAUAAAGUAAUUACGAACAUGUAUGUACUGGAUAAUAACUAUUUUUAGUAUUUAAGAAGAAGUAAUUGAACACCCUGCAUUGUCUUGACCAUAAGAGUGCAAUUCUAACAAGAAAAAAAUGGUAUACAAAUAAUGCUUCAAACCAGGAGCAUAUUACUAUUCUUUGGAUAAUCACCCUGUCCAGAGGUGGACGAGCUGAAUCCGAUGGUGAACUAUUGAUUUUCCCGGUGCCCCCCACCCCCCUCCCCGCGCGCGGGCAGAUCCACAGCUAAAAUUCCAUGUUGUUACGAAUUUUUCAUAAGUCUUAACAUAAUAGCACUCAUUGGUACAUACAAGUAAUGAGCUAAUGCUCACUACUAUCUAGUUACAAUUGCAAUUUCAAAUGAAUAUGUGAUGCAUGAUUAGAUUGUUAUUUUAUUAAAACAAACAUAUAUGUCGCCAUAAUAAGAGGUGGAUGAAAGAAAACCUAAAUGCAGUAACGAAUGAGAUAUAUUGCCUAUAAUGAAAUCUUGAUGUCAUGUUACACUAUUUCCCUCAUGGAGCAAAGUGAAACUAGUGGUUCUUAAUGUGUUGAAGAAAGACGAAGAGUACAGAAAAAUAAAAGGCUAGGUUAACAUACAAACAAAGAAUUGUCAAACUACGAUAACUUGUCUUAAGAUUGUUUUUGUGAAAUGGCCUUCAAGAUGGGAUAAGAGCGCCGCUUUUCUCCUGCCGGAGUAUUUGAAGAAUUUCUAUAUGGAGAUGCUGAGGACAUUUGAGAAUAUUGAGGCUGAAAUGCCAGCCAAUACGAACUACGAUAUAGCACACCUGAAAAAAGCGGUAAGUUCAUGUACCCUUUUCUGUCUUGUAAAAAACAACAUAUCACUCUGUGUGUGUGUGUGUAUGGUUGUGCAUCUCUCUCUCUCUCUCUCAUUAAUUUUGGGAUUACAUCUCUUUGUUUGUGUGCAGGUCCAAAAUAACGUGACUGGUUACCUGCAAGAAGCGAAAUGGUCACACGGGAACCACAAGCCAAGCUUUGUAGAUCAGGUCAAGUUGACUAGUCUGAACAUUGGUGUGCCAACGAUAUGUGUGAGUAUGAUGUCUGGAAUGAGUGAUGCAAUGAUGAAGACAACACUCAAAUGGGCUGCUAGUGUCCCAGAUGUCGUCAUAUCAGUCGGGAAGAUUUCCCGUUUCAUGAAUGAUAUCGGUGCAUUUGAGGUAUAUAUAUAAUAUUUCAAAAUUAUUUUUUGCAUGCAUGUUACUUGCUCCUUUCACACAUGUAAGAAGCUCAAGUUCAAGCAUGUUGAGAUAUAAUUUUGACCAACAAUCUGAGUGCUAAAAUGUGAUUUAUUUGACAAAAAAAUCAUAGUAUGGAUUAUAUUUCAAAUUAUUUUUUAGCACUGUCAUUUUUGUGAUGCUACCUUAACUUGAUUGGUUUAUUCUGUAUAAAUUUGUACACAUCAAAAUGUGUGGGCACCUAUGGAAAAAGGGGGCAGGGCUCAGUUACCAAGUUUGUACUAUCAUUGUGAGUGCAUGCAAGAUUAUUAAAUUGAUACAUACUUACAUAAAGAUGAUUAUUGAUGUCAUCAUACAGCGUCGUAAAUGCAAGGGGGAUCUGGAAAGCACUAUAGAGUGUUACAUCAAUGAGUACAACGUGACAAGUGAAGUGGCCAUUACCAAAAUUGUUGCCCUGAUAGAACAAGAAUGGAAGACCCUGAACCAAGCUCGCUUUGAAAAUCAUCUUCUCCCUGCAUUGCAGCAGUUCAUUAGCUUAGUGAUUAGCACAACAUUUUUCUAUGGUAACAGAAAUGAUAUAUACACGCACAACACACAUAUGCAGUGGACUAUUGAGAGGCUCUUCCUGAAGAAUAUGUAAGCCUUGGCCCAAUUCAUCGUGUAUUUGUUCCCUAGUUUUCACCAUAGGAAGGGAAAUGGUGAUAAGCAUGCAUGUGAUUCACUGAUAAUUUGUGAAAUGCAACAGUGCAAGGAAGUUGUAGUAGUGCAUUUUAUUAUGUCAAGGACUAAAACUUUAUCUCGACUAAAACUUUAUCUUAUGUAAAGGACUAAACAUAUCGAGGUAUGUUCGAGUUCGUCAGAGAUUGAAAGAGCUGUGCAUAUAUCAAACUUGACUACUCAUGGAUAAGCUUGCUCAUACUUUUUUACAUAGAGAUAUUAUUUGACAUAGCCAAUGUCAGUCAGAAUAAGAUGAAAAAUAAUCUGAUAGUCCAACAAGAGCAAUGCAAACAUGUACAGAGGUACAGACAAGACAACAGAGCAACAAAAACAUUCUGGUUCAAUAAAGGUGCUCUAUAUAAUUAUUACUAUAUACAUUCCAUGUGUAUAUCAAAAUAGCUUUGAAGCGUGGCCAUAGAAAUCCCAGCAGCUGAAGGUCAAACUUUCUGCUUAUGGUGAUCCCAAAUUUCUUAUACAUGUUCAGUGUCUCUUCAAUUGGCUCGUUGGUAAUUAGCACCAGCCAAAUUGGUGGAGAAGAUUUGCCAAGACAAUCUUUACGGUGGUCAUGCUGAACAGCGCCGAAAGAGGUGAAUUCAAAAUGUGUCCCAUAAUAAUCCAUAUUAUUCUCAAACCUCUCCGGCUUGAACGAUCCCUCGCUCGCUUUCAGAGUCAAUUGGCACAAUCCAGGUUAUGAGCUCAACGAAAAAAGGAUUUUGUGAGAUUGCUUGCAAAACCGCCUUGCGAGCGUCAGCGUUAGCGUACACUACAAGAAAUAAGUCAACUUAUGACCAACACUAGUGGUCACUGAAAGGUCACAAAUUUCCAUUUAUGACCUUUUUGUGACCAAAAACAGAAGGUCAAAAGCUGGCCGUCGUAAACUGACUAUAGCGACCUUUCUUCUGGAAUGGUCAAAGACGUUACGACCAAAAUAUUCCUACUGUGGCGUUUUGGUCACUAGAAACCUCCCCCAGGCCACGUAGGCAUCCAGCGUGGCAAGCUGAUGUGGCACAAGAUUCAGCCCGGUCCAAUUCGAUUUUCUACAUGGGCCAAGCCCAACAAUUCAGCCUAUUUGUGUUUUUUUUCAUCAAUUUUUGGUCAGGAUCAUGGGCCAAGCCCAAUAUGGCAGCCUUUUUUAUUGUUGGGCCACGGCCAUUUUGGCUAAACAAUUUCAUUUCUUUUUUAUUAAAUGGGUCCACUAGUCAGAUGGGUCCCAAUUGUUAGGUUCUGGUAACAGGUUUCCAUUUGUCAGGUAAGUAGGUCCCAUCUAUCAGACUCAUAUUCUUCAUAUUUCAUGCAGUAUUUAGAUUCACAGAGACAAAAAACACACAUAAUACUUAAACAAGAGCAACCAGAUCACAUAAUACAAUACUUUACAAGCUCCAUCCGUGCCAUUGCAAAGGGCCAUGUAUAAUACAAUACUUUACAAGCUCUACAAGUGUAACAUAGUACUACUUCACAAGCUCCUGGACUGGCUGGACUCUCUCAUAUUUCUAUGCAACUUCAACAGGACAAAAACUUUGGUAGUCAGGGCUGGAACCAUAAUCAGAUGAACAACACGCUGGACUCGCUCGACGGCGAUAGUCAGGGCUGAGACCAAACAAAACAGCAACAUGGCUUCCUCUGUCAUCCUGUUACAUGAAUCAGAAAAGAAUGAGAAAAACUGGGGCAAAUAUAUUAUGAACAGACCAUUCAAGAACAGACCAUUCAACAUUCAGCUAGUACCAUGCUUUUUGUUGUCGAGCUAGUUAAAAUGAGAUAGUAGUUCAUAUAAGAAACAGAGACACAAUAUGAAUAUGCAUGGCACAUAUGCAGGUUGUGCAAAAAACUGCACUACAACACAUUGCACCUAAAACAAAAUACCAUUCUACUAUCACGACCAUACAUUCAACUGGUAAAAUCUAACAAUACUCGUCAGCACACGCAUACUAAACUUCACAAAGGCAGGAGAGAAUAAAGGGAACCAAAGAAGAUACCUAUGGAUGAUAGUGUCGACGAUGAUCUGGAUUGAGUUAGCAUUGAUGAGGAAGUGGAUGGUGUCCAUGGUGUGCUUUAGAUGCACACAGCCAUGAGCUUCUUGCCGGUGUUGCAUCCGUUCGCUCAAUGAUGGGUACCAAUGCAUCCAAGUAGAAUAAAACCACCAACAUUAACCUAAAGCAGAGCAAGUGUACAGCAAGUGUGAAUGUGAUACAGUAAAAAAUUGCAUGCUAUGUACAUCAAGUUAAAAGGCACAAGUUAUACAGUAACCUAAAGCAGAGCAAGUGUACAUCAAGUUGAUAAAAAAAUGCCCAGUCAUGGCAUUUGAUUUCACAAGAGAAGAAUGUGUAAGGUGCAAUGUUGUGUACACUUUGUAAUUCUAUAAUAAUUUGUAGUGCACUGCGGCUAGAAGCCAGAGUACACUUGAAGCUACGAACUACGCAACAAGCCGGAAACUCCAACAACAAGAAGCAGAGUUGAGUUCCUAGCCAUCAGACUAGACUGGAACUCCCAGCAUUUGCCUCUUAAAUUUUUAUAUAAAGUGAAAAUUCCCAGCAAGGUAGAUAGUGAUCAACUUGCUGUACAACAAGUGCAGAGCAGCUACACAAGAAAAAUACAAGCCCACUGAUACUAGUUGUGCACUUGUUUCUUUCGUUCACCACUGAUCUGGUCUGUAGUGAAACUGAAAGCACGGCCAAAAGAAGUUAAAAAAUGUUAUUAGUUGUAAGAGGAUAUAGAUGCCACUAGAUCUCAGAACAAUAUCAGAUCAGGUUGUUGAAGACGUUGAUGACGAUGUUGUCGUUGGUGACGGCGUCGAUCUGCGGCCCCGGGAACUGCAUGUUGAUCAGGAUCCCCUGCACCGCCGCCAACAUCAGCCCAAGAACAGAGCAAGAGGAAGAGUGCAAUGCGGUGGGUUUCCAUGGCCGGGCUUCAUCCCGUCGCUUGUCGCUGUUCCUCCUGUCCUACCUGCAGAGACAAAGACGGGUGUGAGAGGGAGGGGGAGAUUGAUCCACCUGUAGUACUAGGAUUACGCAGCAACUAGUAGCAGAACUAGCAAGAAAUAACCAAAUUGAGUGUACAGCAAUAUCAUAUGAAUCCGCAACACAAUCAAGCAACAGAUGGGUAGAAGAACAGCUGCUGCAUAAACCGUGAACUCCAGGUGGAGAAAUAACCCUUUUCAUGAGUAUACUAAGCACUAAUAUGGGUUACAACUAGUUGAUAACUGACACCGUGUAGACCAUGAUGUGAGUAUACUAAGCACUCAUAUGAGUAUUACCAAGGACUUCCAUGACAUUAUUACCUCAAAGACAUACUGGAAAAUUAAAACUGCACUGUUUAUGCCUCUGAUCACAUAAAAGCAGCUACCUCCCUUAACAAAUUCACAUCACUGUCAGUUUUGUGAUAUUGAUGCAUAAAUAGCUCUAAGAUCAAGUUAAUAAAUCUAUUUAGAAUGUAGUGUGUGCAGCAAGAAACUUGAUUGAGAAACCAUGCUCUAUCUAGGCAUAAUACUCCUGAUUGAGAAAUUUGCACGGUUUCCAAAUUCCUCGUCCUGCACACGAGUAGCUACAAAUCCACCUGAAAGCUAGAUAGCGCGACUUGCAGCAACCAAAACUAGGGAGCAGAUGCCGUGUGUCUAGUAAGAAGAGGAGGAGCACGGAGACGAGGCCGUACCUUGGAGGCGCUCGCGGGGCUUCUCAAGGGCCUCGCGGAGGAACUGGUCGACCUACGUGACCGGAUCGUCCCCGCGCGCGGGGUCCUGCUCCUGCGGUCGUCAGCGAGGUCGGGCGAGGAGGAGACCCGGCGCGCAGCGGGGAGGGCCGAGGGGGAGGUGGUGGAGGAGGAGAGGAGCAGGCGGCUCAUGGCCCCAUCGAGGCCGGCCGUCUCCCACGAGUCCGGCGCCGCGGCAGCAGCAGCCGUCGCGUCCUCCUCCAUGCCUGCUGUGCGCGGACCGAUCUGCUCGCGGCUGGCGAACUAGAAGCCGGUGAGGCGGCCGGCGGGGGAAGCGGCCAUCGGGGGUCGGGGCUCGACGGCGAGAUCUGGGGAGGCGCGCGGCGGGGGGCGAGCAAGCGAGCUGGCUAGGGUUUGGUCCUCUGGUCUGGAUUUGCGGGGUGAGGUGGGGAAGAGGAGAGGGUGAGGGAGGGAGGGCACCGCCGCCGGCGACGGGAAGCAAGAGAGAGGGAGGCGGCGUCUAUUUGGAUCGGGGAGAGAGAGAGGGAGGGAGGCGGCGUCGAUCUGGAUCGGAGAGAGAGAGAGGAUCUGAAUCGGGGGCGGGAGGUAGGUGGCGGCUACGAGUGGAUCUGAAUCGGGGGAAAGAGGGCAGAGGAGUGGAGUUACGGUUUGGGUUGGCCCGAUGAGGAGUGGAGUGAGAGACGUUGGAUUCGCCUGGUAUGGACGGUUCAGAUCACAUAGAGUGGGGUGAUCCGUGAGAAGUUUUCUGAUUGGUCCGAGAAAUCUGUGAUUUAAAAUAAUUUCCAAGUACUAAAGAUAGAGCUAUUUUGUGAAGCAACUAUCAAAAAUAUUUUGCAAAAGGGCAUUAUACAAAUUUUCUCUCAAGCUGGACCACAUUUUAUGGAUGAGCACCAAUUUGUAUGCAUUUCUGAUCUUUCUAGCUAUUUUUAAUCAUUUUUUGAGUGUCCCAACUGAGGACCUAUAAUAUAUUUGUUGCAAAAUUGGACCAAAUCAUUUUUCUAAAAUACUAGGCCAUAUUUAAUUCAGAAUUGACCAAAUUAUUGGGUGUAAAAAGUUUUGAUCCACCUCUGGUGAAAAAGACAAAUUUUCGCCGAUUCAGCUGGAAGCGGGUCAAAUUUGAACUGCGGAUGCCUCAUAGUUUGCUAUUUAUUUUUUACAAAAAUCAAUUAUAGGUACAAAAGUAUCUAUUUAAUCAGAGAAACACCAAAAAAAUUCCAAGAUUUAACCACUAGCUAGGAACGGUCAUUCCCGCCAUUUUGACCGCAUUUUGAAACGGGCAUAAAAAAUUCAAAAAAAAAUCAAAAAAUUGGGAAACCUUCGCUUUGUGUCAUUAUAUGUGGCCAAGUUCCCAGGAAAAAUAACAAACUUGUAAUACGACAAUUAUUUUAAAAAAGUGUUCUCAGAAAUGAGCUAUCAUAUCUGAAGAUUCAUGGCUUUCAAGCCAAAUGAUCAAUCCUAUGGCCACAUUCAUGGCAUAGUUUGUUCAAAUGAUCUCAUAUGUGCACAAGGAUGCAUAUUGCAAUGGCAAACAAUGUUGCCUAAGGGAGUUUUCAUUUUCUUUGGACGAAAAAACCAUUUUCCAUUUUUUGAGUGCCCAACAGGAGGUUUUUUUGUGAAGGACCUCCCAAAUAAUUGUUGCCAAAUUGGACCAAAACAUUUUUAUAAAAUACUAGGCCAUAUUUAAUGCACAAUAGACAAAAUGGUUGGGUGAAAAAAGUUUUGAUCCACCUCUGAUGAAAAAGACAAAUUGUCGUCGAUUCAGCUGGAAACAGGUCAAAUUUGAACUGUAGCUGCCUCAUAGUUUGCUCUUUAUUUUUUCCACAAAUCAUUUCUAGGUACAUAAGUAUCUAUUUAAUCAUAGAAACACCAAAAAAAUUCCAAGAUUCAACCACUAGCUAGGAACGGUCAAGCCCGCCGUUUUGACCGCAUUUUCAAACGGGCAUAAAAAAUUCAAAAAAAAUCAAAAAAUUGGAAAACCUUUGCAUUGUGUCAUUAUAUGUGACCAAGUUUCCAGGAAAAAUAAUAAACAUGUAAUACGGUAAUUAUUUUAAAAAAGUGUUCUCAGAAAUGAGCUAUCAAGUGUGAAGAUUCAUGGCUUUCAAGCCAAAUGAUCAAUCUUAUGGCCACAUUCAUGGCAUAGUUUGUUCAAAUGAUCUCAUAUUGUGCACAAGGGUGCAUAUUGGAAUAGCAAACAAUGUUGCCUAAGGAAGUUUUCAUUUUCGUUGGACGAAAAAACCAUUUUCCAUUUUUCAAGUGCCCCAAAGGAGGUUUUUUUGUGAAGGAACUACCAAAUAAUUGUUGCAAAAUUGGACCAAAUCAUUUUUAUAAAAUACUAGGCCAUAUUUAAUGCACAAUUGACAAAAUGGUCUGGUGUAAAAUUUUUUGAUCCACCUCUCAUGAAAAAGGCAAAUUUCUGCCGAUUCAGUUGGAAGCGAGUCAAAUUUGAACUGCAGCUGCCUCAUAGUUUGCUAUUUAUUUUUCCAAAAAUCAUUUCUAGUUACAUAAGGACCUAUUUAAUCAUAAAUACAUGGUUUGGUGGCAAUACGUCGAGGUUUGGGCGGUGGCCGAGGGCCCCAACUCUAGAGCGCGUAAACUCGCAUGCCCGCCGCGUGGUCACCGCGUGACCGUGGCGUUGCCAUGUGUUCUGGGCGGCCUAGGCAUGUCUAGUGGGUUGGGCACUCCCCAGGUUGGUGCUAGGAAGAAAAUUACAACAUAAGAUUCUCAUGAGGAGACCAAUCGAUGCUUAAACAUGAAUUAGCAGCCAAGUGUUUGAUUAGCGGUACGGGAAAUGUACAUGGCUAAUGGGUGUGAGUUUUGGCUAAGGAUGAUCAGUUACUAAGAAGACCGUUUUCACAAAUUUUCAGCUCAAAAGGAGGAGCCUAGGUGGUACUUGCUUUGCAAACCACCACACUGGACAUAAAUACGAAUGUUGAAGCUCGGCUCAACAUAAUGAAUGGAUUGAGCUGGCAUUUGGUGGAGGAUGGUUAUUUGGGCAUAGGAAAGCAUUGUAGAAAAUGGAUACUAUUUGGACAUGCCAAAGUGGUACUUCCUUCACAAACUGUUACUCUGAACAGAAUAGGAAAAUGAAUAUUUUUGAAUUAUUUUUGAACUAGGCAAGGAAGGUUUUUACAUAUUUGACGAAGGUAUGACCCAAAGAAUUUAUGAGAUUUUUUUGGGAAUUUUGGGAAUGACAGAAAUAUAGGUUGCUUCACAACCCAGGGCAAAAACUGCCACAUGGACAUGACACAUAGGCAAAACUGAUGAGGUGGCGCCUAGUCAUAGCAACCGACCACAAUUUACAAGGCUAUGACCAUCUAUAUUGGUCGUUAACAACUAGAAAUAAGGCAGCGGACUAGCACUGUUAGCUUUAUGACCAUUUCAUGUAAGGAAAUUAUGACCUUUCUGACCAAAAUGGUCGCAAUGGUUUAGGGUUUGGAGCCCCUCGAACAGCUUUUGACCAAUUGGUCUCAAAUGGUCAUAAAUCUAUGACCAAUUCUUCCAGGGUCACUGACAGAAGGUCAUAAGUUGACAUAUUUCUUGUAGUGGUAAGCUCCUUCUCCCGAUGGAUAUUUUUUGCGCAUCUCCAAUGGCGCCUUGGCCCUAUUUUCUUCUUCGUCUAUUGGGGAGUAACUUAGGAUCUCGGGAAAUUAUAAAAAACAAUAAUGAAGAUAUUAGUGCCUGUAGGCAUGUCAUUGCCCAUGAUUUCACAGUCCUCUCUAGUCUCUCUUGCGACAAGCAGGAGAGUAGGAGGAUGCAACCUAAACACCUCCUUGAUGACCGUAAGCAUGUAGUAAAGCUCACUGAGAUCGGUACUCUUCAUGAUAUACCAAUCUUGGCCUGGCUCUUCCCGGACCUAUAGAUGUGCCUUAGCCAUAGCGUCAGUGUUAUUUUGGAAACAACGACAUAGAAUCAGGGUCGGUCCUGAGAUUUUGAGGGCCCGGGGCGAAACUAAAACUCGGGGCCCCUUAUAGUAUAACUAUCGUAACAAUAAUAAUCAAUAUCUUUACGGUAUCUGCCAUCCUCCAUUUCUCACUAUCCUAAAUGUGAGAUAGAUUAUGGUAAUGCAAAAAAGAUCGGCUCCGCAAUUUGCAGGAAUAUCCCUUAUUCUCUCCAAGGCAGCUACAACCCUUCCCCAUAUCAUACCAACAAAUAAAGGGAAUAUACACUGGGUGAAACCUAACAUAUUNNNNNNNNNNNNNNNNNNNNNNNNNNNNNNNNNNNNNNNNNNNNNNNNNNNNNNNNNNNNNNNNNNNNNNNNNNNNNNNNNNNNNNNNNNNNNNNNNNNNNNNNNNNNNNNNNNNNNNNNNNNNNNNNNNNNNNNNNNNNNNNNNNNNNNNNNNNNNNNNNNNNNNNNNNNNNNNNNNNNNNNNNNNNNNNNNNNNNNNNNNNNNNNNNNNNNNNNNNNNNNNNNNNNNNNNNNNNNNNNNNNNNNNNNNNNNNNNNNNNNNNNNNNNNNNNNNNNNNNNNNNNNNNNNNNNNNNNNNNNNNNNNNNNNNNNNNNNNNNNNNNNNNNNNNNNNNNNNNNNNNNNNNNNNNNNNNNNNNNNNNNNNNNNNNNNNNNNNNNNNNNNNNNNNNNNNNNNNNNNNNNNNNNNNNNNNNNNNNNNNNNNNNNNNNNNNNNNNNNNNNNNNNNNUUUUGUUCCAUCCAAAACCAAUUCAUAUGAAAUAAUUUAUACCCACAAAUACACGUAAUGGUGAAAAUAAAAAUACAUCAUACGUUGAGCAGUGCUCAAUCUAGGCAUCAUGUAUGCAAAGAUAAAUUACAUAAUUAGCUGAUAGGGAAUACUAGUAAUUAAAACCUGGGAUCUGUUGGAGGAUGCGGUCUGGAUUGGAUGUAUGUCUACGCUUGGCGACGACGGACGACAUCUCCAGUGGAGAUUGGGGAGCGGAGGUCGCCGAUAAAACGGCGACUCGCGAUUAGGAUCGCGAUCCUCUUGGAGAAGCGAACUCGCGAUUAGAUCUGACCAUCUCGGAAGGGAAUAAUUAGGCAUCCAAACAGGCAUGCGGUCAAAGCUACAACUACGAGCUACACAUCGGAUGAGGAGUCGAGGAACGAGCCGCUGUGUGCCUUAGGCUAGACACAGCCUGCGUCUCCAUGUUCAGCCCAUGCCCUAGUGCGUAGUGGGCUUAGCCUAGCUGGCUAAUGUAUACGUACCCUGGGUGGGGGCCCCUGCAUCCUGGGGGCCCGGGGCGGCCGCCCCCUCUGCCCCCCCUCAGGGCCGGCCCUGCAUAGAAUGUAGAAGGGAAUGGCUAGUGGUAAGUCGACUAAAUUUUCAGUUAUGUUCUUUUGAUUUCGUUUCAGCCAUGGGAUGGAAAACAGGCGGUGCAGAUUACUUCUUCAUCCUCCAGACAACUUUCUUCUUCUCCAUCCAACAGCCAGAUGGACCACCGGCCCAACCGUCGACCACCACCACCCGCGGCCAGCGGCGCUCCCGCUCAGCCUCACCGCCCCGCCCACCCCUCAUCCUCCUCCCACCGACAUGCUGCUGCCCCUCGCCAUCCCUCCAGCCCUGGCAAUGACCAUUUUUUUCUCUGGCGAACUUGCACCACCGCCGUGCUGCCACCCCUACCUCCCCCCUUCAUCAACGAUAGAUGAUGGGGUAGCCUCCUAGGGAGCUCCUUCCUUCACUCCGGCGAGUCAGAAGCUGCUUCUUCCUUCCCUCUGGCACCUGCUUCCUUCUAGCGAAAAUCGAACAAACCAAAUUGGAUUUUCAGGCGACUGAUGUUUAGCUAUUAUGAAUGUGAAAAGACAAAUAAAGAGUGGCUUGACAAGCAAGAAUAACCAUUCAAAAAAGUACACAUCCGAUCGAUCUCACAUAUUAUAAUAUCUAUAGGAGUAGCGUUGCAUCCAUCUGUAUUAACUAACCUGCAUCUACCCGUUAUAAUGACCUGACAAACCAGCAAAGGUAUAGCUAAGACAGUCUGGCCAUUCUGCACCAUGUUGAGAAUGAUGUAUAGGCCAAUUUAUAGCCCACACUUUAGAGCCUUACUUAAUUCUUCGGUGUCCCACAUCCUUCACGCAUGUUCAUACACUUGCGUCAUGGAUAAUGGAUAUGCAUGUGAUGUGUCCUAUCCCUUCCCUGCCACAAGCGUGACAUUAACCUAGUAAACAAAAUAGAAUUUAUUAAGACGAUCACUUUGGUUUAUUUGUUGCUAUUUUUAUCCUUGUAGAAUUCAGGAUGUUUAUUUUGAGAAACAAAGCUCAUUUGUAUACUUUGUUAUAACACAAUUAUUAUUUUCUUCUUCCUCUUCUAUCACGAAUUCACCUACCUCCAUUGUUGACAUGGUCAGAUUUUAGGGCGACAUGCUGACAGCUAUGCCUUCUUUCGCAUUGACAUGACCGUCAACUCGACAAGCAGAGAUUGUUGACAUGGUUUCAUCUGCCAUCGGUGUUGUACACAACAAAACUUGAACAAGUGUAUUGGAGCUAGUUUCAUCUGCCACACAUCAUGUAUCCUACUGCAUAAGGUUUUGCAUGGAUAUAAACAGGGAGCAUCGCACAUUAUGGGGUAGCUAAGCUACAAACAUUAAUAUAUGCUUUUGUAUCCAGAUUUAUUAAUUUAAAAUAUCUUACUAUUUAUGUAAAUAACAUGUACAUUAUUGGUCUUGGAUUAUUUCUAAAGGUAGGAGCAUGAGUUAAUUGGUGGAUUUACAAAUGUUAAAGGGAAUUAUAAAUAUGCAUAACAUUCAUCAUGCAUAUAUUACUUUUCCCUAUUGACAAAGUGUUUUUAAUGGUUAACAAUCUUAAUGAUCUUUAUAAUAAUGUUCAAAAAAGAAAUACCUAGCCUGCUCAAGUGCAUGAGUUGAGGAAUUGCCGACUUAACCACAACUAUUACGGCAUUAACGGAUAACAUAAUCAUGUAUUCCAUUUGUUCUUUAUGCCGGGAACCGCCCAUCACCCAAACUAGUAAAGCCUCUAUCUCACCUCCGCCUACGACGUAGCGGCUUUGUUGCCUGCUCCGACUUAUUCCUGGCAAGCCCUCGCCGGGGACGCUCCGUCUCGGUUCGACAAUCUGCGUACGGGGGAGGACUCGACUGACGCUCAAAAAACAUUCAUAGGGUUCCUUAUUAGCAAACACGGUACAACCAAGAGACUUUGAUCAGCCCAGCUAAUUAACUAGUUUUGAUCUCUGUCCUUUCAAGCUCUAGGUGAGCACGCAAUGGCCGCUUCAUGACAGUGAAGAACUCAACAUGAGGUCGGAGAUCAACGGCACGUUCACCUUCUCCCUCCCUCCACCGGAACUCCCUCACAAGGUUGGCGGUGAAGUAGCUUAAGUGCAGCAUUGCGACACCCCUACCAGGGCACAUCCUCCGACCACCGCCGAAAGGCAUCAUUUUGAUCGUGCCGUCGGUUCCUUGGGAUGCAUCCUUGUAGGACAGGAACCGUUGUGGCUUGAACUUGUCAGGGUUAUCCCACGCUGUCAUGUCUCGUGCUAUAGCAGCCAGUGGGAAGUACACUUUUGUGCCCACUAGAAUAGGCUGGCCAUUGUGAACCACAUGAUCCUCUUCCAUCACCUGCCUGAACGCAAAAGACGUCGGCGGAUGCAGCCGGAGUGCCUCCAUGAUCACAGCAUGCAGGUACUCCAGCUUUCCAAGAACAACCUCGCUGACUUCCUCGGCGUCCGCACCCACGAUGGCAUUGAUCUCCUUCCGGACGGUCUCCUGUAUGUCGGGACGCUUCACCAAGUUGGCCAUGAUCCACUGCAGCGCUGAUGCUGUUGUUUCAGUUCCAGCACCAAGGAACUCGGAGCACAUGCCGACGAGUUCACCAUCGGACUGCCUUCUCCGAUGCCGCCUUGGGUCCUGACUGUGGUCGUCCGGCACCGUGAGAUCGAUGAGUGUGUCCACAUACACCGGCGUCUCGCUGGGUCGCCGGUGCCGGCCGCGACGGGAGUUGAUGAGUGGUAGGUACGUCUCCUCCUGCUGCUGUCGCAAGGCGGCUAGCUUCUUCCACCGAUUACGAUAAAUGAGCCUGGUCAGUGCGGGGAGCUUCGCGUGCGCGAACACGCGCGCCGUAGAUAGGGACUUGACGAGGUCACUCUGAGCGUCGGCCAUGGCACGGACGCGGUUAUUGUUGAUGUUGUCGCCGAAACACAUGUUGGCCACCAGGCCAAACAUAGCGUAGCGGAUGCUCUCCGCCGCGUGAACCACGCCGUUUUUCCUCUGCUCGGCGAGGUCCACGACAAGACCAUGUAGUGCACGGCGGCGCGCUGACGCGUGCCGGUGGAGCUGCGUUGGGUGGAGGACCUCCGAUGUGAGGUUGUGACGAAUGGCGCGCCAGUGCUCACCGUAGGGAGCGGAGGUGAUGUUCUGGUAUUGACGGUGCGAGAGGAUGGCGCUGGGAGAAAUGGACGGUGGGCGGUUGGAGAAGGAGCCGCCGGCGCUGCCGCGCACGAGAAGGCUGUGCGCCGUCUCAUGGUCGGUGACAAAGAUACUAGCGGGCUGCGGCUUCCACACCGUGGAGAGCUCCGGCGCUAGAACCAACUUGGCCGUCGUGAGGAGGGCUUUGAUGGGGGAGGCAUGGAGGAGGAUGAAGAAAAGGAGAAGCAAGGGAAGCAGGAUGAGGAGGAGCAGGUCUGCCAUGUCUUGAUAGACUGAGCCGCGUCUGCCAUAUUUAGGCACGCAUGGCACGGGGUAGUUGAGCUCCAUCGAUUCCAUUAUAAUGCGAUUUUUGGCAGAUACAGGGGGAUGGGAUGGUAUUUAUUACACCUUUAUUGGUCAUGCAUGGAAGGUUGUGAAAUUAAGUAUCGCCAACUUUGGCCGUAGGCCGAAAAAAUGAUAAUUUCAACUUUCGAGUAGGGUUUAUUAGUCCCUUUCAUAUUUUGAGUCAAAAUUUAAUUACAUAUUUGACUAGCAAAUUGUCAAUGCAUGUCACAAGAAAUUAUAUUGUUGGAUUCAUAUUUGAAUGUACUUUUUAAUGAUACCAUUUCUGCUAUGUAUAACUUAUAUUUUAUUAGUUAUUAAAAUCAUGAUAAAAAAUUGAUCCAAAAUACAAGGAUGACUUAUAAACCAGGACAGAGAUAGUACCAAGAAUUCCGUACAUGGACACAGCGUGAAAUAUUGUGAUUGAUCGCUUGCAAGCUGAUCGACAAGUAGCUGAACGCCCUGAUGGUCGUCAUUUAUUACUUGGUCCCGGCUAGAUAGCCACAUGUUGCCAUUCAUGAGGCUGUUAUGGUACUUCUUCCGGUGCUUUUUACUUUCGCAUAUUGGAUUUGUGUGAAGUCAAAUUUUGAUCAAAACUUCACAAUUAUUCCAUCAUCGAAAUUGCCUAGUUGGCAUGGUACUAGCUAUGAUAAUCCCACUAUGACCAGCCCUAAGCGCGGACGGUGCAUUAACUCUCACCUUGUUCCUUAUUACUUGACAUGAAUCAAAGAAUCAACUAAUAAGAAACGUGGGGUUUGUAUGCUUUCAAUGACUUGAAACUACCUAGCAGGGCAUGCAAUAGUCAGUUCAUUGCAUGUAAUGUUAUUAAUUAGCAAAUAAACAUUAAAUACUCUCAUUUUCCCCUCCACCUUUGUCACGGUGCACAACCUAAUACCUCUUUCAAUGCAUAUGUGCUUAGAUGAGGUGCUAAGUGCAUUGAAUAAUUAUCAACUCUCGGCGUCGGCCAUGGCACAGACGUGGCGAUUGACGAUGCCGUCGCCGAAACACAUGUUGGCCACCAGGCCAAACAUAGCGUAGCGGAUGCUCUCCUCCGCGUGGACCACGCCGUUUUUCCUCUGCUCGGCGAGGUCCACGAGGAGACCAUGAAGUGCACAGCAGCGCGCCGACGCGUGCCGGUGGAGCCGCGCUGGGUCGAGGACCUCCGAUAUGAGAUUGCUUAGACGGUGGCUUUGGUCUUACUGUUGUACGACUUUGUAAGAUUUUGUGUUAGUAAUUAAUAAUAUGACCGUAUGCAUCGUCCAGAUGCAGAGGCCGGUGUAUUCCUCUUUUUUUCUAAAAAAAAGGCAGCCGGAAAAGAUGGUAGCUCACAAACUUUGACCGUGCAACUUGCUAGUAACCAGAUUAGUUUUAUAGAUAUAGCCUGUUCCACUAAUGAAAGUGCUUCGUUCUAUUAGAUCUCACACAUGUCCUGAUACGGAGUACAAUAUUACAGGAACCUCAAAUACACAUGUCCCCACAACCCCACCUUCCUAUGAGGGUAUAACGCGUGAGUCCGAACCGAACAGGGUGCACCUUAUCUACUAGAUAGGAAGUGCGGCUUGCCGCACCCCCCAGCCCAAACUCAUCCAGCCCCCUAUACAUGAUCAUGACCUAUCCUUAAAAUUUCUCAAAAGAACCAAAUGUACGGAGAAUGCAAUGCGCGGCUAUGCAAUGGAUGAUUCAACUGAAGUUGCCAUGUUCCAUCCAAUUAGUUCAGCAUGCCAAAUCCAGAACUAUGCUUAAUCACUCAAUGAAUUAUCACAUUUAUCUAUGUUUUAAGCAUGCAUUUUUAUACAUCUAAGCUCAAAACCAAACCCAAACUUCAUACCAUAUAAUCAAGCCAUAGUCAUCACCCACGACAAUAAUUUUACAAUGGAUAGAAGUCUAAUAUACCGAAAGCAGAGCAGUAUAAGAAACUUAUAUGGUUCGGCUAUGGGAUAACAUCAGACUACAUAUAUAUUAGAGAUAGUUUGCUCUGACUUUCUUGUCGCCUGACUCCUCUGUGCGUUGUAAAAACCUGUUGAUGGACAUAUCCAUUGAGCGUGCCAUAAGGACAUCAUCACAGCAAGAAGAUGGUUCUUUUACUUACCCUUGUGAACAACAAGAUUUAGUCAUCCAGCAAAUGAGUAACACCUGUUACUACUACCUGUGUAAGUGAAUAUGUUGAAUACUCGUGUAAGUAAACCACAGAAGUCAGAAGUUGAUAAUGCACAAAAACAUGAUUAUAAUACCAGCACAAAUAGUUUGGUGAUGUCAACGCAGCAAUACAAAAAUUUCAUGUAGUUCUGAUAGGCCAUGUAGUUCUUGAUAGGCAGAAGCUACCAUAGUUCUUGGCAUGUAAGUUUAUAAAUCGAGGGACAUACGCAAACAUGGCUUCAUCUCUUAAUCCUGAAAUACAGAGAACUUUUAUGGUCUGGUUAUAAAACACCAUUUAUCAUGAAGAACAUGCCUAGCUUUAAUUUGAGAUCUGAUGUGCAAAUAGAUUAGCAGCAUUAGUAUGUGAAUUAUAUACCUUUUGAAAUUUCAAACAGGCAAGAAUAUAGAUCUUGACAGUGAUGCAUGCAAUACAUGAACUAAAUUAGUUCUAGAAUAAGAUUAGCCUUAAUAAGGAGACUUCUAGUUCCAUUGAAGGUGCUAAGACCUUCGAUUAAGAAAUAUUAGUCCUAGUAUACUGGAAAGGCUUUUUUUUAAUGUAUUUCAUUGAAAGAAUGACUAAGAAGGCUAGCUUGAGAUGCAAACUUUGAAGAAUUAUACUAUAUAACAUAAAUACAAAACACGAUAUGAACCAUUAAUUUCUGCUAUGUGAUGGGAAGCACCAAUUUUGAAGAUAUGGGAAUGUUCGAUUGAAAAUCAUAUACUGUUGUUAUAAUGUAAUGAGCUAAAACAUAUGCAAUUACAGGUAUUAAUUAUAUAUACACAUCUAAAACUAUGACAAGAGCAGCAAAAUGAACAGCUCCCGAAAACAAAUAACAAAAAGGUUGAUUCAAGACCUUGUUGGCAGCUUCGCCUCGAGACCAUGAAGCAUAAGCAACUAAUCGUAGAAGUAGACUCAAAAUCGGUUCCUAGGCUCAAAAUGCAGGGCUGGCAACUACUCACUUAGGCCCGAAGUAGUUGUCUAUGUUGUUGGGUCAUGGACAGUAAGGCGGUUUAUUGUGAGUCUUCUGCUUACCCAUAGUUGAAGCAAACUGCAAGAUCAAAGUGAACAUGUGUGAGAACCCAUGUAUGAUAGGGUUGUGAAAGGAAACAUGCGUAAAAUGUGGCUGAAGCAAACUACAAGAUCAAAGUGAACAUGUGUGAGAUAUAAUUUAUAGUCUAGAGGUAAGUUGGACAAAUCAUAUGUCAUGAUUCAUUUUAACUCAGCUGAAUCUCCAAGAAAAUAUGCACCAAGUAAACUAAAUGGAACUCAAGUUUUAUAUUUUGACCAACUGAUCUGCACUGAUCAUAAUAUCUUGUUAAUUCAUUUAUCCAAAUUAAUGGAAUUGUCUUUAAAUUAAAAUAUCAAUGACAAGGUUACAUAAUCACUAAAUUUAUACACAUCAGAAAAACAAAAUACCACAGAUGGUAGAGCAUUAUUUAAGUUCAUAGUUGAUCAUCAAAUAUCAUGGACAUUACUUAAUAUUUCCUUGUGUUUAUUUUAGUAAGAAUAUACGUAAUAAAAGAUAUUUUGCCUCGGCUAGUAAGCAAUAAGUUUCUCAGCAGUAGAGAAGUUUCAACCAAUGUGAAGGUAGAAAAUAGAGCAAAGGCAAUCAGUACAUGCAAAACAUAUAAAACUCUUUACCUUCAGAAAUUGCCUCAUUGGUUGUAUCCUUAAAGAAGUGGAAAAAAAUAAAUCUUUGGUGCAAUCAAAUGACCAAAUAGAAAAGGCCUACACAAGAGAACAUUGUAUUAGAAAUAAAUAUGAUCCAUAUGGUACCAACAAUCUGUAAGCACUAAGAAUAAAUGCUAAAGAACAUUCAGUCAGAACACAUCGUUUAUUCAUGCGCAUCACAUGACAAUAACAGGACAAAGGAAGCAUUCACCCUAAAUAAAUAAAUCAGAAAGCAACAUUUAGUCGUGUAAUACUGCAAUAAGCAUCACUAAAAAUAAAUCAAAUCAGAAAGUAGCUUCAGUUAUGUAAUACUGUAGUAAGCAUCACUGAAAACCGAUAAAUAGGAAAUACAUAAAUACAUACAUGCAUAUGAACCUAUUAAAACCAAGUUGAUGCUAGCAUGGCUAUCCGUUAACUUUACAUCAUUUAAGAAAACAUAUGAAUAUUACCAGUUCAAGAGAACAACAGCUUUAUCACCAAUGCACAGUGUAAUGCAUGUAUCAUACCAAUGACGAUAGCCAAUGACUAAAGAAGAACUCCCCAGGAAAUGUUAUAUGCAUUACUCUUAGUAGCUGCCCAUGGGAAAUAGCUAAGCUUGUGUAAAACAGGAAGAUUUCAUAUAUAAAGCUGGAGCAUUUGAUCACAUAAAACAGGGUUGAUUGUACUUUUUUUCAAAAUGGAGAGAGAGAGAGAGAUCCUUUAUUACAAUUGUUCAUCCCUUUAAUGGAUCGUUUGAGCAAAUGUAUUUGAUAAGAUAAUAUAAAAUAUUAACAAACAUACUAACAUUCUAUCAUCUUAUGAGCAUCUCCUCAAACAUCCUAUGGGCUGCUAAAAGGAUCACAUGUACAAAGUAACAGAGGGACACACCAGGCAAUGGCCUUUGUCACACACACAGACAGAGAGAGGAGGGAGAGGGACACACCAGGCAAUGGCCUUUGUCGCCCACUUCUGGUGCCGCGAGCUAGUCAAAGGCUUGUUGCUGCUGCUGCGGAGCCCGUCAUCGGGCGCACUACAGAAUCGGAGGCAGACAGCCUCAGCUCGUGCUCCUCCUGCUAGAGGAGAAGGGGUGGGGAGAUGUGGACAGGAGGGCGGGUCGCGACAAUGGAGAUGGCGUGCUCUACCUGGAUCUUCUCCUCUGCUCCGGCCAUUGACGCACCCUCUGCAGGGUCGGAGCAGGGGAGCAAGAAGGAUGUGUCAGUGCAUAGAUACCUGAAAAACACUUACAUUGUCAGUUCACAACUAUCCCAUACGCGAAAAACUUCAAGUAAAACAACCACCAACAAACAAUAUAAGUAAACUAACUGCAAGACACUUUCGAUCGAGGACACAAAAAUGUUCAGGCACACCUACAUCCAACAUGAGCUUUCUGACUGCUCAUGAAACAAAUAGUAUACAACCCGUUUGUCCAAUUUCUUAUUCAUAAUUUGGAUGCCACUCUAGAGUAAGAAAGUUCUACACAGUAAUGAUCGUGGCAACGAAGGCCCCCGUAAAUAAUUUCAGAUUUGAGACCCGUGGAGUUAACACUCCCAACAUUCCAACACAUAAGUUCUUGUAGGAGGGUCAAAGGAAGAGAACAGUCAUCAAUCUGACCCUUUUAGAUGUCUUAAGACUCUUCCCAUCAUGGCCAAGAGUAAGGAAGGUGUGCAUAAAUAACAUAUGCAGCAGCAUAUAAGGUCAGGUUAGUGUAAGCUAACUUCUCUACUUGGAGUUUUGCAUUUUGACUCGCUUCCACCAGUGCCUUGACUGUAGAGUCUGCAUCACAUAUAGUUGCCUCCGCAUCUUGAAACUUGGAUAUAAGAGUAAAAGCUCAAAUGAUUUCUGCUGUGCAAGAAUUUUGGUCUCUGAGAACUCAGAUUCAAGUGCCUGAAAGAAUGAUCAUAGUUGAAACAAGGGAUGAAGAUUGACAAACUCAAGAAAGUAAAUGUAACAUCCAUAUGCAAAUACAAACUCAGCCGCUUCUACACAAAAAAUUAAUAACAAAAUCCAUCAUGCCUUUGCAGGGUAGAAGUAUAGUGGUGCAUGGACUCAAGCAGAUGCACCUUCACACAAUCCACAUUUAACCACUGGGUACAAGAUUUUUCUAUCUAUCGAUGAAUUGAGAUGCAAAACUUCUGCAAGUUCUCAAAAAGAAUCCACCUGACUAUUACUUUUUGCAAAUUAAUAGCACACCCCUGCAUGUACAUUUUGUGUAAGAGCCUUGUUACUGGAAACAUAAACAAGUCUACUGUAUUAUUUAUAUCCUGCCGAGGUAGAAACAAGUCGACAACCGAUGCUCAUUUUAUUGUACAAACCCAAUUGAAGCAUAGUCUGCUUUUCUGAAAACCAACAAAAGAUACAGACAAAGGUUUUCCAUGGAUGCCUAAUGGCCUUUAACUAUGUUGGGCAUUUAAAAGUGUUACCUCUAUUUCUUUAUGCCAUGAAACAAGUGAUGUUGCAGCAUCAUUGCCCUUUCCCUGCAUCUUUAUUUCCAUUUCUUCCACUCUACCUUCAUAGGUAGGUUUGUUGAUCAAUCAUCUGCGACUUCAAUGGAAAUCAUGCAGCAAGACUCAUCAAGAAAUAAUCAUCAGUAUAUUCUCGCAAUAUCAAGUCUACAACAAGUAAUAAAGAAAAAAACUUGAACAAACAGAGGAUGCAAGAGGGAGGAGGGAGAGGGUGAGGUAAGAGAAAGGGAGGGAGGAAGGAGGGAGGAGUGGUCGCUACCUGCCUCUCCACGGGUCGCCGGCGUAGCUUCGGGCGGCGGAGUUUCUACGCGAGAGCGGCUGCUCCAGGGAGGGAUGCGCUGCUGGGCGGGAGCGGCUCCUCCACGGAGGGAGGAGCUGCUGGGCAUCUGUACCGGAGGCGGGGCAGCGGAGGCAUCGGCCGGAAAGGCGCGCCACGGUGGCGGGCUGGCGGUGGUUGUAGGCACACCGUGACCCCAUCCAGAUCGAGGGGGGAGAGGCCUCCCCCCUCGCUCGCGGCCCCGUCCCAGUCAGCUGCGCGUCGUGGCCCCAGAAGACGCGAAGGUGGAGUAAACUGGGGGAGAGGCGCGGGAUCUCGGGCUCGAUGUGCGUGAUCUCGACGUCAGCGCCGUCCUCCUCGCGCUCCGGGGGCGGGCGGUGGUUCUCCUUCUCGCCCCUACGCACGGGCGUGCAGUGUAGUGGCGGCCGGCUGGGCGGAGGAGAUGACGGCGGCGUGGGACUGGACCUGGACGGCGGAGGAGCAGGGAGGCGCAGGCGGAUCUAGGGUUUGGAGGGAGGGAGAGAGGCGAGGCGGGAGGAAGAGGAGAGGGUGCGGCGCGAGUGGGGGAGGAGUGACAACCCCACGCUCACCCUGUCGAAUUGGAUAUUUUUCCAGCUAUGUGAAAUGACGGAAAUGCCCUCGGUGGGUCACAGAAAUAACAAGCGGUGGCACACUGGAAUAUGCACUAUUCAUUGUAGCAGUGUCGAGUUUUGAUCUGAUGGCACGGAUCAUCUGGGAGCGAGAUCGGACGGCCAAAAACGCAUCCAAAAAAUGAUCCGACGGCCGACAGUGGCUAAGCUCUGAGAACGCUCAUGUUCUCCCUAGAUACCUAUUCCUGGAUAUACCUUAGAGAGUGAUUCCCACUAAUUUAUUUGUACAUGCAUGCAUCUCAAAUAGGAUGAGAUAAAGCCCACCUCAACAUGCAACCAUGUAUGCAAAGCACCCACCGCCACAUGCAACCAUGCAUGAGAAAAUAUUUAUAAUUCUACUUAUAUUGAUCAAAUAUUUUUCAACUAUAUAUAAAUAUAAUAAGUUGUAUUUAUUUUUUAAUUCUGAUUCACAUGUUGUUAAUCAAAAUAUUUAUAUUUUACACUAUCAAAUCACAUUGAAAUAUAUUGCCACCGAUUUUUGCAGCAAUGCGCGUGCUAUCACCUAGUAUUCAUUAACAUGGCAAGUCAAUUUCCUACAAUAACCUAUGAUUUUAGUUAUAGAUAAUAUAAUGCCUACUUACACAAACAGAGAAAGUUAAAACCCAAUCCUAUAUGCGGUCUAUAGCAGGGGAAAAGCGAGUCGAUCGCUCAUUGACAAACAAAACAUGAAUCAUUUCGCAACGCUUGCUGUUGGUUCUGUUUAGUUUCUCGGUUUUUAUAAUUUUCUAGUUUUUUGUUUUUCCUAGGUUUCAUUUUUCAAUUUCUAGUUUCCCGCUUUUUUUCUUAUUUCCUAAUUCCUUCGUCUCAUAUUAAUUGACGCUCAAAUGGAUGUAUCUAGACAUAUUUCAGUGCUAGAUACAUUCGUUUGACGGUCAAUUAAUAUGGGAUGAAGGGAAUGUUUUACCCCUUUUAAGUCUCUUUUGAAAUUCCAUUUUAUUUAUAUAUUUAGUUUUAAAUAUGUAAAUAAUUGGCCGAUAUCAUGGACAUUAACAUGUGAACACUAUCGACCUAUGGCCAAAUUUCUUUACGGAAAUGCAAUUUUUGUAUAAUAAAUGACCAUUUAUUAAGGGAUGUGGACAUCUUUUAUAAUUACACAGCCAUAUUGAAAAAAAUACGUGAACACUUUGUUAAUUAGAUGAACAUUUAAUAAAUGCAUGAACACUUUUAGUUACAAGUAUAUAUAUAUUUUUAAUAUGUGAAUCCUUUGUUGUAGAUUCAUGAUUUUUUUAAAACCCUCAAAUACUUUUGAAAAUGAAAUGAAGUUUUCUUAUAAUAUGACAAAAGUUGUUCGUAAAAACUAUUUUGACUUCCUCAAUUCAAUACCGAAUGCUAAAAAUGUAAAUAUAUAAUAUAUAUCUCUGUUUUUUUAUAUGCACAUGUUGUGGGCUCUCUUUUUGCAUGAACGUCCAGGUUUUUUUAAGCCUUGGCUCUCUUUUUGUACAAACGUCCAGGUUUUUUAGCCUCAGAUGUGUCAAGCCAGGUGGUAUCCCCCGGUUAAAAUAGUAAAAUGUGGCCAAUCCUAUUUGACGUCCGCAAAUUGAGCCAACUCGAUCUUUUCUUGUUUCCAUUGAGUUGCUGCUCCAGCUUUUUGUUUUUUGCUUUUGUGCUGAAGGUUUUUUCCUGUUUUUCCUGCGGUUUCUUUCAUUGUGAUUCUCAGCGUUUUUUGGUGGUUUCCUAUUGUGGUUUUUGUUUCAGAUAUUUCCUGCUGUUUCAUUUAGCAUCACUGCUGCAUGUUUUUCUGAGUUUUCUGUUGUCGUUUUUCGUUUCCACUCUUUUGGUUAUCUAUAUCGGUUUCUUACCUUUUUCUUUUUUUCCUUUUUCCUUUUCUUUUUAAAGUAAACGAUGAACAUUUUUAAUCAUAGUGCACAUUUUGUAUUAAGAUUAUAAACAUUAAUUUAAUACAAAGUGAACAUUUUUUAUUACAGGAUGAGAUUUUUUUUACAUGGUGAUCAAUUUUUAAUUGCACCACGAACAUUUGUUAAAAAUGGCGAAACAAUUUUUUAUACACAGUGGAUGAUUUUUAAUACAUGGCAAAUAUUUUUUAAAUACGUGAUGAACAUUAAUUGGAAACCACAACGAACAACUUGUUAUGCUUAAAUAAUUCUAGAAAAACCGUGGCAAGAAAAACCACAGAAAAAUGACCAACACAUGAAAGUAGUACCAUCUCUCAUAAAGGAUAGUGAGGCUGACACUGGGAAGCCACAUCGACCUGAACUGGGUCCCCAGCCCAUCAUCACUAAAGUGUGCGCCGCCUCUCAUAUAUGACGUUAAUGAGCGUUAUAUAGGAGGUCUCGGAAAAAGUGGUCUAUUGGCUGCUUCAAGAUAAUAAACAAGCUUCCGAAGUUCAUAAUUUUAUCAAAGUGGACACAGUACGAAGGCCCACAUGAAAGGCUUUAGGGCGAGCAUGGCCAAAAGUUUUCAUUAGUAGAUCUUCAGCUUGCAUAAUUUUUCUCAAAUGGCUAUUCUAGUAUUGACAAUAUGGAAUAACUAUAUUCUAGAAUUUUAUAGGGAUUCCACAUGGUUUUAUUUUGUGCAUGGUCCUAGAUACAUAUGAGCACAUCCUUAGUGUCAUUUUUAUUUGCAAAUCACCUUUGUAAAGUAUUUGAAGAAAAUAUGAUACUUGGUUCCACAACCGAAGGGGUUGAACUUGGUGGCUUCCUACAGGAAGACACUGGACAAAUUAAUAUGGAAACUAGAGAACAUGGAAGGUAUAUUACAUUCGUAAAAUAAGAGCGUGAAAUGUGUUUUUGAAAAUACUAAUACGUUUGUGCUAGUGGCUAUCAAGUUGUUCUUGACAAUACUCCCAAUGAUGUCGAAGGAAGCAAAUCCAUCUCGAUGGUCAAGCCACCACUGAUACCAGAAUAAUCCAACCAUUUGAGCAACAUGGAACAUGCACAUAAUGUUGACAAUUGUUUAGGAGAUUCCUGAAUGUACAACUUCCAUCAAAGAUUCCAAAGUUUCUAUGCCGACGAGCCAACUUAACAUCUUCAUAAUUGCCAAGGGAGAUGGUGUUGUCACAACUACAAGGUGGUCGGGUGUUCACAACAUGGAUAGAGACAUAUGAUUGUCUGCAUAUUUAAGUUUGGUUGAUUUCAUUUGUGCGUGGAGAAGAAAAUAGAUAUGAGGAAGGAAGGAAGGAAGUCAUUGUUGAGGUGGCAUGGUAAAGCAAGUGAUAUGAGUGAGGCAGUGAUUGACUGUUGCUAUCGGGUGCCGGCCAAAGGAGGUAGAAUGGGUGGAUGGGAUGCCAAGAAAAUAGUUUUAGUGAAUCAUCUUUAAUUUUUCCUAAUAUAUUUUUCUAGUACAAAAAUGGAAUGUGUGUCACUCCAUUAUUUUGGUCAAUGCAACAUAUUAUUACACAAAUAAUCUCGUUCAUAUACAUAUAUUUCCAUAUGCAUGAACAUCUCUAUAUAUGUCUACAUGUCCUUGAUGCAUCCACGUGGAAUAGCUAUCAGUUGUAGGUCAGAACUUCUGCCUACAGUCAUCCCGUAUUUUUCAGACAUAUCCAAUGACUCUGGACUUGCCCCACCAGGAAGCACCCAAUCAAAGUGACAGAGCAAGUUUGCUAAAGUGAUCUCUAAGGUUGACGCGCCUAAUAGCAUCCCAGGACAUUGCCUUCGUCAAGCACCAAAGGGGGUGAAUUCAAAGUGUGUCCCAUUGUAAUCUAAGUUGGUGUUCUCAAACCUCUUUGGAAAAAAGGCUUCAAGGUGUUUCCAGUACUUUGGAUCCCUAAAAACUGCAAAGACAUUAAUUAAUAUAGUGGCGCCUUUAAGCAGCUCAUAGCCCAUAAUUUUACAAUCCAUUCUGGCCAUGAGUGGGAUUAGUGCAGCUGGUAGGUGCAUCCUAAGAACCUCCUUAAUGACCAUUCGCAUGUAGUGGAGGUUUCCAAGCACUAGUAGAAAACAGGGCUAUAGUUCGUGCCUGGCCAGCCCAUUAGUCCCGGUUCAUCAAGAACCAGGACCAAUGGGGAGUAUUAGUCCCAGUUCAUGAGCCCAGGGGGCCAGCCUGGGCCUCUCGGGCAUUGGUCCUGGUUCGUCUGGACCCAUUUGUCUCGGCUCUAGGCACGAACCGGGACCAAUGGACCUUGCUCCUGGCCCACAUCCAUUGGUACCGGUUCAUGCCUUGAACCGCUAUAGAAGGGGGGGCUUUAGUUCUGGUUCAUGCCACGAACCGGGACAACUAAUUUGCCUAUAUAUACCCAUCGCCACGGCAGAGCACUCCACAGUGCUCUGUUUUUCAAUCCGGCAAGGAGAGGUCAUUUGGGUCCUCUAGUUCACCUCCUAUGCACAUGAGGUGUUCGAUAAAAUGCCCGAGCCACACUAGUUAAGCUUUCUCCUCUCGAAGCUCGACCUCGGAUCUCCAUUUUUUCCGAGAUUUGUCUAGAUUUAGCGGUCUGUCACACCCCGUCCCCGUUUUCACUGCCGUUGAUCGCCCGCGCCGAUCUCGUCGCGGGCACCACCGUGGUGAGCCUCUUGUUCUUAUCUUCUUUCUGAUACUUGUCUGAUUUUCUUACUUUAGAUAGAUAUUUCUCUGAUUUUCUUACUUUUGAAACACAUAAUUAUAUAUAAUGCUCGCAGAUGAACCGACAAUCAAUGUAUGGUGACAGACACACCUACGAGUACAUUAAGGGCAUGCAUAAUUUUCUCGAAGUGGCUGAGGCAAAUAAGCAGAAUGGUUUUAUGUGUUGUCCAUGCACUAAAUGUGGGAAUAUGAAGUCUUACUCUGACCGGAAAAUCCUUCACACCCACCUGCUUUACAAGAGUUUCAUGCCACACUAUAAUGUUUGGACGAGGCACGAAGAAAUAGGGGUUAUGAUGGAAGACGGCGAAGAAGAAGAGGACGAUGACAACUAUGUGCCCCCUGAAUACGGUGAUGCUGCAACGGGGGGAGCUGCUGAAGAUCAAGAGGAACCAGACAAUGUGCCCGAUGAUGCUGCAACGGGGGAAGCUGCUGAAGAUCAAGAGGAACUAGAUGAUAUGCCCGAUUAUGAUCUCCACCUGGUCAUUGUCGAUGAAAGGAUGCAAUGCGAAAGUCAAAAGGAGAAGCUGAAGUUCGAUCGCAUGUUAGAGGAUCACAAAAAAAUUGCGAAGAUGGCAACACAAAGCUGGGUACCAUACUGGAAUUGCUGCAGUGGAAUGCAGAGAAUGAUGUGCCUGACAGAGGAUUUGAGAAGCUACUGCAAAUAUUGAAGAAGAAGCUUCCAAAGGAUAAUGAAUUGCCCGACAGUACGUACGCAGCAAAGAAGGUCGUAUGCCCUCUAGGAUUGGAGGUGCAGAAGAUACAUGCAUGCCUUAAUGACUGCAUCCUCUACCGCGGUGCGUACGAGGAUUUGAACGCAUGCCCGGUAUGCGGUGCAUUGCGGUAUAAGAUCAGAUGAGAUGACCCUAGUGAUGUUGACGGCGAGCCCCACAGGAAGAGAGUUCCUGCGAAGGUGAUGUGAUAUGCUCCUAUAAUACCACGUUUGAAACGACUGUUCAGAAACAAAGAGCAUGCCAAGUUGUUGCGAUGGCACAGUGAGGACCGUAAGAAAUACGGGAAGUUGAGAGCACCCGCUGACGGGUGGCAGUGGAGAAAACUUGAGAGAGAGUACUGGGCUGAGUUUGCACGUGACCCAAGGAACGUAUGGUUUGGUUUAAGCACGGAUGGCAUUAAUCCUUUCGGGGAACAAAGCAGCAAUCACAACACCUGGCCCGUGACUCUAUGUAUGUAUAACCUUCCUCCUUGGAUGUGCAUGAAGCCGAAGUUCAUUAUGAUGCCAGUUCACAUCCAAGGCCCUAAGCAACCCGGCAACGACAUUGAUGUGUACCUAAGGCCAUUAGUUGAAGAAGUUUUACAGCUGUGGAAUGGAAACAGUGUACGUGCGAGGGAUGAGCACAAACAGGAGGAAUUUAACCUGCACGAGUUGCUUUUUGUAACCAUCAACGAUUGUCCCGCUCUUAGUAACCUUUCAGGACAAAAAACAAGGGAUACCACGCAUGCACGCACUGUUUAGCUGACACCAAAAGUAUAUACCUGGGAAGCUGCAGGAAGAAUGUGUACCUGGGCCAUCGUCGAUUUCUUCCGACCAACCAUCAAUGUCGAAAGAAAGGCAAGCAUUUCAAAGGCGAGGCAGAUCACCGGAAGAAGCCCGCCAUUCGUACCGGUGAUCACGUACUUGCUAUGGUCAAUGAUUUACACGUAAUCUUUGGAAAGGGUCCCGUCGGACUAGCUAUUCCAAGUGACGCUGAGGAACACGCACCCACGCAUGCUCAGCAACAACGUCGUGUCGCGGGCAGUGUUCGGCGGCAGGUUCACGUAGCAGGACGAGUACAUCCACGAGCUAGACGUGGUGCUCACCUUGCUAGGCGGCUUCUGCCUCAUCGACCUCUUCCCGUCGUCGCGGUUGGCGCGGUGGCUCAGCUUCGGCGCGCGGCGCAUGAAGAGGAGGUACAGCCACAUGCAAUGCAUCAUCGCCAACGUGAUCGAGGAGCGCAAGGCCUUGCGAGCUGCUGGUGAUGGCGCCUCAAGCACCCACGACGAGGAACUGCUGGACGUGCUGCUCAGGCUACAGAACGAUGAUUUGUUGGCAUUCCCUCUAACCACAGAGAGCAUAUGCGCCGUCUUAUUCGUGAGUAUUUUUAACAAAAGAAACUUUUUUUACUGCUAGCUGAUGCAAACAACGGCACAAAUUUUGCAUAUGACUCGAGAUAGGAAAGAUUGAUUACUUUUGUUCCGACAAACUUAAAUCAUUAACCAUUUAGUUAACAUUAUCUAUGUCAUACAUUUCAAGAUUAUUUCUUUUUCUGGUAACCCACCAGUUACCGGAAGUUUUGAUGACCCCCAGAAACUGUGGUAACAUUCGAUAAGAUUCAAAUGACCUCAUAAACAUGUGAAUGAUAGUGUGAAUGAAUUCAACCCGGUCUUUUGCUUUCCAAUCACUAUUGCGAAGACACGUGUAGCAAAUCCAAAUACAAGAUAAUAUAAGGAAAAAAAUCAUACUUGACAAACCAAAGACCUAGACAUUGAUUUUGUCCACACAUUAUAUCCGUUAGCUUUAUAGAUUUCACCCUUGUGGAAAAUUAUAAUCUUUACUGUUAAGUAUUUUCAAAGAAACUCAUAACACGAACGCCAUGCUAUUUGUCUAUCCAUUAUCAUGGUGUAGCAAUAUAAGGGUAUGAACCUCAUAAUGAGUACAUAUAUUCUAUCAUGACCCCCCUGGGUGGAACACCAUGGCUUUGACCUUAAUCCUUCUUUCUUUUAAUAUUGCAACCAACAUAUCCGCCAUAAUGUUGAGCGACACUAAUGAAAAUAAAGAACCCUUGAUGGAGAUCUUUUUAUUCUUGGAAGUAAUGUUCUUUAUCAUCAUUGAUUUUCACACCAAAGAACCCACCUUGCACACAUUUUACCUUCAAGUGACAUCAGAUAAAGGGAAAGAUUCCAUAAACAUUGGUCGUGGAAUGAACAUUCACUUUACAUUGUCAUCAGUCUUGCCAAAAUCAAUUUUGAGAAUCCCUUGUCUUUUGAUGCAACCCAUGAGUAAUAAGCCCUUCCACAAUAUUUUCCUAGCAUGAAAUGGGUUUUUGUAAGUUUUAUCACAUCAUUAACAAUCGAGGAAAUCAUGCGCUGCUAUGAAUUUUGUGAAAGCUCAUGAAGAUAACCUAUGUUGCUUUAUUAAGUUUGUUAUUCCUUUUGCCACUAUAGAGAUGCCUAUGUCGACUAUAAAGUGGUGAUGUUUUCUAUAAGAAUAAACAAACAUCCUGAUCAAACCACUCAGAAAUCAUAUUCCUCAUAAACUUGAAUGUCUCAUUUUUGCAAUUGUGAUCUUUCACCUCUUUCUCUGUCAAGUGUAACCCGAGGGGAGGCAUAUGGCCUCACAUGAUAUCAUACCUAGAGAAGUUACUUUCCUUGAGUGCCUCGAAAUGUUCUCAAAUCAUUUGUAAGGGGAUUUAGGCUUCAAAGUAUGUAAAAAAAUCCUUUAGUUCACUUCAAAAUACCACAUACAAUUUUUUCAAAUGAAAGAUUUUGUUUCACAAAUUGUUUCAUUAUAAGUGCGGCAUAUAGAAGUAUGAGAUAAUUUAACGUACCUUAAUUUUCAUUUGCAGGAUAUAUUUUCUGGUGCCACAGAUACGACGGGAACAACUUUGGAAUGGGCUAUGUUAGAGCUCGUCCGUCAUCCAGAAACAAUGUUUAAGGCUCAACUAGAUAUAAGAAAAUUAUUAGGUCAAGAUCAAACAAUCAUAAAAAAUAGUAACCUUGGAAACCUCCACUACAUGCGAAUGGUCAUUAAGGAGGUUCUUAGGUUGCACCUACCAGCUCCAGUAAUCCCACGGAUGGCCAGAAUGGAUUGUACACUUAUGGGUUAUGAGAUGCUUAAAGGCGCCACUAUAUUAAUUAAUGUCUUUGCAGUUUCUAGGGAUCCAAAGUACUGGAAACAUUCUGAAGCCUUUUUGCCAGAGAGGUUUGAGAACAACAACUUAGAUUACAAUGGGACACAUUUUGAAUUCACCCCCUUUGGUGCUGGACGAAGGCAAUGUCCUGGGAUGCUAUUCGGCGCGUCAACCUUAGAGAUCACUUUGGCAAACCUGCUCUAUCACUUUGAUUGGGUGCUUNNNNNNNNNNNNNNNNNNNNNNNNNNNNNNNNNNNNNNNNNNNNNNNNNNNNNNNNNNNNNNNNNNNNNNNNNNNNNNNNNNNNNNNNNNNNNNNNNNNNNNNNNNNNNNNNNNNNNNNNNNNNNNNNNNNNNNNNNNNNNNNNNNNNNNNNNNNNNNNNNNNNNNNNNNNNNNNNNNNNNNNNNNNNNNNNNNNNNNNNNNNNNNNNNNNNNNNNNNNNNNNNNNNNNNNNNNNNNNNNNNNNNNNNNNNNNNNNNNNNNNNNNNNNNNNNNNNNNNNNNNNNNNNNNNNNNNNNNNNNNNNNNCCAGAGUCAUUGGAUAUGUCUGAAAAAUUCGGGAUGAAUGUAGGUAGAAGUUCUGACCUACAACUGAUAGCUAUUCCACGUGGGUGCAUCAUGGACAUGUAGGCAUAUAUAGAAAUGUUCAUGCACACAGAAAUAUAUAUAUCCUUAUGAACGAGAUUAUUUGUGUAAUAAUAUGUUGCAUUGACCAAAAUAAUGGAAUGGCACACAUUCCAUUUCUGUACUAGAAAAAUAUAUUAGAAAGGAUUAAAGAUGAUUCACUAAAACUAUUUUCUUGGCAUCCCAUCCACUCAUUCUACCUCCUUUGGCCGGCACCCGAUAGCAACAGCCGAUCACUGCCUCACUCAUAUCACUUGCUUUACCAUGCCACCUCACCAUUGACUUCCUUCCUUGCUUCCUCAUAUCUAUUUUGUUCUCCACGCACAAAUGACAUCAACCAUACUUAAAUAUGCAGACAAUCAUAUGCUAUCCCUGUUGUGCACACCUGACCACCUUGUAGUUGUGACAACACCAUCUCCCUUGGCAAUUAUGAAGAUGUUAAGUUGGCUCAUCAACAUAGAAAUUUUGGAAUCUUUGAUGCAAGUUGUACAUUCAGGAAUCUCCUCAACAAUUGUCAACAUUAUGUGCAUCUUCCAUGUUGCUCAAAUGGUUGGAUUAUUCUGGUACCAGUGGUGGCUUGACCAUCGAGAUGGAUUUGCUUCCUUCCACAUCAUUGGGAGUAUUGGCAAGAACAACUUGAUAGCCACUAGCACAAACGUAUUAGUACUUACAAAAAACAUUUCACGCUCUUAUUUUACGAAUGUAAUAUACCUUCCAUGUUCUAUAGUUUUCAUAUGAAUUUGUCCAGUAUCUUCCUGUGGGAAGCCACCAAGUUCAACCCCUUCGGUUGUGGAACCAAGUGUCCUAUUUUCUUCAAAUACUUUACAAAGGUGAUUUGCAAAUAAAAAUGACACUAAGGAUGUGCUCACAUGCAUCUAGGACCACGCAAAAACUAAAACCAUGUGGCAUUCCUAUAAAAUUCUAGAAUGUAGUUAUUCCAUAUUGUCAAUAUAUACUAGAACAACCAUUUGAGAAAAAAAUAUGCAAGCUGAAGAUCUACUAAUGAAAAGUUUUGGCUAUGCUCACCCUAAAGCCUUUCAUGUGGGCCAUCAUACUGGGUCCACUUUGAUAAAAUUAUGAACUUCAGAAGCUUGUAUAUUAUCAUGAAGCAGCCAAUAGACCACUUUUUAUGAGACCACCUAUAUAACGCUCAUUAACGUCAUAUAUGAGAGGCGGCGCACACUUUAGCGAUGAUGGGCCGGGGGCCCAGUUCAGGUCGAUGUGGCUUCCCAGUGUCAGCCUCACUAUCUUUUGUGAGAGAUGGUGGUACAUUCGUGUGUUGGUCAUUUUUUUGUGGUCUUCUUGCCAUGGUUUUUCUAGAAUUAUUUAAGCAUAAUAAAUUGUUCAUUGUGGUUUCCAAUUAAUGUUCAUCACGUAUUCAAAAAAUCUUUACCAUGUAUUAAAAAUCGUCCACUGUGUAUAAAAAAUUGUUUCGCCAUUUAAGAAACCGAUCACCAUGUAAGAAAAUUUCAUCCUGUAAUAAAAAUGGUCACUUUGUAUUAAAUUAAUAUUUACAAUGUUAAAAUAAAAUGUGCACUAUGAUUAAAAAAUGUUCAUCAUUUAUUUUAAAAAGAAAAGGAAAAAGAAAAAACAGAAAAAGGUAAGAAACCGAUAGAGAUAACCAAAAAAGUGGAAAUGAAAAACGACAACAGAAAACUCAGAAAAACUUGCAGCAGUGAUGCUAAAUGAAACAGCAGGAAAAAACUGGAACAAAAACCAAAAAACGCUGAGAAUCACAAUGAAAGAAAUCGCAGGAAAAACAGGAAAAAAAAACUUCAGCACAAAAGCAAAAAAUAAAAAGCUGGAGUAGCAACUCAAAGGAAAUAGCAAAGACCGAGCCGGCUCAAUUUGGGGACGUCAAAUAGGAUUGGCCACAUUUAACUAUUUUAACCGGGGGACCGGCCAUGCCAAUCACAAAUCCAGAUAUUGAUAUAUAGAAUUAUACGAUUCUAACUGGAGGCAAAAUAUACAUCACUUAUUGCAGGCGUUAGCACCCGUGCUGCUCACAUGCCCAUUAGCACAUCGAUGUUGAUACGAUGCCACCUGGCUUGACACAUCUGAGGCUAAAAAACAUGGACGUUUGUACAAAAAGAGAGCCAAGGCUUAAAAAAACCUGGACGUUCGUGCAAAAAGGGAGCCCACAACAUGUGCAUAUAAAAAAACAGAGAUAGAUAUUGUAUAUUUACAUUUUUAGCAUUAGGUAUUUACUUGAGAAAUCAAAAAAAGUUUAUAUGAACAACUUUUGUCAUAUUAUAAGAAAACUUCGUUUCAUUUUCAAAAGUAUGAGGUUUUUAAAAAAGUAUCUUCUCUCUCUCUCUCUCUCUCUCUCUCUCUCUCUCUCUCUCUCUCUCUAUUUAGGCUCUCACAGCCACAGAUUGAGUAAUCAUGCUCAUCAAGAAUUUGUACUAUGGAUAAAUCGUCCUAAUCAGGUGCUGAAACAAAAAAAAAUCUGAAAUAAAGAGCAUCAGAUUUUUAGCAAACGUCCCCUGAAACAUGCACCUUUCAUCAUGUUUCUCAAGAGAAGUUAAUUAUGAUUUUGUGAGUACAUUAAGCAUGAACAAAGCAUGGUAGUAAUAGAGCGUGGCAACAAAUCUCUUGGUCUGAACUAGCACAAGCAGUUGGGCGUAGUUGAGUGGCAAACAGAUCAUCGGACCGCCCCGACAACACAACAUGUCAAAAGAGUAGGGGUAGAACAUGUACGCAGCAACAAGUAGUCGACGGGAAGCUCACCUGCAGUGAGGCGGUCCGGGCGAUGGACGUAUGAGGCAAAACAACUCAUGGAAAUAGGAGGGAUCUGCGCUGACCGAGCAAUUGCGGCCUCGGGUUGGGGACAGUCAUAAUGCAUUUAGUUCUUCACGGGAGAGAAAAAAAUUAGAUUGCAUACUUAGGGCAUACCAUUCAAACACCAGUAACUUUGAGAAUUAUUGCAUGAAUCAGUAUGUAAAAGUAUAAUUUAUUUUUAUCUCAAGGAGUAGCAUAAACUAAAUAGUGUAAAACCGAGAUGGGAUACCAACAAUAAAAAUCAUUCCCAUGCAUUAUUACAUACCCCAUCCACAAUGUUUUGAAAAUGAAAAAUAAUGGAAUUAAAAAUAUAAUCCAACAGACCUAACUGACGAUGUACCUCAAUCCCCAUCCACACAAUAGGGGACACAUGCCACUCCGGAACCGCAACAUAACGGAAUUUCAUCAAGUCCAAAAGCUAGAGUUAUAAUGGCGAGUAGAAGCUCAACAAACAAAAGAAGUCAUGCCUACUACUAGCCAUCCAACAAGCAUUCUUACUCUCCUAUGUGACCAUAAAAGGAAAAAAAAAUCUAAAACCCAAAGCACCAACUACCACCAGAAAGAUAGAGAUAUUAUUAAAGCCAAAUGGACUUCACAGCUACUAGCUAUUUAGAGCAAGUGUUAGAGCACUGACAUGAAAAAGAAUAUGAGAUCAAUAUGACUAAUUAAAAAAUGGACAAGAGAACUCUCAGCUUAAAAUACCAUUAGUCAAGCAGGCUUUACAACUACAUGCUAUUAAGAGCAGGUGUAAGAGCGCUGACAAGAACACAACAUGAGUUCAACAGGUGUAAGAGCGCUGAUAGAAGAUGAACAUACAAAAAGAAGGUCAUGCACAAUUUCUGAUUCUUUUUAAAAUAUUUGGUUCUCACCGUCCAGACGCAACACAAUUUUAAGUAAGUGGAAAGAAAUAAUCCACACUGGUUGCAUGUUGAAUAGCAUGUACAAGAAUCAAAUAGAAGUGCAUGCUAGCAACAAGGAUAGAGGGAUCGGAUCAACUAGAAAUAAAAAAGUCAACAAUUCCCUAGACAGUCUCUGAGUACAAGGGGGCAACCAACAAUGGAAGAAUUUUUCAUUUUGGCCUCAAGGUAUCUCAACCUUCAAUUCAAAAAGGCCCAUAUCAAGAAAAUCGGCUUUUUACGCUAUCAUGUUAAAAAAGGGGUACUUAAAGCACCCACAGGCGAUGUUGAGGGUUCUAUUCUAUAAAUCAUGUUCUCAAAUUUGGUGAUUAUGAGCACCAGGAUAUGAUUCACCGGUAUAUUUUCUAUCACCUAACUAGCGCUUGUAGCAGAACUGUUAUCUACUUGAACCUUGUACAAAAACUAGUGUGGUUGCAUCAUGAUAGUGUGUCACCCUUAAGGCCGCAUGGAAAAACAAACAAAAUUACAGGUGAAAAAUAACAUAUACAUCCACUUCUUGUUUUUCUCAUCAUUUGACUUAUGUCAACGAUACCAAAAGUGAAAAAAAUAAUGAGAAUCAAUAUUUAUGUUUUGCACAUAAAGAUGAACAAGGACACUGAACUAAAAAUAUGGUAAAAAGAUGAGCAUAAACUACCCACACUUUUAAAAUGAUUCAGAAAACAAGCACAAGAUGAAACCAAGAACUAUAUAUGUGAGGACAUCAUUUUUAUCUCCAACAAGCCUGCUUAUUCUCUUAUGUAAUCAUCAUAUGGAAAAAAAGUAAUUCAAUCUCAAACCCAAAGCACCCACUGCCACCAAAAGAUAGGGAUUUUAUUAAGACCAAAAGAUAGGGAUUUUUAUCAAGGCCAAAUAUACUUCUGGCUACAAUCUUUUUAGAGAAAGUGUUAGAGCGAUGACAUGAACGCGGUAUGAGAUCAACAUGACCAAUUAGUAGAUGGACAACACAAAUCUUGACUAAACACACCAUUAAUCAACUAGGCUAAAAAUUGCUCAUUACAACUAAAGGGUUGAUAAAGAGUUAGGCUACUUCAACACAUUCAGACUAUUUUUGUUGUCUCGGUUUUACUAUUAAUUUCUAGUGAGAAAUAAGGUUAUAUACGCCCGCAAGGGCAAACCAUCCUUUACGCAUUUGUAUGUAUUGAAUUGUACAUACACAGAAAUUUGUUUGUAUGUUCCAUACUGCAAUGUACUUACACUACUUUACUUUCUUUGGGGCGGAACAUAGGUCAGAGUAAUUGUUAUUCGUUCCAAACACUGCUCGGCCAGUUCGCUAGCAGUGCGUGUGUGCAAAUUGUUUCCUAGCUGACCUCUUGAUUUUAUAUCCAUGCUGGACUGGUGUUUUGGGAGUUACUUAUUUUUCUUAUGAAAUUCGUCUCAUGAGUUUUGUGGUGUAGUCCACACGCAACCUCCAUGUUUCAGAAUUUACUUUCAGGAGUUUUUUGGUUGUAGUCUGCAUGCAACCUUUGGACUUAAGAACUUUUUUUUCUUGUUGUAGUCUACGUGCAACCUUCAAGUUUCAGAAUUUACAUCCGGAGUUUUUUUGGUGUAGUCUGCAUGUAACUUUAAGGUUUCAAAAUUUACCUCCGGACUUUUCUGGCUAUAGUCUGCACGCGACCUUCACUUUUGAGAAUGCGAUUAUGUCAGCUUCAUCUGGGUCUGCACUACAAAGAGAACAACCUUACUAUGUAAGAUUUAUAAACCUGUUCAAGAAAAAAAAUUAACUUUUUGUCCCAAAUGCAACCCAGCCAGAAAGCUGGAGUUGCUCCACGCAGUAGAAAAUGCCCACUGUUUAAUUUUCAUAAUAAUAGAAAGGGCACUAUACGUAUAUGUUGGUUUGCAAGGUAUAGAAAAUGCCUCCUCCUUAUCAAAUUUGUAAUGCACAAGAGAAGAUCAUGGUUGGGACGUGUUAUUUAUGCAACCAGAGCCUGCUUAUCCAUUGGAAAAACAUACUAAUAAUCUUUUUAUUUAUGCAACCGGAUCAUUUGUUGCACCCUCACAAAAUCCAUCACCUCGCUAACAGGCUUCCACGAGCAUAUAUGUCGCCCGGUUAUUAAAAAAAGAGAAAAGAGAUACGUGAUGCCUCCCACUCAGACCCAACAAUACCCCUGCCUCCCACCCCUCUUGGCCCCCAACAUCAUCCAUGAAAGCAAACUGAAAAAUGAGUAUGAUGCAGAUUGAGAAAUGCCUGAUGCUAUUGAGCAUAGCAACAAGAUAGAAGGAGAAUACAACCAUGAAAUGCAGAUUGGAGAAAAAAAUAUUGAAUGAUGAAAAUUCAAACAUAGUUACAGACAUAAUACUAAAAACUGAUUACUAAUAAUGAUUAUGUACAAUUAUGUUACUCAUUAGAGGACAGAUAAUAAACAUACUAAAUGACCUAAUGUCCACCAGCAACAUCAAGAUGCGCAAUUACACAAAAAUUAACUAUAGUGAUGGCACCUUGUUCUUUUCCAAGAAUCGAUAGUUCUUAUUCUAUCGUGAAGACGUGUUAGUACCUUGUUCUUUCCUGAAAGGUAAAAAACAAAUCAAUACUGAGCAGAUAUUUUACAAUGUGAUAUUUUAUAAAAAAAACUUUUGUAUUUACAAAAAUACAGAGCAAAUCUUGGAUGAAAAAUGUCUAAUAAUCAUCAUGGGGAGAAAGAGGAACAGAGAGGGUAGCUCCACAAAUUGUAGUGGCAAGAAAAAUAAAAACACAAAAACUGGCACAAUUUAUAAGAUGAUAAAGAGCCAAAAAUAAGAUUAAAAUGAUUUAUCUUCUCUUGCUAGUCUCCUCCGUCCAUCCGGAAAUACUCCACUUGUCGGAGGAAUGGAUGUAUCUAGAUGUAUUUUAGUUAUAGAUGCAUUCAUUUUUAUGCAUUUGUCAGUAUUUCCAGACGGUGGGAGUACUAAAUAAGAGUGAGAAAACUAAAGAGAGACUAGCUAAGAAGAAAUUAUGAAGAUUGAAAGUAGGAACCUAAGAGACCGAGAAAGAGAGACUGAACAAAAGAAUGAGAAAAUAAAGAGUGAACUGAUGUAAAUGAGAACCAGAGAAAAUAGAAAAAAGAAUGAGAUACUCAAGGAAUUGGAAAAACUAAAAAAUGGAAGAAUGAGGAUAAAGAAACUGAUAAAAACACUAACCAAAUACUAAAUGACAAAGACCUAUGAGGAACAUGACUGAAGAAGUAUGUGAAUCAUGUCACACCCUCCCUGUUUAAAGAAACAUGACUGAUAACUGAUACAAAACAGAAAAGAUGAACUUAUAAUAAGAACUAAACCCACACGCUCAUAUAGAAUGACUGAAAAUUGAAUGAAAUAAAUUAAACAUAAAAUGAACUAUAAUAAGAAACUGAAAAUGAGUGUGAUAAAAAAACUAAAGAUACUCAAUCCGAACAAUGAUAAUACACUGCCAUUAAUGAACACUGAAAAUAAAAACUUAAAACUGAUGAUGAAUGACGAACGAUGGAACUAAUGACUAAAUGAAGAUAUCUAACGGGAGAAUGAAGACUAAAGGUGAAAAUAAGACUGAUACAUAGGCUAGGAAAUACUAAAACAGAGAAAAAUGAAAAGUAAAUAGAAUGAAAGUACAACACACUCAAUAUGACUGAAAGAAGAAUACUGAAGAAAUAUGAAUGAGAAAAUUAAUGAGUAAUGAAGAAAGAACACUGAAUAGUGACUGAAGAAAUACAUCUGAGAGAUAAAAAAAGAGACACCGCAAGGGAACAAAAAAAUUGUUCAUCCGUGGAUGCAGUGCUUUCCAUACAAUUAUCGUCGUUUGACAAACCAUCAUCAUGAUCAUAAUUGGGUACGUAGCAUCCACAUGAGGACAUCUGCCCCAAAGAAUCCACAACCCUGCUGCUACCAAAAAGAUGAAAGAAAACAAUAAACUCACAUGCAGGGGUGCGAGUGAGAUUUCAACUAACACUGACUAAAACCAAAAAAAAUGCACACAUGGAAAACAAAAGAAUGUUGAGAUUCUGAAUCCUUCACUGCAAGUGUCAAAUAAUUCAGUUAGAAAAAUAGAUAGUGUCUGUUCCGGGUUUGCGAAAAAAAUAAGAAGUGCCAAAAACAAUAAAAACUACUCUUGAAAAAUCUUUUCACUACUCUUUGCACUGCCGCAAAAACACGAACCCCACCAUGCUGAGAAUAAAAAAAAGUAGUGAGCUGCUACACACAUCUGUACUGACCACAGAAACCCUACAUCUGGAAUGACUUGACUGCCCCAUCAUAACAAAUGGAAUUAAAACAUGCAUGAUAGUUGGGAUUUCGCAGUUCCAGCAUAAGCACACUUGCCUAAGUUGGGACAAAGACCACAGCUAGUCCCAAUUCUGAUGGUUCAGAUCCAAAAAAUGGUCAGACAUGAUACAUUCAGAAGUAUAAGGAUCACAAUCCUAAAAUUCCUUUCAUAUUGGGAUCUUCUAACUACCCAAAAAUGGGAGUAGCAGGCAGGACGUGGAACAGCAACGAUGGUACAUACAUACAUAAAACAAAGCACACACUCUGUAACUCUGUCCUUAUUGCUAAUCUUCUUCUUACCCAAUGGAGCUUCAGAUCCCCAUAACUAAGCUCGAUUUCACACCAUAAUCUAAAAAAAACAAAUCUAAUAUAUAUGCAAAAUUUUGCCAUAACACAGUACCUCAGAAGACCAAAAGUCCCUUGCGAAUAUAAAUGUGCCGACCUCCAUGGCAGGAACAAAAUCAACACAGAUGGCCUGAAUGAACUGACGCUGAGCAAGCCAACUCGGGGGAGGCAAUGAAAAGCCGGGGAGGAGGAUGUUGGAAACGCUGGCCGUAACUUACGCCAGCCCAUAUGGGCGACGGCUGGUUCCAGCCUCCCCGCCUGCUGCUGACAAACCCCGACAGGAGAGCUCCGCCAACCUGCUCUCCGUACCACCCUUUCUCCUUCCUCCCUCUGAUCCCCGGUAGCUGGUCACGCUUCAUGGCUGGGACGCGGGUGCACUGCUCGUCAACACGGGAUCCGUGCCCUACCACCCCCCGGUAGGUGAGAGGGAGUAAGGGCAACAUUUCUAUGGCUUCUGCUUGAAAUGUUGACCUCACUGUUACAGCUUUAAAACCAAAACAUGAAGCCAUAGAAAGACAUGAGUAACAUCGAAACGAUGAAUCGAUCAAAUGUUGAUGUGCUGCCUUUUCUGAAGCACACACGUGCCUCGUAGGACAAGGACAUACCUGUGUAUUGAUCUUGCCAGGCUUACGGUUUUUAGCGUUGCUGCUUGUCCAGCGACUUGCUGUUCAUAUCUUGUGUUUGGAUGCCUAGUAGAGACAUCAACAUCAUCACUACAGCAAGUUCGGACACAAAAGAGAAGCCAUCAGUUGGUGUGGCAAGAUUUCUAUGAAGAAGAAGAAAACAAGAUUAGAUCAAGAAACAACUAUCAGUUGGCGUGGCAAGAUUUCUAUCAAAAAGAAGAAAAAAUAUUAGAUCAAGAAACAGCACGCAUGCUCUUACAUAUAAGGCGGAUCAACGAGUGCUAGGCGGCAGGCACAUGCAUGGCCGGCAAACCAUGAUCGGCCUAAGGGCCACCACGCACAGCUGCGCCGGGCAUGUCAACUGGUCUUAACUCGCUUCGCAUCUCUUGCGCGGCAGCGUGGUGCUAGCCGGACAACACAUCGGCGUGGGCAUGGCACAACCCUGGGCUGCCGGUGGAUGUACAUGACGCUGCUUAGAUCCACCGUCGCCAUCUACAACAUGGAGAUUGGGGAGAGGGAAGGAGGAGGAAGGUGUGGGGCGGGGCGGGGCCGGGCUGGUCGAGAUCAAGGGGGCGUCCAUUUAUAGAGGAGAGGAGAGGAGAGGGGGGUCGUGGGCAGCGAUGAGAUGACUGAGCCGGGGACGCGGGGAGGCAUCGGAUGGGAGUGUGAUCCGCGUGAGGCGUGUGGAUUGGAUCGCAUGCGGAGCGGGGGAGGAAGGGAGGGAGGCGGCGCGUGGAUGCAUGGGGUAGUUAAAUGCGGUGUCGAUUGAAGGUUUCCAGGAGGAGGAAGCAUGCGUCGGUUUGGGAAGAGGAUAGAAUUAAUGGGUGCCUAGUUUCAAGGAGGAAGACGAGGGAAUCAAGGGAGGCUCUCUUGAAGGAAGGAAGGAAAGAGGUGUAUUCAUCCAGCCGUGGAAAACGCUAGCUGCAUGCAGUAAUUAUUCCUUUAAUUUCCUUCCUUGUCGCCAGAUUGACGCAUACGCGCGACGGAUUCCCUCUCUGACUCUCUCUAUGGUAUGGUAUGAUAUGUACAGCACAAACGAUUUAGUCCCAGCGCUCUCAGAAAUUACGCCAGCCACGUAAAGGUAGCCAGGCACUUUCCAUGCGUUCAAAUGAUUUAGUAUCAAGUUUCCUAGUGUCCCUCAAUUUGUAAGAUUUUAUUAUGUAUGCAGUAACUUCUUCCCAUUUGCUCGUGUCAGUUUUUAUUUUUUUAGGGAAUUUGCUCGUGUCUGUAUCUUUAUUUUUAUCUGUUUGAAGGAAUUUGCUCAUCUAAGACAAGACUCGUUCUCUAUAUAGCCAGGUGGGUUUUUUCUGUUCACAAUUUGAUUUUCUCAUGUAAGAUAAGACACCAGGUUUGCAAGUGCAUUCCUAGCAUAAAAGGUUUUUCUGUUCACAAUUUGAUUUUCUCACGUAAGAUAAGACACCAGGUUUGCAAGUGCAUUCCUAGCAUAAAAACACCGGCUCCAAUCCAAUUACCAGGUUGGCAAGUUUCAAAGUCCCUGCAUUGAACAUUUUUUCAUAACUUGUUAGAUUAUAAUUGAAAAAACCCAGAGAACACUCAUUCAUUCUUGACACCGACAAACUCGGUACUCUCCUCUCCUAGGGCAAUGAAAAUUUUCUUGUUGUACCAUACAAAACACCGACAAACAGCUCAGGAAUUCCUUGAUGCAAUGAAUAAUAUGAUCAACUUAACUCUUGAUGCAGUUAACCCAGAAAGAAAAUUCCCAUAACGAUGCACAUCAUUUCACAUCCCAACCUUCACAAUGAAGAUGUUACUUCCACCAGAUUUGAUCAAACAGGAACACGCAUGCAUCAACUACUUCUCAGAUGAGGUGAUAAAAAACAUCUCGAGUCCACUACACAUCCCAGGAAGCACAGGUACUUCGCGUCUCUUGCGCGGCAGCGUGGUGCUAGCCGGACAACACAUCGGCGUGGGCAUGGCACAACCCUGAGCUGCCGGUGGAUGUACACGACGCUGCUUAGAUCCACCGUUGCCAUCUACAACGUGGAGAUUGAGGAGAGGUAAGGAGGUGGAAGGUGUGGGGCGGGGCGGGGCUGGUCGAGAUCAAGGGGGCGUCCAUUUAUAGAGUAGACGAGAGGAGAGGAGAGGGGAGCGUAGGCAGCGAUGGGAUGAACGGACGGAUGCGUCGGUUUGGGAAGAGGAUAGAACUAAUGGGGUGCCUAGUUUCAAGGAGGAAGACGAGGGAAUCAAGGGAGGCUCUCUUGAUGGAAGGAAGGAAGGAAGGAAAGAGGUGUAUUCAUCCAGCCGUGGAAAACGCUAGCUGCAUGCAGUAAUUAUUCCUUUAAUUUCCUUGUCGCCAGAUUGACGCACACGCGCGAUGGAUUCCCUCUCUGACUCUCUCUAUGGUAUGGUAUGGUAUGUACUGCACAAACGAUUUAGUCCCAGCGCUCCCAGAAAUUACGCCGGCCACGUAAAGGUAGCCAGGCACUUUCCAUGUGUGUAUGCAGUAACUUCUUCCCAUUUGCUCGUGUCAGUUUUUAUUUUUUUAGGGAAUUUGCUCGUGUCUGUAUCUUUAUUUUUAUCUGUUUGAAGGAAUUUGCUCAUCUAAGACAAGACUCGUUCUCUAUAUAGCCAGGUGGGUUUUUUCUGUUCACAAUUUGAUUUUCUCAUGUAAGAUAAGACACCAGGUUUGCAAGUGCAUUCCUAGCAUAAAAGGUUUUUCUGUUCACAAUUUGAUUUUCUCACGUAAGAUAAGACACCAGGUUUGCAAGUGCAUUCCUAGCAUAAAAACACCGGCUCCAAUCCAAUUACCAGGUUGGCAAGUUUCAAAGUCCCUGCAUUGAACAUUUUUUCAUAACUUGUUAGAUUAUAAUUGAAAAAACCCAGAGAACACUCAUUCAUUCUUGACACCGACAAACUCGGUACUCUCCUCUCCUAGGGCAAUGAAAAUUUUCUUGUUGUACCAUACAAAACACCGACAAACAGCUCAGGAAUUCCUUGAUGCAAUGACUAAUAUGAUCAACUUAACUCUUGAUGCAGUUAACCCAGAAAGAAAAUUCCCAUAACGAUGCACAUCAUUUCACAUCCCAACCUUCACAAUGAAGAUGUUACUUCCACCAGAUAUGAUCAAACAGGAACACGCAUGCAUGUGCGCGCGCACACACAGCGCAGUGCAAUACAUCUUCACCAAAACAAAGUUAAAUAUCUAUGUCAUCAACUACUUCUCAGAUGAGAUGAUAAAAAACAUCUCGAGUCCACUACACAUCCCAGGAAGCACAGGUACUUCGCGUCCUUCCAUCACAAACAUUACAACAUGACAGAGCCAAACUACUACAUACAUGGCUUAAUUCUGAAACCUAACCCAUCAAUGGAGAAAGCUCGAGGACGACGCCGCCAUCCAGUGCAUCUUUAUCAGCAGAGAAAGCCCGAGGACGACUGCACCAUCCAGUGCAUCUUCAUCAGCGGAGAGAGCCCGAGGACAACGACGCCAUCCAGUGCAUCUUCAUCAGCGAAGAAAGCACGAGGACGACGGCGCCAUCGUGUGCAUCUUCAAGCCCAAACCGCGUCAACUUCUGCAGCACCGCUUGGCAAGAGAAAAUGACCGGUGUCGCGCGCGAUGGAGAUUUUCCAUCAUGUCCGGUAGGUUUGAUGGACGAAAGGAGUAUCUUCCCGAGGAAUGCAAUCUGGGUGGACAUAAAAAGAUCAGUCUAGUGCAGAGGCAAUGUAAUGCAUCAGAGGAAUGUCAGAUUUCUCAGCAGUAAGCCACACAACAAUUCUCUUGUGUCAAAGGGAAUUUAUAGGAAUUAACAAGACAACAUCUUCCCCUAAAAACAAUGCAUACUUAUUCACCAGCCUAGGAAUGCAAAGUGCUCGUUCCAGUUCCACACAAUGAAAGUUAAGUGUUGGACCUGAUCAAGACAAGACAAAAUUGCCAUAGAUAGGCUCACUUGUGUGACCAGCAGAAGAAUUUUCGCUACAAGAUCUCAUCUUGGCUUGUCAAAUCUCAUACUAGACAAAUUGUUGGACACUAGUGAAAACAAGCAACAUCUCCGGGUAAUUGACGACCGGGACACGCAGGACAUGAGAGAGAGAGAGAGAGCAAAGAGAGAUACCUUGACGAUCUCCAUGGUGUCGGCAGCGGGGUCGGAGCAGCUGCUGCGUCCAUGGAAGAGGAGGCACACAGUGGUCUACGCCUGAGGACACCAACAUUAUCAAGUUAGUAUGUGUCGUUAGUAUCAACCUGAAGAUAAAUCUGCUGCAGAGUUUUCAGUUUUCUGAAGAAAGAAGGAACUAAAAGUUUCAGGUUUCUGCAGUUUAGUCGUCUCUGAACAUAAAUUGCAGCAAGCAAGCAAGCAAAUAUGGAUAGGCAUGAGAGGGAGUAAGGGCCACUGAUGAUGAAUGCUGAACUAGGAUGAGCAGAGCCUGCACUCACCACCCACAUAGAAGGCAAUAACAGAAUCCCUUCCCCUGGCAUGAGCUUCGGAUCAGCGGUGGCAUAUGAUCUUGCCUAUUGAGGAUCCUCCAUGGACAAGGGAAGGUGUCAUCAGACCACCGCAGUCCAAUUAGUGCUAUACGGCCUGCACAAGGAUCACAUGAGACAUGCAUGGUGAAUGCUACAGAAAAACAAGACAAGCGUUUGCUCAAUACAGAAAAACAAGACAAGCGUUUCCUCCAUCGUGGGAGCAGCGGCGACCCGGGAAUAAGCAGACCCGGAGGAGCGAAGCAGCGGUCUUCUAGGUCAAAUCGAAACAACCACACAAGCACUUGACAAAGCAGCAUCACAAGCUGCCAAAAUGCAACAUCACAAGCACUUGAGUUAUAGUCAAGACCGUCGACAAAAGGGAACAUCAGGCCAUAGUAAGGUUGCUGCGAUGGUGAUUCGAUAAAACAUCACAUACUUUUCUGUACACAGGGCUCCUCUUUUCGUCCUUGAGGGAGUUCUUCUCCUCCACCAAAUCCAUCAUCUCCUCUUUCAAAACAUUGUUAUCAGCGGGAUGGAGUGCUCCUUCCCUGAGGCGGGCGUCUGGAACGGCGGUUCAUAUCAUGUCCUCAAUGUCCUGCACUCCACCUUGGUCAUCAUUGAGGGUCUCUGUUGGGCAAACAUCAACGUCAAAGCAGAGAAAUGGAGUCACACCAAUGGACAUGGCAGCAUUUAAGAAAUGGAAAUACAUAACUAGUACUCCCUCUGUAAAGAAAUAUAAGAGCGUUUACAUCACCGCUUUAGUGAUCUAGACGCACUUAUAUUUGUUUACAGAGGGAGUAUAUGUGAUAGUGUUACCAGUGCAAGAGAGAGAAAUUGCAAUCUUACGCAGUUUGAAUAUCAUGUUAUCUUACUAUUACAAGUGUGUGUUUAUUAUAAACGACAUGGCAGGCAGCUCAGGUCUGCACCUGUCAUCAUUUUGCCCAUACAUAUACAUACAUACAGCAAGAGAGGCAAAACUUAGCAGAUUGGAAGGCUUGUUGUACAGGGGCGUGAUCACAAACGAAAUAGUAGAGUAGUAUUUCAGGAUGCUGCUAUAUAUUCUGUAGCAAACAAAGUUGUACGCUCCAUACAAAGUGAUGUAAUAAGACUAGACAUAAUUGCCAUAGAAAGGCUAGCAUGUGGGAAUCGCUACAAGAGCUCAUGUUGUCUUGUCAAAUCUCAUACUGGGCACACACACACAAAUUGUUGCACUAGUGAAAACAAGCAGCAUCUAUGGGUACGUAAUUGAUGGCCGGGACACACACGACAUAAGAUAUACCUUAAGGAGCUCCAUGGCGUGGACGCCCAUGGAAGAGGCGGCACACAACAGUCUGCGCCUGAGGACACCAACAUUAUCAAGUUAGUAUGCUUGGUUAGUAUCAUCAACCUGAAGAUAAAUCUGCUGCAGAGUUUUCAGUUUCCUGAAGAAGGAAGGAACUAAAAGUUUCAGAUUUCUGCAGUUUUGUCUGUCUGUGAAGAUAAGUUGCAGCAAGCAAGCAAGCAGGCAAAAUAUGGAGUAUCAAGUUUCCUAGUGCUCCGUCAAAUUGUAAGAUUUGCUAUGCAUGCUCGUGUCAGUAUUUUAUUUUAGUUUUUGAAGGAAUUUGCUCAUGUGAAGAUUUCGGUAUGAGAUACAUGGAGCUUUUUCAGAGUUGUUUUUUUCUUUCUGUAAUACAUGUGAAGACUUGGGUAUGAAAAAUGGAGCUUUUUUCAUAGUGAAAAGUGAUAUUUUUGGUGUCGUUUUGUUGUUGCUCUAAUCGGCAUGUAUCUCAUACUGGAAGACUUUGGUAAUUGAUGGUCGGGACAUGAGAGAGAGCAGACUGAGUUACCUUGACGGUCUCCAUGGCGUCCGCAGCGGCAGCGGGGUCUCGGAACAGCAACAUUACCAAGUUAGUAUCAACCUGAAGAAUAAUCUGCAGAGUUGUCAGUUUUUCUGAAGAAGGAAGUAAAAGUAUGAGAUUUUUUGUAGUUCUGUCUAGCUCCGUCCGAAUACAAGUUGCAGCAGCAAGCAAACACGGAUAGAUGGGCGUUGACAAGCUUACCGUGAUUAUUUUGCAGCCAGUGCCGAACAACGUCGUGCCUCGUUGGUCGAAGGGAGACACACACGAUGAGCCCCUUGUCCUCUGCAUUAACCGGGGAUGAUGCAGUACCGAAUCAAUCAUGCUGCUGCACAAGGACAUGAUAAAUAACAAAUCUUGAGUCAAAUGGAAAAUCUUGAGCUCCAAUCAUAAUGAGAGAAAAGAGGAAAUCAUGUCAAUGAUCCUGAAACAAUAGCAUAAGGCAAAAGAAUAGGAGUAUUUUAGCAUAAGGCAAUGAUCUUGAAAACAGCGGGCAAUCGAGCUGUCUAAGCCCAAACAAUAGCAAAUGUGGAGAACACAUUUGCAACACAGAGACACGCAUUGGUGAUUUCGUGCGGACAUGUCAAGAGCACAACACACACAUGGGGUUGAGAUGAACAUGAGAAGAGAACAUUACUACAGUAGAAAGCAUGAUGAUAUGUGGCAGCCUAUAUGAUUGGAGCUGUAGCAACAAGGGAGCUGAAUUACACGUCCUAACUAAACCCAGGACCAAUGGCUCGGUUAUGAGACAAUUGACAUGCAAGCCUAGCACAUAGGCAAGCAGAUUACUCUGAAUUUCCUCUCCAACACAUGUCUGAAUCUGGCUGUUGCUAUGUGUGGGCGUGUGUUGCGAAACUGAAACUAUGAAUUUCCUCUCGAAUACAAGUCUGAAUCUGGCCUACUAUCAUUCGUGUACCUCACCUCCCCCAAAUCGAUCUCUUAAUUUGUAGUUGCAAAACUGAAAGUUAAGUGUUGGAAUCAAUCGAGCCAAGACAAAACAAGCAUAGAUAGGCUCACUUGUGUGACCAGCAGAAGAAUCAUCGCUACAAGAGCUCAUUGUGUCUUGUUGAAUCUCAUACUCCCUCCGUCCCAAAAUAAGUGGCUCAACUUUGUUCAAACUUUAGUACAAAGUUGAGUCACUUUUUUUGGGACGGAGGGAGUACUACACACGCGCGCACACGCACACGCACGGUUGCACUAGUGAAAAGAGGCAACACCUCCGGGUAAUUGAUGGCCGGGACAUGAGAGAGAGCAGAGUGAGAUACCUGGACGGGCUCCAUGGCGUCCGCAGCGGCAGCGGGGUCGGAACAGCAACAUUGCCAAUUUAGUAUCAACCUGAAGAAUAAUCUGCAGACUUGUUAGUUUUUUCUGAAAAAGGAAGUAAAAGUAUGAGAUUUUUGCAGUUUUGUCUAGCUCCGUCUGAAUACAAGUUGCAGCAGCAAGCAAACACGGAUAGAUGGGCGUUGACAAGCAGAGCAGAGCAUACCUUCCAUGGCGACCUGGGAAGAAGCAGAGCCUCCUUGUAUGCCUGCGCGCUUGAUGCAUCAGGGAGUGCAGCGGAGGACCUCCAUGUCCAUGGAGAAGACCGGAGUUGUUGGUGACCCUUCCAUGGCGUCGUCCUGCUCCUCCUGGUAAUGGUCAUGGAGACGGGGGUGGGUCAGAGAGGGAGAAGAGACCAGACCGGGGAUGGGUUGGGAUGGGAUGGGAUGGGUGAAGAGGAGGGAUUCGUACCCAUGGCUGCGCCUCCUGCCUGCGGAUCCUGAUGGCCGCGGGCUAGGGUCCAUGGCUUGGCUCCUCCGCCGCCGCCGCCUCUCCUGGAUCAUGGAGGAGGAUGGUGCCGUGGAUCUUGGCGCGCAGCUCGAGCCGGGGACAUGCCCACGACCCUAUCCACGGGGAUUGGGAGGGGUUGCGCGCGGUAGCCGUGAAUCUGGCCGGAGAGGAGGAAGGACCGGAGUGAGGGGGUGUCGGCGGUGUGCUGCGUGCCGCCGAAACUCGCCGGAAUCGCGGCGGCGGCGAGGGGAGAGAGAUGGGUGGGGGAUGGGAAUGGGAUUCGCCUCUUUUCAAUAUUAUCUUUCCUUUCCUUUUCUCUUGUCUUCAAAACUUACUUUUGAGCAAGGAGACACAAAUUUUGAGAGACGAGCGCGCGUAAAUGCAGCGGACUCUUAAUUGGUCAAUGGACUUUACCCAUGGAUCGACACUGUCUAUUUAACCAAUCUCGUUCGUCCAUCGACAUCUGACGGCCCGCAGAAUCGAUCGUGGGGAGCUGGCCGGAAGGAAGAAGCACAGAUAUGCUUGGGUUGGAUCUCCAUGGUCUUUGCCCCAUCUCGUCCGCCCGUCCGUCGACAUCGGGUGGCCCGCGGAAUCAAUCGUGAGCAGCUGGCGGGGAUGGAUCGGUGGGAGUCUCCCUCAUUGGUCGGUAGCGAUUACCCACGGAUCGAUCGCCUCUCUGGCCAAUCCCAGCCAUGCGCCACAUCCAAACAUACGUGGGGGUUUCGUUUCGGUUGUUGCUCCAUCAUCGUGAAUGGUCGACCCACUGAUGGAUGCCUGGCGUGGGGCGGUGGCGAUGUGUUCAAUCCAUCGAGAGAUGGUCAUAGCUAGUCGCGGCGACAUGGGUCACAACACGUGUCUCUCGCCUAAGUCUAUGCAUGUAUGGGUCACAGCAUGUGUCUCUGGCCUAAGUAUGUAUGUACAUGUUUUUAUUUAUUUAUUCUCGAUCUGAAAAAAAUAAGAAUGGAUAGAUGUGCUCGCUUCCAUGAAAAAAAAUUGAUGGUGCAGCAAGCAAGCAAGCAAGCAGUCCGCGCGCGUGGGCGAAUUAUUCUACAUGAUAUAACAAAGGGAUCAAGCCAAAGGGAUAAACUGCAAUUAAGCCAAAGGGAUCAAGCAAAUACUUGUAUCACACAGGGAAGGUGGUUGAGUAGUGCUGUCCUGGACCUCAUCCCUUCCCCUCCUCCUCCUCCUCCUCCCUCUCCCAGUCGUACCUCUUCUUUACUUCCUCUACCUGUCACAGUUGCAAGUAAAUUGGAAGGCUCUGUUUUCAUUGCAAAUCACAGUUGCUCUCUACUCCAGUUUCUAGCACUCUUCUUGUAUCGUACUACUUGUCAUAAUGUACUAUAUCAAUAAGAUGCUUCAUUUACAAUGUAUUGUACUGGAGGCUACUCCAUUUAUAAUUUACUAUGCUUCUAAUAAUGUAUAUCAUUACUAGCGUCGAGUAUUGUAUUUACACCAAUGGAAAUAAGAUUACUGCAUUGAUACUUACUGCUUCUUUUUCGCGUAUCUACUGGUUUUUGCUAUGAUGGUAAUUUUAUUUCCAUAGUUACUAAUAAUAAAUAUUUUUUUUUCAUUUCUUAAUAAAUCUAACCAACUCUCAGGUAUAUACGCAUGUCUCAACUACUCCCUCCGUUUCUAAAUAUAAGAUUUUUUAGAGAUUACAAUAAAGAAUACAUAUGGAGCAAAAUGUGUGAAUCUACGCUAUGAAAUACGUCUAUAUACACCCGUACGUAGUCCUUAUUGAAAUCUCUAAAAUGUCUUAUAUUUAGAGACGGAGGGCGUAACAAGACUAUCCUAUGACCGAGUUGACCCCUAGAAACCAGAUUCCCAUUUCAAAAGCCUCCCGUGCAUGAAAAUUUUACCACAAACAUUGAGUCCUAAACUUCUUUUUUGGGUAUAUAUUGUAGAAAGAAUAGAGAGGAAGGUUGACAAAAUGAGGUGGGUUCUAUUGUGGUAUCGCUUGAGCCCCGUGGACGUAUUUAUAGGAGUACAUGAUCAACUUGGAGUAUAAGACAAGUUAGAACAAAUCCUAAUAUAUCCUAUAUUUUCUAAUAAUCACAAUACUCAACAUCCCUCCACAGUCACAAAGGUAGCGACGCAGACGGUGAGACAGGAGAAGAAUCCUAAGGUAAGCCGAUGGACACCAUCCCCCCUCCCUAGUCAUAACGAUCGAUGCAUAGCAGAAGAUGUGGCUGGAGUGAAACCGAUGAGAUUGCUCCAUCAAGUCGUCCCUUUGUGCCGAUGUCAAUCUAACCGAGAGCGUAGGAUGGUGUAUCCAUGUUUGAGGUAGCCAUGCGAGGGAUGACAUGGUCGAUGUCAACUCGGGGUGGUCGAUGUUGAGUUAGUCGCCAUGGCGCCGCAGGCGCAAGGAAGCGCCGUGGUAGUCUUCGGAGCAGUGUUGUCGAGGUAGUGGUGCGCCGGGAAGAAGACGGUGUUGAUGAGUUGUCACGCUAGGUUUGUCAAGGCCAGGGACACGUCAUAGACAAAGGCACGCGUCGGUGUUGCCAGCCUCGGGCAUGCUAGACGGACGAACUCGAUGUUGACGAGGUGCCACACCAAGCUUACCAGGCCCGAGGACACAUCAUGGACGAAGGCACACGUCGGUGUUGCCAGCACUUGGCAUGCCUAGAUGAGGAUCCGCAUGAGUUAUAUGCCAUUGUAACACCCCUAUGUAAGGAGCUAAAGUGAUCAUCAUAAGCUACUUUGAUUAACUAGUCUUGAUCAACGUUGAUUCAUAUCUUAUUUAAAUUCCACUUUAAAUCAAAUUCAAAUUGUAAGAGGAAUUAAGAAUUUCAGAAAUAAGAAAACUAAAAAGUUCACGCAAUGGCAAAUAAUCAUUGAAUAAUUGUCAUGGUGAAACCAAUAUUUUAUAUAAAGUAAUUAAAUACCCUAAAACAAUUAAAACACGGUACAAAACAAUAUUUUAAUUGCUUUUGAAAUUAUAAGAAUUCUAAAGUAAUGUAAAAGCCUCCCAAACUUUUCCUGGCAUUGUCCAAAAUUGCACUUUAAAUAAUGGGCCAAGUUCCUACUUUUACUAAACAUAUUUGCUAUUUAAAAUAAUUAAAAAACAGAAUUAAAUAAAUGAAAACAGAAAAAUAAAAAUAAAAAGAAAUAGUUUAAGAAAAAGAAAAGUGGCACUGUGUCGGCCCAGCCCACCGAUCGUGUUGGCUUCAACAUAGCUACAGUGGCCGACCGAGGGCACGAGCGCCGCUCGUCCCCGUCGGACCACCUCAUCAGCUUCGCCGUGGGAGGAUAAGUCUGCCACCCACACGGCCCCUCGGACUCCUCCCCUCUCACUCACUUACCCCCUAGACUAGAUCCCCCCUCUUCCUUUAGCUCCCUGCGUCGAACUGGAGAAGCGCCCGAUGCGACCGUCGCCGACGCCCCGUCGAUCCCGCGGCCAUCUUCACCCCUGCGCCUCCCCGUCAUGUCAUAGAGUGCCGCUGCAUGCUACCUCGAGCUGGAACUGGGGACCCCUGCAAUGCCGCCCCGACCUCUUCUUCCUCCUUGGGCACCACCGCAGUCGCCAUCGAUUCGGCGCCAUGAGCCUCCCCCGAGCCGACGUUUGCACCUCUACAGGCUCCCUGUGAGUUUCCGCUCGGAUCCCCUUCGUCUCCCCCAUCCUUCCGCGCCAUAGCUCGCCUCGCCGCCAUGGCCGCACCCAAUGUCACGGUAGAGCUCGCUGCCGUGGCCACUGCUCGCGUCCGAGCACCGCAUCGUGCUCAGCUUCUCCCUAGCAACCCAACGCCACCAUCCACUGCCUUUGUCGUGCCCCAUAGCGACGAAGAUCAGCAAACGCCACCACCGCCGCCGAUGAUGUUCCGCUCAACUCCGACCAUCUCAGCCACUCCCACCGACACCAAACAAUGCGACAUCGCUUGCUCUUUUGAACGAGCCAACCAACGGGGCCGGAGACUCCCUGUGCGCAUAUUCCGGCCAACUACGGCACGUCACCACCUUGAAAUCGAGUCGCUGGAACCCCUCUAGCACCGCCAUAGAUAUGGCUGGCUUGGGGCCCACCCAUGUGUCACUGCCAGUGGGCCCCAGGGGCCUAGCUGACCCGUUGACCCCGGUCAACUGUGCUGACUGGGCAGCACAGUCACUGACUGGUGGGCCACCCACCUAAUUAACUAAAAUGUUAAUUAAUUUAAUUGGUUAAAUUUAAUUAGACACUGACAAAAUGGGCCCUAAUAACUAAUUUGCUUAAUUACUUAAAUUGAAACCUAUUAAUUUUUAUUGAGUCACUAACAAUGGGGUUCCACUUGUCAGUUUGACUAGUCAACUGCCAAUGUUGACUACUCACUGGGCUUUGACUUGCCCCACAUGUCAGCCUAUGAAGCACAUCAUAACAUUUAGUAUUUAAUGUAUUUUCGAAUUAACUUAAUUACAAUUUUUUUGGAAAAUCAUUUAAACUCCGAAAAAUCAUAUAAAGUAAUAUAUAACUGAGAUGAAAAUAAGUUAUAUAUGAAAAUUUCUAAGAAAAAUAUAAAAAAUCCAAAAAUGAUAUCCACUCAUCUGUCCGAUAACUGCCAAACGCUGGGAAAACAUUUCUAGAUGUUUUCCCGCUUCGUCUGUAACGUGUAGCACUAUGUUAGAUCACCGCUAGGUCAGCAUAUUUCCAUGUCAUGCAUCAUGAUGCAUUUAUUUGCUUUAUAUUUGUUGUUUCUCCCCCUCUCCUCUCCGGUAGACCCCGAGACUGACGAUGGUCCUAGGUAUGACUACACACCUGACGAUCAGCCCUUUUUCAUAGAGCUUCCAGGCAAGAAAAAGCCCCUUGAUCAUUCCUAUAUCGCCCAUACUUUCUCUCUCAUGCUUGCAUUCGAUUUUGCUAAUGUUGUUGAUAACUCCUAUUGUGAUGCAUAGCCUGCUUUUGUAACCUGCUGUUGUUACUUUACCUGAUAUCCUAUAUGCUUAGUAUAGGUUAGUUAGUGAUCCAUCAGUGACCCUUCGCCUUGUCCCUGUUGCCCCCGCUUUAUUACCGAAUGAAUCGAUCAAUGUGAUCGACGUACUGAGACCAACACAUCACCGCACCCCCCCCUUAGUUGUACAACUCUGUAGAGAUACUACCGAGUGCCGAGGGUGAUACCUCGAAAUGCACUCCUGAUAAUAUCUCUGUAGUGUAGCUAAUCGGUUGUGGAUUAUGGAGGGUGAUUCCUCCUUCACCACUCCCAAUAUUGACUCUGUCGUGCAGUUCUUCAAGUGUGAACCUACCGUGGGUGAUUCCUCCAAGUUCACCUUGAUGGUUACAUCGAGUGGGAAUCGAUCAAGGGUGAUUCCUACAAUUCCUCCUUGGUGUUAUCGACACACACUUACCUUUACCUGUUCCCGUCAACUGUUUCUGUGGGACUGAAGGGACAGAUGGUACCACCCCAGUAGAGGUGGACCUGAGUUCCUGAUAGUCUCUUGUGACUGAGGAUGACCUGGAGGGUACCUGUGAGAUAAUUACGAGGCACGGCCGGGCAUUCUUGGCCCUUGCCGUAAGUUCGAGAGACAGAGCAAUAGGACCACGGAUCAUGGAUCAUUGAUCCUCUCCACGCUCUCCCAAGACACUAAUUGAUUUGGAUAUGUGCACUGUUCUAUAAUUCAUCCGAUUAAUCAGUAAAUUGGCUAGUUAAUCGCUACUCAUCAGGUGGCCGAAUCGAAUAACACCUAUUCAUCAUGUUAACUUGCCAGUCCGAUUAAAUGGUCUAUUAGACCGGUUAAAUGGUCUGUUAGACCGAUUAGUCGGUUGUUAGGCCGAUUAAUCGAUGUCGGCCCGCUAACUCAUGGGCAUACAAAGCCCAAUUAUUUGGCCCGUAACCCCUCUCAGCCCAUACAAAGCCCGAUUAUUUUAUUAAAGUCAAUUGUGCUAAUAAUAUGCAAAGCCCCAAGCUUGGGGAUGCUAAUUUUUAUACGUCCACUACUUAUUGCAAUUAUCAUGAUUCGGGUGAUUAUUCUUAUGAUAUUGAAAGUUUAUUUAAGCCUCAUGAUGAAUAUCGUUGUGAUAAUAUUGAAAAUGGGUUUGGAAGAUUGUCAACUCUAGGUAAUAAUGAUCCCACUAAUUUGUAGAAUGAUCCCAAGCUUGGAGACGCGACAAUAGUAGUGUAUCGUGAUGCAGAAGGAAACUACCUCAGCAGCUCUUCCCUGGCGUAACCAAUGUAGCAUUUUAGGAUUAUUUGUUUUCAUAAGAGCAAGUACAAUAGCAGGCUUAUAGCCUGCUUACAUGGCAAUUUUGUCGACAUGGAGGAGAGAGACAUGAAAAAGUAAGCGGAGUGAGCUCUCAUGCAAGAGCCUAACUAUAUGCGUGCUUCAAGGCAGAUGCAAUAAAUACGAAGAAAGAGAUAGAGAGAUGAGGAAAAAUAGUAAUCUUAUAGCCAACCUUAUAGCUAACCUUAUUGUAUGAGUGACUAUAUGAAUUGGCUAUAAAUGAUAUGACAACAUCUUAUAGCUAGCAAUUUGUUGUAUUAUUAAUCAUGCUCUAAUGUUCCUAAUGCAUCAAUACGAAGAGAGUACUAGUAAAGCAGUGACAAGUAAUGUGGAUAGAAGAGAGUAACGCAAUUUCACAAAUAUGACAACAAUCUCAUUAAUGAUAGCAUGUGGCUAUCUAGCCAGGGCCGAGUAAUAAAUGAGGGCCAUCAGGAAGUUCGCUGGCACGUUACGAGCUCAGAUUUAUUUGUUGAGCACCUUGCGAACGAUCAAUCACCAUACUCCCUUUAAAUUGUCAGUUUACAUAUCAAUUUUCAUGCAUUUUCACCACCAAAGGGAUUUUAGACACGUUUGGUUUAAUGCCCAAUUAAUUAGGGCGUGACAACCGCAAUCAAUCCCACAAAUUUCUCUCCAUGCAGGUGUGUAUGCGAGGUAGAAUAAAUGCAUGCAUGUGUGUACGUGUUAAUUUCCCAAAUUGUUAGGCGCCGUGGUAUAACCAUAGAUGAUAUUUUUCAGUUUAAUCGCUAAUCAUUUGGUUUCAGAGAUUGUUGAAGCGCGCCGGACUGUGACAAGAGAGUAUUUCACGCCUGUCCAUGCACAGGAUUUUUUAUACUAUCUAUGUCUUGGUUACAGGUCACCGUAUUUUGGAUCAUUUCUUAAUCAUGAUUUGAACUAAUAAAAUCUAAGCUAUACAUUAAAAAAUAAUAUCAUUGGAAACUACAUUCAAAUAUGAAUCCAACAAUAUUAUUUGAUUUGUUGUGACAUGCAUUGACAAUUUGCUAGUCAAAUAUGUGAUUAAAUUUUGACUUAAAAUAUGGGAGGGACUAAUAAACCCUACUCCAAAGUCGAAAGUAUUUUUUUGCGCCUACUCAAAAGUUGGCGAUACUUAUUUUCACAACCGUCUAUAGGUGAGCAAUAAAGGUGCAAUAAAGACCGUCCCAUCCCCUGUAUCAGCCAAAGAUUGAAUUAUAUUAUAAUGGCAUCUAUGCAGCUCAACUACCGCGUGCCAAGCCCAUGCGUGAGUAAAUACGGCAGGCGCAGCUCAAUCCAUCAAGCCAUGGCAGACUUGCUCCUCCUAACCCUGCUUCCCUUGGCUCUCCUCUUCCUCCUCCUCCACCAUGCAUCGCCAAUCAAAGCCCUUCUCACGAGGGCCAAGUCGGUUCUGGCACCGGAGCUCUCCACGGUGUGGAAGCCACAGCCAGCUAGCAUCUUCGUCACGGACCCCGAGACGGCGCACAGCCUUCUCGUGCGUGGCAGCGCCGCUGGCUCCUUCUCCAACCGCCCACCGUCCAUUUCUCCCAGCGCCAUCCUCUCGCGCCGUCAAUACCAGAACAUCACCUCCGCUCCCUACGGUGAGCACUGGCGCGCCAUUCGUCACAACCUCACAUCGGAGGUCCUCCACCCAACGCAGCUCCACCGGCACGCGUCAGCGCGCCGCCGUGCACUACAUGGACUCGUCGUGGACCUCGCCGAGCAGAGGAAAGACGGCGUGGUUCACGCGGCGGAGAGCAUCCGCUACGCUAUGUUUGUCCUGGUGGCCAACAUGUGUUUCGGCGACGACAUCGACAAUAACCGCGUCCGUGCCAUGGCCGACGCUCAGAGUGACCUCGUCAAGUCCCUAUCUACGGCGCGCGUGUUCGCGCACGCCAUGCUCCCCGCACUGACCAGGCUCAUUUAUCGUAAUCGGUGGAAGAAGCUAGCCGCCCUGCGACAGCAGCAGGAGCAGACGUACCUACCACUCAUCGACUCCCGUCGCGGCCGGCACCGGCGACCCAGCGAGACGCCGGUGUAUGUGGACACGCUCAUCGAUCUCAAGGUGCCGGACGACCACAGUCAGGACCCAAGGCGGCAUCGAAGAAGGCUGUCCGAUGGUGAACUCGUCGGCAUGUGCUCCUAGUUCCUUGGUGCUGGAACUGAAACGACAGCAUCAGCGCUGCAGUGGAUCAUGGCCAACUUGGUGAAGCGUCCCGACAUACAGGAGGCCGUCCGGAAGGAGAUCAAUGCCGUCGUGGGUGCGGACGCCGAUGAAGUCAGCGAGGUUGUUCUUGGGAAGCUGGAGUACCUGCACGCUGUCAUCAUGGAGGCACUCCGGCUGCAUCCGCCGACGUCUUUUGCGUUCAGGCAGGUGAUGGAAGAGGAUCAUGUGGUUCACAAUGGCCAGCGUAUUCCAGUGGGCACAAAAGUGUACUUCCCACUGGCUGCUAUAGCACGAGACAGGAUAGCGUGGGAUAACCCUGACGAGUUCAAGCCACAACGGUUCCUGUCCUGCAAGGAUGCAUCCCAAGGAACCGACGGCACGAUCAAAAUGAUGCCUUUCGGCGGUGGUCGGAGGAUGUGCCCUGGUAGGGGUGUCGCAAUGCUGCACUUAAGCUACUUCACCGCCAACCUUGUGAGGGACUUCCGGUGGAGGGAGGGAGAAGGUGAGCUUGCUGUCGAUCUCCAGCCGCAUGUUGAGAUCUUCACUGUCAUGAAGCGGCCAUUGCGUGCUCACCUAGAGCUUGAAAGGACAGAGAUCAAAACUAGUUAAUUAGCUGGGCUGAUCAAGGUUUCUUGGUUGUACUGUGUUUGCUAAAUGCUAAUAACGAACCAUAUGAAUGUUUUUUGAGCGUCAGUUGAUUCCUCCCCCGUACGCACGCUAAGUGUCGAGCGAAGACGAAGCGUGGCCUGCGAGGACUUGCCAAGAAUGAAUCGGAGCAGGCAACAAAGCCGCUACAUCAUAGGCGGAGGUGAGAUAGAGGCUUUACUAGUUUGGGUGAUGGGCGGUUCCCGGCAUAAAGAACAAAUGGAAUACAUGAUUAUGUUAUCGGUUAAUGCCGUAAUAGUUGUGGUUAAGUCAGCAAUUCCUCAACCCAUGCACUUGAGCAGGCUAGGUAUUUCUUUUAUGAACAUUAUUAUGAAGAUCAUUAAAAUUGUUAACCAUUAAAAACACUUUGUCAAUAGGGAAAAAUAAUAUAUGCAUGAUGAAUGUUAUGCAUAUUUAUAAUUCCGUUUAACAUUUGUAAAUCCACCAAUUAAAUCAUGCUCCUACCUUUAAAAAUAAUCCAGGACCUAUAAUGUACAUGUUAUUUACAUAAAUAGUAAGAUAUUUUAAAUUAAUCAAUCUGGAUACAAAAGCAUAUAUUAAUGUUUGUAGCUUAGCUACCCCAUAGUGUGCGAUGCUCCCUAUUUAUAUCCAUGCAAAACCUUAUACAGUAGGAUACAUGAUCUGUGGCAGAUGAAACUAGCUCCAAUACACUUGUUCAAGUUUUGUUGUGUACAACACCCAUGGCAGAUGAAACUUGUCAAUCUCUACUUGUCGAGUUGACAGUCAUGUCAAUGCGAAAGAAGGCAUAGCUGUCAGCUUGUCACCCUAAAAUCUGAGCAUGUUGACAAUGGAGGUAGGUGAAUUCGUGAUAGAAGAGGAAGAAGAAAAUAAUAAUUGUGUUAUAUCAAAGUAUACAAAUGAGCUUUGUUUCUCAAAAUAAACAUCCUGAAUUCUACAAGGAUAAAAAUAGCAACAAAUAAACCAAAGUCAUCGUCUUAGUAAAUUCUAUUUUCUUUACUAGGUUAAUGUCACGCUUGUGGCAGGGAAGGGAUAGGACACAUCACAUGCAUAUCCAUUAUCCAUGAUGCAAGUGUAUGAACAUGCGUGAAGGAUGUGGGACACCGAAGAAUUAAGUAAGGCUCUAAAGUGUGGGCUAUAAAUUGGCCUAUACAUCAUUCUCAACAUGGUGCAGAAUGGCCAGACUGUCUUAGCUAUACCUUUGCUGGUUUGUCAGGUCAUUAUAACGGGUAGAUGCAGGUUAGUUAAUACAGAUGGAUGCAACGCUACUCCUAUAGAUAUUAUUAUAUGUGAGAUCGAUCGGAUGUGUACUUGUUUGAAUGGUUAUUCUUGCUUGUCAAGCCACUCUUUAUUUGUCUUUUCACAUUCAUAAUAGCUAAACAUCAGUCGCCUGAAAAUCCAAUUUGGUUUGUUCGAUUUUCGCUAGAAGGAAGCAGGUGCCAGAGGGAAGGAAGAAGCAGCUGCUGACUCGCCGGAGUGAAGGAAGGAGCUCCCUAGGAGGCUACCCCAUCAUCUAUCGUUGAUGAAGGGGGGAGGUAGGGGUGGCAGCACGGCGGUGGUGCAAGUUCGCCGGAGAAAAAACUGGUCAUUGCCGGGGCUGGAGGGAUGGCCAGGGGCAGCAGCAUGUCGGUGGGAGGAGGAUGAGGGGUGGGCGGGGCGGUGAGGCUGAGCAGGAGCGCCGCUGGCCGCGGGUGGUGGUGGUCGACGGUUCGGCCGGUGGUCCAUCUGGCGGUUGGAUGGAGAAGAAGAAAGUUGUCUGGAGGAUAAAGAAGUAAUCUGCACCGCCUGUUUUCCAUCCCAUGGCUGAAACGAAAUCAAAAGAACAUAACUGAAAAUUUAGUCGACUUACCACUAGCCAUUCCCUUCUACAUUCUAUGCAGGGCCGGCCCUGAGGGGGGGCAGAGGGGGCGGCCGCCCCGGGCCCCCAGGAUGCAGGGGCCCCCACCCAGGGUACGUAUACAUUAGCCAGCUAGGCUAAGCCCACUACGCACUAGGACAUGGGCUGAACAUGGAGACGCAGGCUGUGUCUAGCCUAAGGCACACAGCGGCUCGUUCCUCGACUCCUCAUCCGAUGUGUAGCUCGUAGCUGUAGCUUUGUCCGCAUGCCUGUUUGGAUGCCUAAUUAUUCCCUUCCGAGUUGGUCAGAUCUAAUUGCGAGUUCGCUUCUUCAAGAGGAUCGCGAUCCUAAUCGCGAGUCGCCGUUUUAUCGGCGACCUUCGCUCCCCAAUCUCCACUGGAGAUGUCAUCCGUCGUCGCCAAGCGUAGACGUACAUCCAAUCCAGACCGCAUCCUCCAACAGAUCCCAGGUUUUAAUUACUAGUAUUCCCUAUCAGCUAAUUAAGUAAUUUAUCUUUGCAUACAUGAUGCCUAUAUUGCGCACAGCAAAGUGUCCUGUGUAUUGCUAUGGAUCCAAACUUGACUGAUACUUGUUCAAAAACUUUUUAAAAAACCUGGUUUUGUUAGAUAUAUUAGUAAAAAUAUGUUAGGUUUCACCCAGUGUAUAUAUCAUUUCUGUUACCAUAAAAAAAUGUUGUGCUAAUCGCUAAGCUAAUGAACUGCUGCAAUGCAGGGAGAUGAUUUUGAAAGCGAGCUUGGUUCAGGGUCUUCCAUUCAUGUUCUAUCAGGGCAACAGUUUUGGUAAUGGCCACUUCACUUGUCACGUUGUACUCAUUGAUGUAACACUCUACAGUGCUUGCCAUAUCCCCCUUGCAUUUUCGACGCUGUAUGAUGACAUCAAUAAUCAUCUUUAUGUAAGUAUGUAUCAAUUUAAUAAUCUUGCAUGCACUCACAAUGAUAGUACAAACUUGGUAACUGAGCCCUGCCCCCUUUUCCAUAGGUGCCAACACAUUUCGAUGUGUACAAAUUUAUAAAAAAAAUAGACCAAUGAAGUUAAGGUAGCAUCAUAAAAAUGACAUUGCUAAAAAAUAAUUCUAAGUAUAAUCCAUACUAUGAUAUUUUUUGUCACUAAAUCACAUUUUAGCACUCAAAUUGUUGGUCAAAAUUAUAUCUCAGUAUGCUUGAAAUUGAACUUCUUACAUGUGUGAAAGGAGCAAGUAACAUGCAUGCAAAAAAAUAAUUUUGAAAUAUUAUAUAUAUAUACCUCAAAUGCACCGAUAUCAUUCAUGAAACGGGAAAUCUUCCCAACUGAUAUGACGACAUCCGGGACACUAGCAGCCCAUUUGAGCGCUGUCUUCAUCAUUGCAUCACUCAUUCCAGCCAUCAUACUCACACAUAUCGUUGGCACACCAAUGUUUAGACUAGUCAACUUGACCUGAUCUACAAAGCUUGGCUUGUGGUUCCUGUGUGACCAUUUCGCUUCUUGUAGGUAACCAGUCACGUUAUUUUGGACCUGCACACAAACAAAGAGAUGUAAUCCCAAAAUUAACGAGAAGAGAGAGAGAGAGAGAGAGAGAGAGAGAGAGAGAGAGAGAGAGAGAUGUUGUGACAGAAAAGGGUACAUGAACUUACCGCUUUUUUCAGGUGUGCUAUAUCGUAGUUCGUAUUGGCUAGCAUUUCAGCCUCAAUAUUCUCAAAUGUCCUCAGCAUCUCCAUAUAGAACUUCUUCAAGUACUCCGGCAGGAGAAAAAUGGCGCUCUUAUCCCAUCUUGAAGGCCAAUUCACAAAAGCAAUCUUAAUACAAGUUAUCGUAGUUUGAAAAUUCUUUGUUUGCAUGUUAACCUAACCUUUUAUUUUUCUAUACUCUUUAUCUUUCUUCAACACAGUAAGAACCACUAGUUUCACUUUGCUCCAUGAGGCAAAUAGUGUAACAUGACAUCAAAAUUUCAUUAUAGGCAAUAUAUCUCAUUUGUUACUGCAUUUAGAUUUUCUUUCAUCCAUAUCUUAUUAUGGCAACUUAUAUGUUUGUGUUAAUAAAAUAAUAAUCUAAUCAUGCAUCACAUUUUCAUUUGAAAUUGCAAUUGUUACCAGAUAGUAGUGAGCAUUAGCUCAUUACUUGUAUGUACCAAUGAGUGCUAUUGUGUUAGGACUUAUGAAAAUUUCAUGUCAACAUGGAAUUUUAGCUGUGGAUCUGCCCGCGCGCGUGGAUGGGGUGGGGGGCACCGGGCAAAUUGAUAAUUCACCAUCGGAUUCAGCUCGUCCACCUCUGGAUGCCGUGAUUAUCCAAAGAAUAGUAAUAUGCUCCUGGUUUGAAGCAUUAUUUGUAUACCAUUUUUUUCUUGAUAGAAUUGCACUCUUAUGGUCACGGCAAUGCAGGGUGUUCAUUUACUUCUUCUUAAAUACUAAAAUAGUUAUUAUCCAGUACAUACAUGUUCGUAAUUACUUUAUUACUUCGAACAUCAUGGAAAAAUCACGUUGCGCACAUAUUUAUGACUGUGAUUGCGAUUGAUUCUAAGGACGUAUUGAUAUGAUAUGGAAUCGCUAUCUUAGUGGAAUAUACAUUAGAUGCAUUGACAAUUUGAGAGAUAAAAUGUAGAGCUAAAUCAAUCCCACCUUUGUAUUGCUUCAUGUAGCUUCCAACUGUCCUCUAGGGUGGCAUGGUUAUCAUAUAUGUCAUCUAAUGUGGUAAUUAGUACAAUCAUCUUUGUGAUCAUACUUCGAGUGAGCUCAAAUUUUGUGUCAUAGUACAACACAGAGGCCCAUGUAUAACCCUCCACCACACGAUCGCGGAUAAAGCUUAGCUCGAUAUAUCCGAAAAAAUGCUUCCACCACCUGUGAAUUAAUUAAGCAAUGUUAUAUGAACUAGUACAUAUAUAGUCCACAUAGAAUAUAACAUCGCUAGCCCCAUUAAGAGAUAAAAGAACAUUGGUCAAUUAUUACUAAAAGCAUGUGCAUUACUCUAUCACUACACCAUUUAUGUAAUUAUCCUACAAUGCACAGAAAACAACGAAACACUAAAGCAUCAUGAACCAUUAAUGAAUAUGCAUUCUCAUAUUGAUGAAAAAAGGCAACCACGUAAGCUCUUAAUUUAGAUGACGUUAAGCACUAGAAAUGUAGUGGUAACUAGACUUUUGGUUUUUUGUUUGUUUGAAGAUGUAGUAUGCGAGGGCAACCACCCGUGAAUCAUUAUUGGGUUAUAUAUUCUGUUUAUAUAAGAAAGAUAAAUAACAUACCUGGUAAUAGCUUUGAGCUCCUUCAAGUGGACAUUUUGCUGAAGGUUGAAAUCCAAUUUGGCAAGCUCCAGUAGGAUUGGGUUAUGCUCCUCUUGUUCGUACUCUAGGAUAUAAUGUAGCAUUUCCACCCUCUUAUUUGUCCUUGGCAUUGGUAUCUGAAGGGCAUGUUGGACUUGUUGAGCAAGUGGGGUCUUUAAACUACCACUACAUGACUCAAGAUGAUGCCUUGCAAAAGCUAUGGCUUCUUCAAGUGCUGGCUCACCAUGAAUUAGAAGAUGAGAUGCAUUGUAUAGACAUAAUAGUGUCCUGGGUUCAUUUGUUAUAUCAUUAAUGAAGCUUCCAUCUUCACUUUUGAAUCGAUUGAAAACAUCUGUAAUCAAUAAAUAAAUGUUGGUGUUCUCGUGACCACAUUGUCAAUGGAGCUUCUAUUGUUGUAGACAUGUCGUCCACAUUAUGAAAUAUUUUGCAAAUAAGGUCACCAAUCUAAUCUUGAUAACUCAAUUUCUUAGCCAGUUAAAAAUUUGCAUAUCAUGAUUUUUCUUCCAUAAUUUUUCGUAACCAACUAUGCAUAACAAGAAAAAAUUGUUAGGAUUAUAUAUACCUGGAGAUACACAGUAUCCAUGUUCCCUCAGCAAGCGAAACCGAAGGGCAACUUCAUAGAGGUUGUAGUUACUAAAUUCACUCUUCAGGAUUUGCCACAUAGCGGUGUCAAUCUGGUCUUCAAAGAGGUGAUCGAUUCCGAGAUGUUGUAGUUUAUCCACUAAGGACAUUUUUACCACUGUGUCAUUGCUGGAUUUAAACAACAUACAUAUGUCUUCCUUCAGUUUUUUUGCCCUAAGCGUCAUCCACUGCUUGGAUUUCUGCAAUGCAAGCAUUGAACAUUUUUAAUUAACCAAAAGGGACAAGGGUUAGCUAGGUAAAAAAAUGUCGCCAAAACCAAAAAUAGUUGAAAAAAUCUAACAACUCGUAUCUCCAGUGAAAGAAAAUGGACCAAAAGUACAUGACUGUAUAGAAUAACCAUAUAUCCUUUCACUGAGUCCAACUUUCCAACAUAUGCCAACCAAAGGCUACCCACAUGUAUCUUCCAAGGGUGUCGGUCGUGGCCAGCAUAUUUAAUUUCAAAAGCAUGCAUGUGGUUUCAAGUUGUUUCCACUCAAGCAUGGAGUUACACUAGACGAUUUACUUAUGACUAUGAGUGGUGUUGAUGAUAUACAAAAUAGACAUCCAAAAUAUGACAAAUUUCUACCGCCGGAUAUGUGAAAUAUAAAGUCUGUACACAUAUUCAGAUACUAUAAGAAGUGUCGACUAGUGAAGUACACGCAAUAAGCAACCGGUUGCCAUGGAUCUCUAGAGGAGCACGGAUGGUAAUUAGAAAUGUGUUCCUACUUGGGCCCGCAAGUGGUGGGUGCAUGGUGUACAUUUUGGCACCUCUUGGGCUGGCCCAGCGUAGGCCGGAGUAGUAGAUACUAGUACAAAAACGCAUACAAUAGUUACAAAUAAAUACCUCUGUGCAUGGUGACAUUUUGUGCCAUAAAUAGUUAGCUUUUAUUAUAUACCUGUAACGGCGGUGGCUCAUAUCCAGCAAAGAAGUCAAUCCAUGGUGAGGGCUCGUAGCUGAACGCAGGAGUAGCAGCAUUGUCGGACGCCAUAGAAAUUAACAGUUGCUUCUUUGUUUCAUAGGUUUAGUAGCUUGGGAUAUAGAUAGCUUUGUUUGGGGAGGAAGGAGAAUGUGUGCGUGAGGCCUUUAAAUAAUGUCCACGCAAUGGCAGGUCCAUGCAUAUUUCUCAUCGUUAGCAGCCGGCCGGCCGAACUAUAAAGGCGACUGCAUGCACUACUAAUCUACCUACCUUCCGGUUGAUUAUCCGGUAGUGCCUUUAGACCCACCCGAUUGAUGGACAUAAAAUCAUCUAUUUCCAACGUGAAGAAAUCUAUUUUAGCUUGCUAUAUUUGUGGCUUGCACUGUUCCUUAGUCAUUUUCUCUGUUUUUUACAUGUCACAUAGUAUUGUCAUGUUUAUGUUCAGAAUUUACAUCCACAUACUUGUAACCAUCCUCUAUAUACAUGAAUAUUUUGUAUUCAUUUAUUUUGAAAAUUGAAUAUUUAUCUUAUUUUUUGGCAGUUUGGAUAUACCUCAGAUCAGAAUAUUCUAGCCCUUUCUGGGUGCGGUUGUUUGUUGUACAUAUACUUAAUAGAAAAAAACUGGUUGCCAAAUUUACAUUCAACUUGUGUUGUAAUCCAAAAUAUCACACUAAUUUAAACUUGAUAGAGCAUGUAAAAAUAACAAUUCAAAACUAUGUUAAUUUGUGUAGAAUGUACAAAGAAAAAUAAUGGACCUGCCAAAGUUAAAUCAAAGUUUACUUUCAGGAAUGUAUUUCUUGUCGCAUGUAUUAUAUUUAUCUUCAUAGGAUGGAUCGUUGGUCAAAGACCAUGGCAGCCCCUAGAUUGCAUCUCAUAGCAGACGCACCAGGAGCAUUACAGAGUUAGCUCAAUGCAUGCAAUUGGCGUGACAAUGUAUAGUCAGCAAAACACUGAUGCCAAUUGUUGUGAUCACUCAUCAUGCAUGCAGGUCUCUUAUGCAUAGAGCCAAUAAUCCAUUGUACAUCAUUUUUCGAUUAUACUACAUCAAGUUUAAGAUGAAUGCAUGAUGCGUAUUAGCAGUCGGGCGAAUUAUACUAGAUAGUCCCUCUUCUGAUUUAUAAGGCCCAAGUGUAUCCCUAAAUUAAUCAUUUAAUCAAAGUAACACCAAAUGUAUAUCACAAAUGGUAUAUCUUUAGAAGUUUUCUAUGGAAUAUUUUUAUUGUGAUAUGUAGUCACAUGUGCCUGCUCCACCAUCAGAGACCCAGCGAGUACAAAAAAACUCUAGAUAGCUAACACUAAUAAUUUAGGGCAUGCAUUCAUUACCAUCGUUAUGCCAUGUUAUUAAAGUAUCAUAGCUUGACGGCAACUCCCCCUACCUAACCAUAGCUGCCCGGUCCAAGAUCUUAACUAUUUUUACCUGUGAUCCAUCGCCUCUACUAAGUCGUGAGGUUGGGAGAUGCAAAUAUUAUAGCUUUUAUUUGAGGUCUUUUUUUUCUUGACUAUGUCAACAACACCAGCGCCUUGCGAAAUACUAGUUCUCCUUCUCCUUAAGUUAUCCUUCUAUGUUGAUCUAGUUUUCAGGAUCAUGUGGUCUAGUAAACAAUGCUAGGGAUUUUCGUUCAUGGUGUGUUGAAUAAACUUUGUGCCCUAUUCCAGAUGGGGAGGGAAUUCAAGAGUUUUUAUUUGCUGAAGAUAAAGAUAAAACAUUUUUUGCUAAAUAAAAAGACAAGCCCACACAUGAGAUACCUUCGGGAACAUUUAUCCUUGGUCAAAUACAACGGCCCGCAAAUUGCAGCGAUGUUUCGUAUAAUUGAAGUUUCAUGGAUCUUAUAGCAGUCUCUCAUGGAUCUUAUAGCAUCGUUGGCUCGGCAGCGGUGGCGGCCGAUUCCCUCGAGACUAAGGCAUAGUUGAGGAUUUACCGCCUGGGCCGGUUGAUCCGGCAGCCAUGAGGUGAGGCGGUAGGACCAGUGAUAUGUAUUUGUCAGUGUGACGGCUCUCGUUGCCAUUCAGUAGUUGCGGUGGUGCGGCAGUGCGAGCGACGGAGGGCGCGGUGGAUCUGACUUUUCAGCGGUACAGUGGUGGUGUCUUUGGCCGGAAGCGGCCGGAUUCGAACGGAUUUGGUAGCAGCAGCUGAGUGGGAGGGGAGGCUUUUCUGCAUGUUCACCUAAGGGAAUGUUCCGGAUGGUGGUUUGACUGCACGCGGCUGCGUUUUUGUUUCGCGGCUGCGCAUGGUGUUGUAUAGUUGCAACACAAGAGGGUGUAUUUUAGGGCUGCCUCUAGUUAGGACCACAAAAAUAUAGAGAUUGGGAAGCUGUUGGAGUACCGUUUUUAUGUCAAAAUGUCGUAAAGAGCAUUUUCUUUGCGCCUCUACUAUAUUUUAAAUCACGUAUUGGAGAUGCUUUAUGUGUGUUCAUUUUCUCCAUAGGUGUCGCCGCCUCCUUCAAAUACUUGGCCCUAAGUGUAUGCAUAUGAGGGCAAAUAUUGGUGGUGCACGAGUCAGGUGAAGGUGCGACCUGGUGCAGCUUAAGCCAUUUGCGAGCGGGUGCAUGGGACGGGUCCUUGACACUUAGGCUGGUCUGGCUCAGCCAUUCGACCGGUUUGGGUGCAGAGAAAAGGAUGGAAAGAGGGAAACUUUGACAUGGCGUAACCAUGACGGGGCUUUUCUUCACCCUCGAUUUAGCAGAUUUUGUCUCCUACAAAACUAUUGGUGCAGGAAUUCAAAAGUUUUAGUUUUCUCUAAGAUGAAGCCGUUGUGUAGGUAAUAUGGUACUGGUUCCUAUUUUGCAUGUCUGCCGUGGUUGUGGUUGUGGAAAUUACUUCAUCUAUCGUUUAGUAGAGAAUUUUCUGGGUCUUGUAAUUCGUUUGGUAACCGUUCUUUUGUCUGGUUUAUCAGCCUAAUGCAAUGUGCCAGUUUCUCAGCAUAGGCCGAGUAGGUGGGUUUCUUUUCGUUUGGACGUGUGGUGCUUAUGAGAUCGCAAACUGACUACAAAGAAAAGGACAUGUACGCGGUGUAAUUUGUGCACUGCUUCUCUUGCCACAUGUUUUAUUGUUAUCUUUAUAUAUAUGAUUGAUACUUUGUCAAAGAUAACAUCGUCUAGAUUGCAUCCACUUUUCAUAGCAGCCGCACCAGCUGGAACAGUAUAAGGCACAUACCAUCGUGAGUGUGACAAUCAGGCCUAUCUUUAUGUAGCUGUGACCACUCAACGCAUGCAUGCGUCGACGUUUCUCACCGUCAAGUAGCAGCCGGAGGAAUCCGGUAUAUGAUCUUGUGCGUACUGGGAAUUCGGUGCGACGUCCACUAGAUCGACUUUAAGAUCUGCUCUUCACUGGGAAUGUUAGCAGCCGGUUGAAUCAUUUUUAGUAUACAUGCCAUGACGUCUUUAUGUUCUGCCCCACUAGUUCAAGAUCCAUGCAUGCAUUCAUACUCUAUUUUUAGCAGCCGAUAGGUGUCACCUUCAACUACAAUGUAUUAUUAGAGGGUAAUAUAUAUGGACGAAAACGUCACAGGACAGUCGGACAUCAACAAAUUACCAUUAGAUUAGAUAGACACGUCUCACCUCCCUGCGUGCCCGCACACUUUGUACCAUGCUAAUUAAUUGUAUGUGAGUAAUUUAAUGUGUUGCUACCUUGGAAAUGUAGUUGCAUUCAGACACAAGAGGAACAUAAAGUAUUUGUAAGGGCCUCCUUUAAGUUGAAAGGAUAAUCCUCCAUCUGCGCCAAACGAAGCUAGCAAUCACAUUGCGCCAUGAAUCUAAAUUUGGCCUCGCGAGGGUGAGCUAACUCCUAUUCAGAUGGCCACGGGUCUAAGCGGGGAAAAAGAAGAGAAAUAAAGGACAACUACCAUGCAGCCUACACUCGAACCCAUGGUGAGGAUGUGAGGCAAAAGAAUAGGAAAAGACUCUGUGUUGUGGCCCUAGAAAGCUCUAAGGAUCAGUUUUGUUUGCAUCCUCGUUGUUUCAAGACUGGCCUGGAGCACGCAUGUGAUCUUCCUGGGCGGUGUUUGUUUAGUUCCUGGAAAAGAUCGUAGUGGCCGGGCCUGGAUAACCAAACAUGACCAGCUAUUAGUCUACCAGGCUUCUGAAUUCCUGGUCCUGCGCACCGGCUAAUAGCUGCCUGGCCUCUAAUACUAGUAUAGGGACUUGUGCCAACCAGUAGGACUCUCUUUAGUUUUUGUGUGGACAUUUAUUCCUUAGUACGAGUACAUCAGUCCAGGUAGGAACCAAACACAUCUCUGCCUAGCUUGCCUGACCAGGCACGAAAGAGCAAAUUCCCAGGUAGAGUACAGGCAGCAAUAUUCUUCAGGCAUGGUGUCCAGGGUAGUAACCAAACUAGCCCUAAAUAAAAAUAUCUAUGACCAAACAUUAUGCAUGUACGUAGGAGGCAAAACUAGGCGUCAAACUGACUUCUAACGUCGGCUCAAUAUCAAAAACAUCAUAUAUAUUCUUGUAAACCUGGUAGAGUAUGUGACAAAAUUAAAAAUCAAUUAAAACAACAAAUUCCUGGUAGCUAGCAUUCAUAACUAAAAGGUACCUUUCUUUUGCUAUUUUCAGGUCUUGUAGUUCAGUUAGUAAUCGAUGUUUUGCCUGAUUUAUUAGUUUAAUGGAAUAUGUAGGUUUUACGUCAUAGUUCGAGUACGACAGUGCUUUCUUGUAACAAGUUUUAGUGUUAUCUUCGUAUGAUUGAUACUAGGCCAAAGACAAUGCUGCCUAGAUUGCAUAGAUGUUUCACAGCAGCCGCUCCAACCAAAACAUUGCAUGGCUAGAUUACAGAAAGGCACAGACCAAUCAUGGGCGUGACAAUGCAUAUAGUAAUCAGGUAUAUCUUGCACGUACUUCGUGGGUGUGACACACAUUAGAUGCAUGCAUGGCGCAUGUUAGCAGCCGGACGAAUGCUGGUGGGAUGCAUGCGAGUUCAAGACAAUCUGCUCAAUAAUUGCGCUAAUGCAUUCAUGUUUGUUGCUUUGUUAGCAGCCGGCGGAGUCACAUUCAACUAUAAUGUUUUAUUUAGAUAUACGGAUGAAAACAUCACAAGGCAGUCACCACUCAAUAGUAUAGUAUUAAGAUUGACACCGCAGUCACCAUUCAUAUAGUCAUUUGCGGUGGCAACUAAAAGAUAUAAUAAAUUUGUUGAGAAAUAUAGGUGCGCUUUGACACAAGAAGAGCAUAAAUAUUUGAAUGCGCCUUCUUUGGGUUAGGGCCAUAGAUAUCUUGUUCCAUGUCCACCAACCGAACCUAGCAAUCACAUUCUUCCAUAGAUCUAAACAAAGAAAGAUAGAAUUAAAAUAUGAUAAGUGGUAGCAUAGUGUCUGUUAGUGGUCUGCCCAUGAUGCAUUAAGCAGCACUAUCAGCUUGGUGGGCAAUUAAACAAGACAUGAGAGAGAGAGAGAGAGAGAGAGAGAGAAAACAAGUGUUGGGUCUAUGCAAUUACCGUAGUCCUUUCAGAAAAUGAGUGACUGAGAUAAUUGUUUUUCUGUGAAAUCUUAUGAGUAGGGCGCACAUUUCCUUUUGAUUCAUAACAAAAAAACAGUUUAUUUUAUGAGAAAAUGUUGGUCAAUAGACUAAACCAGAUGUGAACAGUGCAAAAGCUCAGAGAGUAGAAAAACAUCAAGCUACAUUUGGCCUACAGCAUGCCAAGUCAGUAACCUAGUGCUGCUUGCACGUUUGACGCACCCAUGAAUGCUUGGGCGAGGCCAUUACUGUUAGCAAAGUCAGUCCAAAGGAACCGGAUCUAAUUUGAUAAACCUAGCAGUACAUCUUCCAAAAGGACCCAAAAGAAACAAAUAAGAAGAAAUUAUAGGUCAGUCUUUGCAUUUUACACGGAGGAUAUCAGACCAUGAAAUUAGUUUGAAAUUUGGUCCAUACAACAUGCAUCAAUACAGUAACUAACCCAUCGUCACCAGGGGCAAUUUAAAAAGUGCAAACUUCGUGUUUUGGUACAAUCAAUAGUUUGUGUCAUCCACCAUAAUAUAUUGCAAGUUCAACGAGGUUCUUUUAUUCUUAUUGGUGCAAUGAUACAUAUUGGUAUACAUCAACAAAAGUACAGACAUAUCUACGUGGCAAUGCACGUCCAUCUAUGUCUAUGUGGCAUGGAAACCUCCAUGGGAAAUAGGUAUCAAUUGUAGGUCAUAUUUUCUUCCUACGAUGAUCCCAUAUUUCUCGGUCAUGUCCAAAAAUUCCGGGUUUGCCUUGCCAGGAAGCACCCAGUCGAAGUGGUAGAGAAGAUUUGCCAAGGCGAUCUCCAUAGUUGACGUGCCGAAUAGUAUCCCAGGGCACUGCCUCCGACCAACACCCAGUCGAAUGGGGUGAAUUCAAAGUAUGUCCCAUGGUAAUCCAUGUUAUUGUUCUCAAACGUUUCAGGCUUAAACUCUUCAGGACUUUCCCAACAAUUUGGAUCCCUCGAAACUGCAAACGCGUUAAUGUAUACAUUGGUGCCUUCAAGCAUGUCAAAACCCAUAACUUUACGGUCUUCCCUGGCCCUACGGGGGAUCAAAGGACCUGGUGGAUGCAGUCUAAGAACCUCCUAAAUGAUCAUCCACAUGUAAUGGAGUCCAGCGAGGUCACUAUUAGUAAUCACAGCUCGACCUUGACCUAGCACCUCUCGGAUCUCAAUCUGUGCUUUGGCCAUGGCUUCGGGAUGACGGACGAGCUCAGACAUUGCCCACUCCAAGGCAACUCCCGUGGUCUGUGUGGCACCUGCAAAUAUGUCCUGAAAAAUAUUAUUGUGGUAUGCAUGUUUAUAUAUUAUUUCUGCAUAUGUAGUAGUACGCAACAAAUAAUCAAUUUCAGACACAACAAUUUACGUUUAUAAAUCUAUGAAACAAGUUGAGACUAACAGAUUUAUGAAAUGACGAAGCUAGCUUUUUUUGCAUUAAAACUUUGCAGAUAUGAUAUCACAUCGGUAGAUUAAUAAGAAGCAUAAAGAAAAUUACUCACAAAUAAGACGGCACCUAUACUCUCCGUGGUCAUAGGGAAUGUGAACGCGUCCUUCUCCUGGAGCCUGAGUAGCACGUCCAGCAAGUCAUCAUCGUCGGUGCUGGAGGCACCGUCCUGUGUGGCAGCUCGCGUUGCCUUAUGCCCCUCGAUGACGUCGGCGUUGAUACGUUGGAUGUGGCCAUAGCUCCUCCUCAUGUGGCGCUCUCCCUUGCACAGCCACCGCACCAGCCGCGAUGACGGGAAGAGGUCGACGAGGCAGAAACCACCUAGCAGCACGAACGCCUCAUCCAGCUCCCAGAGGUACUCCUCCUGCUGCGGGAACUUGCCGCCAAACACCGCCCGCGACACCACGUCGUUGCUGAGCGCCAUCACCUUCUCGCUGACGUUGACGACGGCACCCAUGGAUGCCGCGUCUGCGACAUAAUGGAGAAGGCUGCCCACCUGGUCUGGCCUGAUACCGUCCAUACGCCUCACCUGCUUGGAGCUGAGGAGCUCCAUGGUGCAGACCUUGCGCAUCUGGCGCCAUGGGUCACCGUAGGGGGCGAAGACGAUGCCCCUCCCGCCGCAGCCGAAGAUGUCCAGCGUCGCGCUGCGAGGCCGGCCAACAAAGGCAAGGUCAUUGGUCUUCAUCACCAGCGCCGCCGCCUCGGCGCUGGAGACGAUCACCGUUGGGACCUCGCCGAGCAUAAGGUGCAUCAGCGGCCCAUGCCGGCGAGACAUCUCCAUCAUCUUGCGGUGCGGGAGCACGCUGGCGACGUGGUGGAGGCUUCCGAUGAAGGGAAGAGUCCAUGGCCCAGGAGGCAGCUGUGUCUUUCUCUUGCCCCCAGAGAGCAUGCGAAACCAGAGGGCCACAAGCGUGCAUAGAGCUAUGAAACACAAACUUAACCAGCCCUCCAUGGAAGGCUACAAGCUGUUCGCAAGUGCAGCUUGGAGUGAGACCCGGUAUAUUUAUGUGACCACCUACAAGUUCUGUUAAAACUCUGGACCUGCUGACUCAUGAACUUCCUAGUGUAUGCAACUAUAUACAAGUCGAGAUUUAUUGGUGUAGAGAACUAAAUUGGUGGCGGCUAGAUUGUUGAUGACAAAAUUUAGAGAUAGUAUGACAAAAUUUAAAUUAUUGGCGGCUAGAUUGCUGAUGACAAAAAUAGUGUACAGUACUAGACCUCUUUCUUCGCUCUAAAUUAUAUAAAUUCCUAGGUUUGCUAUCAGGCAUACUUUACUAUCAUCAUCAAAUGUACUUUGGUCGUGUUGUAUGUAUUAGCUCAUGAAUUUUUCUACAGAGAAAUUUAACAAGGGAAAACACAAUAACUUCAAUUACUUUGAAAUGGAGAAAGUGGAGUUCGAUACUUCUAAUGACUUUUGCACUAACCCAGGGAGACCAAUUUGCAAUCUUUCAUACUCAGCUAGCAGCCAGAAAAGAGAAACCUUAUCUGCCGGAAGCUUCGCCACAUAGCCGCCAGAAAAAGAGCAUGUAUGUUUUAGUAUUAAAAGAUAUGUCCGGCGGAAAAAACAACUUGUAUGCGUUUUGAAGGAAGAUGCAAUCACAAACCAAACCAGACCCAUAGUGCUAUAAACCAGAACAAUAUUGCCAGAAGCUUCACCACAUAGCUUCCGAAUUCUUUUGUGCAAGAUGCUUGAGUUCGUAAUGCCCGUGCUAAAUUUGGUGAAGUUUGGACAUUCGAUGAGCCAUGUCAAAAAAGACAAAAUGACCUCCGAACAAUGCAGAACAUCAAACUUGCUCACAUGCCUGAUUGUUUUUUGCAGACAGCUCCUAAAAUGUCCAAACUUCACCACAUUUGGCUUACUAGGUCUGGAGAGUUUACAGUUAAAUCAAUGUAUCUUGAUGUUAUUAAUUCAACCUCUCUUCCUAGUUCCAAAUAUGCUUGGGCAGUCAAAGUUCCUCUGAAAAUUAAAGUGUUUAUGUGGUUUGUACAUAAAAGAGUUAUUUAACCAAGGACAAUUUGGUAAAGCAAAAUUGGACAUGACCUACUAGGUGUAGUUUCUGUGAUCAGGAUGAAACCAUCAAACACCUUUUUCUUGAUUGCCCGUUGGCCAAGGUUCUAUGAUGGACGGUCCACAUUGCCUAUAAUAUUACUCCUCCGAGUUCUAUCAGCACGUUAUUUGGAACGUGGCUUAACGGGAUAGAGUCCGAAACAGCGAGACACAUCCGCGUAGGAGUAUGUACUUUAUUAUGGGCAGUCUGAAACUGCAGAAACGAUUUGGUUUUUAACAGAACAAUAAAUAUUCAUUUUUUGCAGGUUAUCUUCCGAGCCACUGCAUUGAUCCGUAUGUGGUCGCUACUCACUCCGACGGAGGCCGGAGAGCAUUUGGUUACUGGAUCUAUCCGGUGGGAGAUGGUAGCGCGGGAUAUUUUCAACCGGUUUGGAUGGCGGUCAUGUAAUAGGAUAGGCAAUUAGUUUACCUAUCUUUCUUUUGCCAGCCGGUUGUGGCGUCUUUUGGCUAGUGUCGUAAUUUUUCUAUGGCUCUUUGUGAGCUUUUCUUUACUUUCAUUACAGACCUUAAGACCUUGUUGAACCUAUUUGCUUAUUUAUAAAGUUGUCCGUAUGCAUCGUUCUGAUGCAGAGGCCGGGGAGUCCCCCCUUUUCGAAAAAAAUACAAGCUUAGUUUGAAAACAUAUAUCAAAAUUACCAUUUAAAAGAAUGCAUAUGUUCAUUUUUUUACAUGUAUACAAGCUUAGUUUGGAAAAACACGCAUGGCACCGGAGGCGGUGGGCGUGUAUAUAUAUAUAUGCAUUCUUUUAAAUGGUAAUUUUGAUAUUUGUUUUUCCAAACUAAGCUUGUAUUUUUUUAGAAACGAUAAAGUUCUUCAUAAAUCCAUUGAAACAUUCUCUAGCAACGCUCAUGAGGAGCAUAUGAGUUCCCUUUUAAUACACAGGCUCGAACUUAUUGUAUUCUGAAUACAUUUCCAUCUAUUCAUUUUUCCCAUGUAAACACGCAGUUGGGCACCAUGUUGCAUCAUUCAACUAUUCUUUAUUACCUCAUCCAGAAAUGUUUCUUUCUGGUUUCCUUGAUUUAACAUAACAAGAUACUUUUUAUAACUUAUCCGCGCAUGUAUAUGCUCAGAUUGUGGUGACCACAUGUCUCCUACGUACUCCCUCCGUUCCUAAAUAUAAGUCUUUGUAGAGAUUCCACUAUGGACUACAUACGGAGCAAAAUGAGUGAACCCGCACUCUAAAAUGCAUCUAUAUACAUCCGUAUGUGGUUUAUAGUGAAAUCUCUACAAAGACUUAUAUUUAGGAACAGAGGGAGUACUAACUAAAGUUUGAUGGAUUAUUGCAUGAUUGCGAUGCUUAUCUGCUCAUUUAUUUUUACAGUUGGUGAUCAGAUCGGAUUCGAGGAUCAUCGUCUCUCAUGUGUUACGUAUUAGUGAUCCUACAUGAUAGUGGAGAAUGUACGAAUAUGCAGCGUUGACAGUAACAAGGAAAAAUGGAUGUUUUAUUUUGUUUGUUUGGCUCUGAGAUAUAUUAAAAUUGGACAUAUCCAGGUCUGACUUGUUUUUUCAUAGAGGACACAGCUGCCUACUUGGACAUAUUUGGCCUUUAACCAUAUCUUUUGUUUGUCGCCUUCCAUGUUAUUAUUUUGAUAAAGUUUGAUUUCUUCCUUUCCUAUGCUGUAGAUACUUCUUCUCUUGCAACUGAAAGUACUUCUUCUGAUUACAGUGAGGCGGCUUGAUUAAUCAUUGGCCUCAUGGCAAAAUUGGGGACGGAGGAGGGAGGUGGCUUCAUAUAAGCAUGACUCCAAAAGAUCAGGGUAUGUAUGCCAGCAUGCACUGGAGUUGUUGGAUAAGUUCCUUUUUGUCAAAACACAUUUCAUUUUGUUAUUAGAAUGCUGGCCUGGUGUACACUGAUCAGUUGUGGUAUUCUUUCCCUGUGCAGGAGAUCAAACCGAAGAAAGAUAACACUCAACGCAACAUGCUCGUGUCGAUGAUAUGGGUGCAGAGGAAGAGUGUGUGGAUGAUCAGUGAGAGCAGGUACGUGCUUACCAGCCAGCGCAAGAGCAUCUGGUGGGCCCGGUAGAUCCCCAGGGAGGAGUAGGCGGGCGUAUAUUGUCCAUUUCUUCUGUAAAAAAAUGUCACUCUACACAAUAUAAUUGUUUAGAACAACACAUACUCGACUAAUCAUCCUUUAUAAAUCAACAGGCUUGUACGAGAUGUUAAAAUGUGUUCCUAUCUGUCUACCAUUAUUCCUCUAUUUUAUAAGUGUUAAUUUCAUUGAUUUCUUACUUAUAUGUAUAUACUGAUUGCAGAUUUGCUAGAAUGUCACUUUGCAAGACAUAUGAUCCAAUCCAUGUUUUGUCCUUACAAAUAGAUAAAUGCAUGAAGGCAUUGAGAUAGGUGGUGCAGAUGCUUACUUGUUGUCAACAUUAGAUGGUGGUUUGGUAAGUGACUAUUUUGAAAAAUAUUUUCUCAGUCUAACAUGUACACUAUAUUCACAUAGUAGCCUUGCUUCUGCACCCCAUCUCUCUCUAUAGCCUGUAUCUGCACCGCUCUUUGAUCUAAUUUUUGUCCCAAAAUCUUAGGCAGUUUGUUCCCUAUAAAAUAACAUGUAGCAUCAAAAUUUGGAUUUUCAAAAGGUUCUUACAAACUGAAUUUUAUCGAUACCACAUUCAUGAUAAUUUGUCAAUUUGUGUUUGCUUCCAAACACCCUGGCAUAUUAUAAUUUUGAAUAGGAGAGUCACUAGUAUACCUCUACUUGACUAGCUCAUUGAUCAAAGAUGGUUAUGUUUCCUAACCAUAUACAUGAGUUGUUAUUUGAUUAACGGGAUCACAUCAUUAGGAGAAUGAUGUGUUUGACUUGACCCAUUCCGUUAGCUUAGCACUUGAUCGUUUUAGUAUUCUGCUAUUGCUUUCUUCAUGACUUAUACAUGUUCCUAUAACUAUGAGAUUAUGCAACUCCCUUUUACCGGAGGAACACUUUGUGUGCUACCAAACGUCACAACGUAUCUGGGUGAUUAUAAAGGUGCUCUUGUACUUGUUGGGUUGGUGUAUUUCGAGACUAGGUUUUGUCACUCCGAUUGUCGGAGAGGUAUCUCUGGGCCAUCUCGGUAAUGCACAUCACUAUAAGCCUUGCAACCAUUGUAACUAAUGAGUUAGUUGCGGGAUGAUGUAUUACGGAACGAGUAAAGAGACUUUCCGGUAACGAGAUUGAACUAGGUAUUUAGAUACCGACGAUCGAAUCUCGGGCAAGUAACAUACCGAUUUCAAAGGGAACAACGUAUGUUGUUAUGCGGUUUGACCGAUAAAGAUCUUCAUAGAAUAUGUAGGAGCAUCCAGGUUCCGCUAUUGGUUCUGCGUGUAAUGCCUUUUGUACUAACCCCAUCGCUGAGACCAAUUUGCAAUAUUCGUAGCCAGACAAGAGAAAACGGCCCAAACUUUCAUACUGUAUACUCACUUAAUUUUUACAUUUAUAUAUACCUGCAGAGUCCAGAAAUGUAAGUUAUCAGUACCACUACCACUGCACUUGCAAAGCUGCCUGCCAUGGAGGGGUGGUUCAGCUUGUGUUUCAUUGCACUAGGCACGCCGAUUGCCCUUUGGCUUCUCAAGCUCGCCGGCGCCGGCGGCAAGAACAAACCACACAAGCACCAGCUGCCGCCAGGGCCAUGGACACUCCCGAUAAUCGGCAGCCUCCACCACGUGGUUAGCCUCGUCCCACACCGGCAAAUCACGCAGUUGUGUCGCCGAUAUGGGCCAAUGAUGCACCUGAAGCUAGGCGAGGUCGACGCCGUGGUGGUCUCCAGCGCCGAGGCGGUGGCGCAGGUGAUGAAGACCAACGAUCUCGCGUUCGCCACCAGGCCAGGCACGCCGAUGCAGGACAUCGCCGGCUGUGGCGGCAGGGGCAUCAUCUUCGCCCCCUACGGCGACCACUGGCGCCAGAUGCGCAAGGUCUGCAUUGUGGAGCUGCUCAGCUCCAUGCAGGUCAGGCGCAUGGAGAGCAUCCGGCCAGAGGAGGUUGGCAACCUCCUGGCCGACAUCGCCACUGCUGCGGCGGCCAGCGACAGCAUCAACAUCAGUGAGAAGAUGAUGGAGGUCAGCAACAACGUCAUGCCGCGGGCGGUGUUCGGCGGCAGGUUCACGCUGCAGGACGAGUACAUCCGCGAGUUAGACGUGGUGCUCACCCUGCUAGGCGGCUUCUGCCUCGUCGACCUCUUCCCGUUGUUGCGGUUGGCGCGGUGGCUCAGCUUCGGCGCACGGCGCAUGAAGAGGAGCUACAGCCACAUGCAAUGCAUCAUCGUCAACGUGAUCGAGGAGCGCAAGGCCGCGCGAGCUGCUGGUGAUGGCGCCUCAAGCACCCACGACGAGGACCUGCUGGACGUGCUGCUCAGGCUACAGAAGGAUGAUUCGUUGGCAUUCCCUCUAACCACAGAGAGCAUAUGCGCCAUCUUAUUUGUGAGUAUUUUUAACAAAAGAAACUUUUUUUUACUGCUAGCUGAUGCAAACAACGGCACAAAUUUUGCAUAUGACACGAGAUAGGAAAGAUUGAUUACUUUUGUUCCGACAAACUUAAAUCAUUAACCAUUUAUUUAACAUUAUCUAUGUCAUACAUUUCAAGAUUAUUUCUUUCUGCUCAGAAUUUCUGGUAAUCUACCAGUUACCGGAAAUUUUGAUGACCCCCCAGAAACUGUGGUAACAUUCAAUAAGAUUCAAAUGACCUCAUAAACAUGUGAAUGAUAGUGUGAAUGAAUUCAAGCCGGUCUUUUGCUUUCCAAUCACUAUUGCAAAGACACGUGUAGCAGAUCCAAAUACAAGAUAAUAUAAGGAAAAAAACAUACUUGACAAACCAAAGACCUAGACAUUGAUGUUAUCUCUCUCUCUCUCUCUCUCUCUCUCUCUCUCUCUCUGUCUCUCUCUCAAAUCAUACCGCGUGCUUGUUGUCUAGAAAAAGAGGAUCGAUCUUAAGUUCUCCACCAAUAAAUAUUUACCCUUAAAAAACAAUAAAUAUUUAAUGUUCUACAAUAAUAACACAACACUUGAUACAUAUAUAAAUGGAAGAAUUCUCAUAUUCCCUUUGAAUAGGUCAAUUUACAUACCGAAAUGCCGAACACGAAGGACCCCACAACGACCACGGUGGUGCUAGCGACAAGUAACCAAACUAAAAAUAGUGUAAAACCGAGACGGGAUUCCAGCAAUAAAAAUCAUUCUCAUGCAUUAUUACAAACCCCAUCCACAAUGUUUUGAAAAUGAAAAAUAAUGAAAUUAAAAGGAUAAUCCAACAGACGUAACUGACGAUGUACCUCAAUCCCCAUCCACACAAUAAAGGACACAUGCCACUCCGGAACUGCAACAUAACGGAAUUUCAUCAAUUCCAAAAGCUAGAAUUAUAAUGGCGAGUAGAAGCUCAACAAACAAAAGAAGUCAUGCCUCCUACUAGCCAUCCAACAAGCAUUCUUACUCUCCUAUGUGGACAUCAAAGGAAAAAAAUGUAAAACCCAAAGCACCAAUUGCUACCAGAAAGAUAGGGAUAUUAUUAAAGCCAAAUAGACUUCACGGCUACAAGCUAUUUAGAGAAAGUGUUAGAGCACUGACAUGAAAAGAAUAUGAGAUCAAUAUGACUAAUUAAAAAAUGGACAAGACAACUCUUGGCUUAAAAUACCAUUAAUCAAGCAAGCUUUACAACUACAGGCUAUUUAGAGCAAGUGUAGGAGCGCCGACGAGAACACAAUAUGAGUUCAACAAUACGAGUUCAAUAUGGCCAUUAUUUUUUAAUCACAAGAAAUGAGGUUCUAAUGGCUGAUAGAAGAUGAACAUACAAAAAGAAGGUCAUGCAAAAUUCUGAUUCUUUUUAAAAUAUUUGGUUAUCACCGUCUAGACGCAACACAGUUUUAAGUAAGUGGAAAGAAAUAAUCCACACUGGUUUCAUGUUGAAUAGCAUGUACAAGAAUCAAAUAGAAGUGCAUGCUAGCAACAAGGAUAGAGGGAUCGGAUCAACUAGAAAUAAAAAAAAGUCAACAAUGCCCUAGACAGUCGCAACCAACAAUGGAAGAAUUUUCCAUUUUAGGCUCAAGGUAUCGCAAACUUCAAUUCAAAAAGUCCCACAUCAAGAAAAUCGGCUUUUUACGCUAUCAUGCUAAAAAAAACAGUAUACUUAAAGCACCCAUAGGCGAUGCUGAGGGUUCUAUUCUAUAAAUCAUGUUCUCAAAUUUGGUGAUUAUGAGCACUAGGAUUUGAUUAACCGGUAUGUUUUCUAUCAUCUAACUAGUGCUUGUAGCAGAACUGUUAUCUACUUGAACCUUGUACAAAAAACUAGCGUGGUUGCAUCAUGAUAGUGUUGUCACCCUUAAGGGCGUGUGAAAAAACAAAUAAAAUUACAGGUGAAAAAUAACAUAUACAUCCACUUCUUGUUUUUCUCAUCAUUUGGCUUAUGUCAAUGAUACCAAAAGUGAAAAAAAAACUAGUGAGAAUCAAUAUUUAUGUUUUGCACAUAAAGAUGAACAAGGACACUCAACUGGAAAUAUGGUAAAAAAGAUGAGCAUAAACUAACCGCACUCUUAAAAUGAUUCAGAAAACAAGCACAAGAUGAAACCAAGAACUAUAUAUGUGAUGACAUCAUUUUUUUCUCCAACAAGCCUGCUUAUUCUCUUAUGUAAUCAUCAAAUGGACAAAAAAUAAUUCAAUCUCAAACCCAAAGCACCAACUGCCACCAAAAAGGUAGGGAUUUUAUCAAGGCCAAAUAUACUUCUGGCUACAAACUUUUUAGAGAAAGUGUUAGAGCGGUGACAUGAACGCGGUAUGAGAUCAACAUGACCAAUUAGUAGACGGACAACACAACUCUUGACUAAAAACACCAUUAAUCAACCAGGCUAAAAAUCGCUCAUUACAACUAAAUGGUCUAUAAAGAGUUAGGCUACUUCAACACAUUCAGACUAUUUUUGUUGUCUCGGUUUUACUAUUAAUUUUCAGUAAGAAAUAAGGUUAUAUACGCCCGCAAGGGCAAACCAUCCUUUACGCAUUUGUAUGUAUCGUAUUGUACAUACACAAACAUUUGUUCAUACUUCCAUACUGCAAUGUACUUACACUACUUUACUUUCUUUGGGGCAGAACUUAGGUCAGAGUAACUGUAAUUCGUUCCAAACACUGCUCGGCCGGUUUGCUAGCAGUGCGUGUGUGCAAAUUGUUUCCUGGCUGACCUCUUGAUUUUAUAUCCAUGAUGUACUGGUGGUUUGGGAGUUACUUCUUUUUCUUAUGAAAUUUAUCUCAUGAGUUUUCUGGUGUAGUCCGCAGCCAACUUGCACGUUUCAGAAUUUACUUACAUGAGUUUUUUGGUUGCAGUCUGCAUGCAACCUUUGGAUUUCAGAACUUACCUCUAGAGUUUUCUUGUUGUAGUCUACGUGAAACCUUCAGGUUUCAGAAUUUACCUCCGGAGUUUUCUCGGUGUAGUAUGCAUGUAACUUUCAGGUUUCAGAAUUUACCUCCGGAGUUUUCCGGCUGUAGUCUGCAUGCGACUUUCACGUUUGAGAAUGCGAUUAUGUCAACUUCAUCUAGGUCUGCACUACAAAGAGAACAACCUUUAGUAUGUAAGAUUUAUAAACUUGUUCAAGAAAAAAAAUCAAUUUUUUGUCCCAAAAGCAACCCAGCCAGAAAGCUGGAGUUGCUCUACGCAGUAGAAAACGCCCACUGUUUAGUUUUCAUAAUAAUAAAAAGGGCACUAUAUGUAUACAUUAGUUUGCAAGGUCAGCUGCAAACAGCAACAAAAAAUAAUAAUAUGAGGAUCAACAGACACAUGAUUGAUUAAACAUUUAAGGAGUUCAGACAAAGAUGUGUAGCGUGAUCCUGUUCGGUAGGUAGGAAAUCUUCAAGAAACAAGGCCUAGCUGGGUCAGUUCAUAAAGUUGUUAAAAUUGUAAUAUAGCCUUCCAUCUUGUAGGACCAAGCCUCCUUAUCAAAUUUGUAAUGCACAAGAGAAGACCAUGGUUGGGAUCAAAAUAUUACACUUACUAAUAAUCGUUUUAUUUAUGCAACCAGAGCCUGCUUAUCCUUUGGAAAAAAAAUACUAGUACUUACUAAUAAUCUUUUUAUUUAUGCAACCGGAUCCUUUGUUGGACCCUGACAAAAUCCCUUCCAUGAGCAUAUAUGUCGCGCGGUUAUUAAAAAAAGAGAAAAGAGAUACGCGAUGCCUCCCACUCAGACCCAACAACACCCCUGCCUCCCACCCCUCUUGGCCCCCAACAUCAUCCAUGAAAGCAAACUAAAAAAUGAGUACGAUACAGAUUGAGAAAUGCCUGAUGCUAUUGAGCAUAGGAACAAGACAGAAUGAGAAUACAAACAUGAAAUGCAGAUUGGAGAAAAAAAUAUUGAAUGAUGAAAAUGUCAAACAUAGUUACAGACAUAAUACUAAAAACUGAUUACUAAUAAUGAUUAUGUACAAUUAUGUUACUCAUUAGAGGACAGAAAAUAAACAUCCUAACUUACCUAAUGUCCACCAGCAACAUCAAGAUGCGCAAUUACACAAAAAUUAACUAAAGUGAGGGCACCUUGUUCUUUUCCCUAAAGAAUUGAUACUUCUUAUUCUUUCGUGAAGACGUGUUAGUAACUUGUUCUUUUCUGAAAAAGGUAAAAAACAAAUCAAUACUGAGCAGAUAUUUUACAAAGUGAUAUCAUGUAAAAAAACUUUUGUAUUUACAAAAACACAGAGCAAAUCUUGGCUGAAAAAUGUCUAAUAAUCAUCGUGGGGAGAAAGAGGAACAGAGAGGGUAGCUCCACAAAUUGUAGUGACAAGAAAAAUAAAAACACAAAAACUAACAGCUCACAGUUAAUAAGAUGAUAAAGAGCCGAAAAUAAGCUUCAAAUGGUUUACCUUUUGUUGCUAGUCUCCUCCGUCCGUCCCACUUGUCGGAGGAAUGGAUGUAUGUUAUAGAUACAUUCAUUUUUAUGCAUUUCUCUGGCAAGUAUUUCCGGAUGGAGGGAGUAUUAAAUAAGAUUGAGAAAACUAAAGAGAGACUAGCUAAGAAGAAAUGAAGAAGAUUGAAAGUAGGAACCUAAGAGACCGAGAAAGAGAGACUGAACAAAAGAAUGAGAAAAUAAAGAGUGAACAGAUGUAACUGUGAACCAGAGAAAACAGAAAAAAGAAUGAGAUACUCAUGGAAUUGCAAAAACUAAAAAAAAUGGAAGAAUGAGGAUAAAAACAUAAAAACACUAACCAAAUACUAAAUGACAAAGACCUAUGAGGAACAUGACUGAAGAAGUAUGUAAAUCAUGUCACUCCCUCCCUAUUUAAAGAAACAUGACUGAUAACUGAUACAAAACAGAAAAGAUGAACUUAUAAUAAGAACUAAACCCACAUGCUCAUACAGAAUGACUGAAAAUUGAAUGAAAUAAAUUAAAGAUAAAAUGAACUAUAAUAAGAACAUGAAAAUGAGUGUGAUAAACAAACUAAAGAUACUCAAUCUGAACAAUGAUAAUACACUGCCAUUAAUAUAUGACGAUAAAUGACGAAUUAUGGUAUUAAUGACUAAAUGAAGAUAUCUAAAGGGAAAAUGAAGACUAAAGAUGAAAAUAAGACUGAUACAUAGGCUAAGAAAUACUAAAACAGAGAAAAAUGAAAAUUAAAUAGAAUGAAAGUACAACACACUCAAUAUGACUGAAAGAGGAAUAAUGUAGAAAUAUGAAUGAGAAAAUUAAUGAGUAGUGAAGAAAGAACACUGAAUAGUGACUGAAGCAAUACAUCUGAGAGAUAAAACAAAAAGGAGACACCGCGAGGGAACAAAAAAAUUGUUCAUCAGUGGAUGUAGUGCUUUCCAUACAACUCUCGCUGUUUGACGAACCAUCAUCAUGAUCAUAUGCGUACGUAGCAUCCACAUGACGACAUCUGCCCCAUAGAAUCCACAACCCUGCUGCUGCCAAAAAAGAUGAAAAAGAAACAAUAAACUCAUAUGCUGGGGUGCGAGUGAGAUUUCAAAUAACACUGACCGAAACCAAAAAAAAUGCACACAUGGAAACAAAAGAAUGUCGAGUUUCUGAAUCCUGGACUGCAAGUGUCAAAUAAUUCAGUAAGAAAAAUAGAUAGUGGCUGUUCCGGGUUUACGAAAAAAAUAAGAAGUGCGAAAAACUAUAAAAAGUACUCUUGAAAAAUCUUUCCACUACUCGUCGCACUGCCGCGAAAACACAAACCCCACCAUUGCUGAGAAUAAAAAAAGUAAUGGGCUGCUACACACAUCUGUACUGACCGCAGAAAUCCUACACAUAUAUGACGGACAGUGAAGUAAACUUUCAUCCAUCAGGUCUUGAUGGAAUGACCUGACUGCCCCAUCAUAACAAAUGGAAUUAAAACAUGCAUGAUAAUUGGGAUUUAGCAGUUCCAGCAUAAGCACGCUUGCCUAAGCUGGGACAAAGACCAUAAGCACACAUGACACAUUCAGAAGUACAAGGAUCACAAUCCUAAAAUCCCUUUUUUGGGUUUCAUAUUGGGAUCUUGCAACUACCCAAAAAUGGGGGUAGCAGGCAGGACGUGGAAUUACCGCAGCGAUGGUACAUACAUACAUAAAACAAAGCACACACUCUGUAACUCUGUCCUUAUUGCUAAUCUUCUUCUUACCCAAUGGAGCUUCAGAUCCCCAUAACUAAGCUCGAUUUCACACCAUAAUCUGAAAAACAAAACAAAUCUAAUAUAUAUGCAAAAUUUUGCCAUAACACAGUACCUCAGAAGACCGAAAGUCCCUUGCGAAUAUAAAUGUGCCGACCUCCAUGGCAGGAACAAAAUCAACACAGAUGGCCUGAAUGAACUGACGCUGAGCAAGCCAACUCGGGGGAGGCAAUGAAAAGCCGGGGAGGAGGAUGUUGGAAACGCUGGCCGUAACUUACGCCAGCCCAUAUGGGCGACGGCUGGUUCCGGCCUCCCCGCCUGCUGCUGACAAACCCCAACGGGAGAGCUCCGCCAACCCGCUCUCCGUACCACCCUUUCUCCUUCCUCCCUCUGAUCCCCGGUAGCUGGUCACGCUUCAUGGCUGGGACGUGGGUCCACUGCUCGUCAACAUGGGAUCCGUGCCCUAGCACCCCCCCCCCCCCUAGGUGAGAGGGAGUAAGGGCAACAUUUCUAUGGCUUCUGCUUGAAAUGUUGACCUCACUGUUACAGCUUUAAAACCAAAACAUGAAGCCAUAGAAAGACAUGAGUAACAUCGAAACGAUGAAUCGAUCAAAUGUUGAUGUGCUACCUUUUCUCAAUCAAACACGUGCCUCGUAGGACAAGGACAUACCUGUGUAUCGAUCUUGCCAGGCUUACGGUUUUUAGCGUUGCUGCUUGUCCGACGACUUGCUGUUCAUAUCUUGUGUUGGAUGCCUAGUAGAGACAUCAACAUCAUCACUACAACAUGUUCGGACACAAAAGAGAAGCCAUCAGUUGGCGUGGCAAGAUUUCUAUGAAGAAGAAGAAAACAAGAUUAGAUCAAGAAACAACUAUCAGUUGGCGUGGCAAGAUUUCUAUCAAAAAGAAGAAGAAAUAUUAGAUCAAGAAACAGCAUGCAUGCUCUUACAUAUAAGGCGGAUCAACGAGUGCUAGGCGGCAGGCACAUGCAUGGCCGGCAAACCAUGAUCGGUCUAAGGGCCACCACGCACAGCUGCGCCGGGCAUGUCGACUGGUCUUAACUCGCUCCGCAUCUCUUGCACGGCAGCGUGGUGCUAGCCGGACAACACAUCGGCGUGGGCAUGGCACAACCCUGAGCUGCCGGUGGAUGUACAUGACGCUGCUUAGAUCGACCGUCGCCAUCUACAACGUGGAGAUUGAGGAGAGGGAAGGAGGAGGAAGGUGUGGGGCGGGGCGGGGCCGGGCUGGUCGAGAUCAAGGGGGCGUCCAUUUAUAGAGGAGAGGAGAGGAGAGGGGGGUCGUGGGCAGCGAUGAGAUGACUGAGCCGGGGACGCGGGGAGGCAUCGGAUGGGAGUGUGAUCCGCGUGAGGCGUGUGGAUUGGAUCGCAUGCGGAGCGGGGGAGGAAGGGAGGGAGGCGGCGCGUGGAUGCAUGGGGUAGUUAAAUGCGGUGUCGAUUGAAGGUUUCCAGGAGGAGGAAGCAUGCGUCGGUUUGGGAAGAGGAUAGAAUUAAUGGGUGCCUAGUUUCAAGGAGGAAGACGAGGGAAUCAAGGGAGGGUCUCUUGAAGGAAGGAAGGAAAGAGGUGUAUUCAUCCAGCCGUGGAAAACGCUAGCUGCAUGCAGUAAUUAUUCCUUUAAUUUCCUUCCUUGUCGCCAGAUUGACGCAUACGCGCGACGGAUUCCCUCUCUGACUCUCUCUAUGGUAUGGUAUGAUAUGUACAGCACAAACGAUUUAGUCCCAGCGCUCUCAGAAAUUACGCCAGCCACGUAAAGGUAGCCAGGCACUUUCCAUGCGUUCAAAUGAUUUAGUAUCAAGUUUCCUAGUGUCCCUCAAUUUGUAAGAUUUUAUUAUGUAUGCAGUAACUUCUUCCCAUUUGCUCGUGUCAGUUUUUAUUUUUUUAGGGAAUUUGCUCGUGUCUAUAUCUUUAUUUUUAUCUGUUUGAAGGAAUUUGCUCAUCUAAGACAAGACUCGUUCUCUAUAUAGCCAGGUGGGUUUUUUCUGUUCACAAUUUGAUUUUCUCAUGUAAGAUAAGACACCAGGUUUGCAAGUGCAUUCCUAGCAUAAAAGGUUUUUCUGUUCACAAUUUGAUUUUCUCACAUAAGAUAAGACACCAGGUUUGCAAGUGCAUUCCUAGCAUAAAAACACCGGCUCCAAUCCAAUUACCAGGUUGGCAAGUUUCAAAGUCCCUGCAUUGAACAUUUUUUCAUAACUUGUUAGAUUAUAAUUGAAAAAACCCAGAGAACACUCAGUCAUUCUUGACACCGACAAACUCGGUACUCUCCUCUCCUAGGACAAUGAAAAUUUUCUUGUUGUACCAUACAAAACACCGACAAAUAGCUCAGGAAUUCCUUGAUGCAAUUAAUAAUAUGAUCAACUUAACUCUUGAUGCAGUUAACCCAGAAAGAAAAUUCCCAUAACGAUGCACAUCAUUUCACAUCCCAACCUUCACAAUGAAGAUGUUACUUCCACCAGAUAUGAUCAAAUAGGAACACGCAUGCAUGUGCGCGCGCACACACAGCGCAGUGCAAUACAUCUUCACCAAAACAAAGUUAAAUAUCUAUGUCAUCAACUACUUCUCAGAUGAGGUGAUAAAAAACAUCUCGAGUCCACUACACAUCCCAGGAAGCACAGGUACUUCGCGUCCUUCCAUCACAAACAUUACAACAUGAUAGAGCCAAACUACUACAUACAUGGCUUAAUUCUGAAACCUAACCCAUCAAUGGAGAAAGCUCAAGGACGACGCCGCCAUCCAGUGCAUCUUUAUCAGCGGAGAAAGCCCGAGGACGACUGCACCAUCCAGUGCAUCUUCAUCAGCGGAGAGAGCCCGAGGACAACGACGCCAUCCAGUGCAUCUUCAUCAGCGAAGAAAGCACGAGGACGACGGCGCCAUCGUGUGCAUCUUCAAGCCCAAACCGCGUCAACUUCUGCAGCACCGCUUGGCAAGAGAAAAUGACCGGUGUCGUGCGCGAUGGAGAUUUUCCAUCAUGUCCGAUAGGUUUGAUGGACGAAAGGAGUAUCUUCCCGAGGAAUGCAAUCUGGGUGGACAUAAAAAGACCAGUCUAGUGCAGAGGCAAUGUAAUGCAUCAGAGGAAUGUUAGAUUUCUCAGCAGUAAGCCACACAACAAUUCUCUUGUGUCAAAGGGAAUUUACAGGAAUUAACAAGACAACAUCUUCCCCUAAAAACAAUGCAUACUUAUUCACCAGCCUAGGAAUGCAAAAUGCUCGUUCCAGUUCCACACAAUGAAAGUUAAGUGUUGGACCUUAUCAAGACAAGACAAAAUUGCCAUAGAUAGGCUCACUUGUGUGACCAGCAGAAGAAUUUUCGCUACAAGAUCUCAUCUUGGCUUGUCAAAUCUCAUACUAGACAAAUUGUUGGACACUAGUGAAAACAAGCAACAUCUCCGGGUAAUUGACGACCGGGACACGCAGGACAUGAGAGAGAGAGAGAGAGCAAAGAGAGAUACCUUGACGAUCUCCAUGGCGUCGGCAGCGGGGUCGGAGCAGCUGCUGCGUCCAUGGAAGAGGCGGC
rnacentral:lncRNA from 1 species